UCCGGAGGAGUCCUCCGGUGCUGCCCGCGAAGAUCGGGGACGGGGUGCUGGGGUCGAGCUCGGGUGGGGAGAAUCCGGCCGGAGCCUCGACAGAAGUCUCGGCUUCGGCGGAGACCUUGAAAGAGCGGGAAGAGGAGGCGGCCUUGAGGUGGGGCUUGGAGGUGAGGAAGGAGAGAGUUGAGGAUUGCUUCCAUGGAAUGGAAAUGCCGGUGGAUUUGGGAGUGGAGAGAGAUGGGGUGAAGAGGGUGGCUUGAGUGGCCAUGGCCAUGGGAUUUGGAGCAGAGGAAGAGGAUUGGGAAUGGUGGAUUGAGAAUGGAGGAUUGAGGAAGAAUAAUAAGAAGAAUUGGAUUUGGGGUUUUUGUGUGGAUGAUGGGAAUUUGGAGAGUGGAUAAGAUGAUCUUUGGUUGGCCAAUUAGAAUGAGAGUUUUUGAUAUGGAGACCUCACCCACAGCUUUUAUUUCAUCUUCAGUUCAUUCCAACUCUGUUUUGUCAAAAUUGGAUUCAAUAUUGAUAUUUUAUUUUAAGUUCCAAACAAUAAAUGAAAAUACCUUUAGAUGCAAUCUUCAAAUAGAAAACACAAUUAUCUCUAAUCAUACCAUUUUCAAAUAAAGCCAUGAGAUUAUAUUAAAAAAGUGGCAAUAAUACUAAUGUGCACGCAAAAUGACUGCCAAACAUAAGCCAACCUAUUUCAAAACGUAUGUCAUCAACAAAAUCUAACUUAAACAAAUUCAAUAUAAUUAGACUCGAGAAAGAGUGUGGAGAGAAAAAAAAUACUUUUAAAGUAUUAACCUUUCGUAUGCGUUUGUGGGAGGGAAAGAGUUAUGCAAAAAAAAGAGUUAUGUGGAAAAAUUAUUAUAAUAAUUUAUUGUUAUGAUAAUAUGUAUCUGGGGUUAGGUUAUUUGAUUGUGUUAUGGUAAUAUGUGUUUUGGAGAAGAAAAAUGAAUAGCAGUGUUAUGAUUGUAUGAGUUUGAGGGAGAAAUUAUAACAGUAAUGUUAUGUUAAUAUAUGUAUGGGAGAUGGAUUAUUUUGAUAAUAUUAUGAUAAUAGGAAGUAUGGAAAUUUGCAUAGUGAUGAAAAAAUGGAAUAGAGAAAUUUACAGGGUUGGAAAAAAUGGAAUAGAGAAAUUUGUAGGGUUAUGGAACAUAGAGUAGAAAAAUUUAUAGGAUUAUUUAACCCUAAUUCCGAGUUUCGCAAAUCCUUAUUGGACCCAAACCCUUCUCUAAUCGCCUAAAUAUCCCCGGCCCAAACACACCCUUCUAGUUUAAAGUGUACGUUGAAGUUUUCAAUGUCUUACAACUAUUUUUGAACCGUAUUACAAAUUUACCUUAUUUUCUAUAAAAUUUUCAAAGUUUUAGACACACGAUUUUUUAAUAAAAAUUAUAUUUUAGAAAAUGCCACGUGUUUAGGCACUACUUGGGCUCAUUUUUCUUUUUUUUUUAAAAACUAAUUAUUAAAUCUAUUUCUUCCUUAUAACAAAUCCCAACUGUCUAUAGAUGGUUGCAUUAAAAAUCUCAAAAAAAUAAACCAAAAAUAACAAAAUCCAAACGAUAACAAAAUUUUAAAAUCACACUCUUUGUUAUAUAAUUAUAAAUAGAGAUCAGUGGCCAUGAGUAAAACGUUAGUGUUAAAAAAAAUGGGUUUUAGUAGAAGUUUUAUUUUAUUAAACUAUUUUCUCUUCAGUGUUGCCCUAUUUUCUUCUGCAAAGAAAAUUUCAGUUACUUAUGAUGGAAGAUCUUUGAAAAUAAAUGGAGAAAGAAAAAUUAUCAUUUCUGGUGCAAUCCAUUAUCCUCGUAGCAGUCCUGGAGUAAUUUUUCUCAUUUAUUAAUCUUUAUAUAUAUUUCAUUUACCUAAUUUAACUCUCUAUUUUUCUCAUAUACUUUAUUAAUUUUAGAUGUGGCCAAUGUUGAUGAAGAAAGCAAAAAAUGGUGGCCUUAAUGCAAUUGAAACCUACGUAUUUUGGAAUGCCCAUGAACCCCAACGUGGCCAAGUACUUUUUAUCUCAUUAUUUUUAAAUAUAUAUAUAUAAUGUGAAUUAUAAUUCAUUACAAUUUAAUGGAUUCAUUUCCCUUUUUAUUUUUCCUUUCAGUAUGAUUUUUCAGGAAAUAAUGAUCUAGUACAGUUUAUUAAAGCAGUACAAAAAGAAAGGCUUUAUGCUAUUCUAAGAAUCGGACCUUAUGUUUGUGCCGAGUGGAAUUACGGGUAAAUAUAUAUAAUUUACUUUAUUAUUAUUAUUAUUAUUAUUAUCACUCUUACUUAUUUGUAUUUAUUUCCUAAACUAAUUUAUUUUGAAAUUUCUUUACAGAGGGUUUCCUGUUUGGUUGCAUAAUCUUCCAGGCAUUAAGUUCAGGACCAAUAAUCAAGUUUAUAAGGUAACCUUUUUUCUUUUUUCUAACAAAAAAUCAUUUUUACUAAUUAUAAGUCUACAUGCUGAUAUUUUUUAAAAUCAAUUAUAACAAAAUUUAUUGUGAUUUUAGGAUGAAAUGGCAAAGUUCACUACAUUAAUAGUAAACAAAAUGAGGGAGAAUAAGCUAUUUGCAUCACAAGGAGGACCCAUCAUUGUUGCCCAGGUUUGUUUUGUAUUUUUAUUUUUUUUUUAAAAAAAAUCAUUUAAUUAUAUAUAUAUAUAUAUAUAUAUAUAUAUAUAUAUUAAAAAAAUUAAUAACAUGUUUUUAAAAAAUUAGAUUGAAAACGAGUUUGGAAAUGUGGAAGGAUCGUACGGACAAGAGGGAAAAGAAUAUGUGAAAUGGUGUGCUGAGUUAGCACAAUCUUACAACCUCAGUGAACCUUGGAUUAUGUGUCAACAAGGAGAUGCUCCUCAGCCCAUUGUAUGCAUUACCAUUACACUACCCCUUUCUCAAUGUGUUCUCUUUAUAAUAAUUAAAAACUGAUUUUGUUUCAUCUAUAUUUAUAAUUGACAGAUUAAUACAUGCAAUGGCUUUUACUGUGACCAAUUCAAACCCAACAACAAAAAUAGUCCUAAAAUGUGGACUGAGAGUUGGGCUGGCUGGUUUGUUCUUUGACCUUGACUUAUACGAAUAGUGAUGAUGGAAAUGCACUUCAAUAUUUUUCAGUAAAUAAUAACAAAAUUACUAACACUAGGUUCAAGGGUUGGGGAGAAAGAGAUCCAUAUAGAACGGCGGAAGAUCUUGCCUUUGCUGUUGCACGUUUUUUCCAAUAUGGUGGUUCCUUGCACAAUUACUAUAUGGUAGUUUCGUAAGAUCACUAAUUUCUUUUUCUUAAAAAGAAUCGUUUUUUCCAUUCCUUUUUACCUAAUUUCGUUUAAAUAUAUGUAUAGUAUCAUGGUGGAACGAACUUUGGUAGGAGUGCAGGAGGUCCUUACAUUACUACAUCUUACGAUUACAAUGCACCGCUGGAUGAAUAUGGUACAUUAUUAAUUGUAGAUUUUUUAUUUUGAAAAUGAGACCCAUUUAAUAAAAAUGGAAAUUAAACUUGAUUUAAAUAUUGUUAGGGAAUAUGAACCAGCCAAAAUGGGGACAUUUGAAGCAACUUCAUGAACUUAUCAGGUCUAUGGAGAAAGUUUUGACAUAUGGUGAUGUCAAGCACAUUGACACUGGUCAUUCGACAACGGUGAGUAUUUUAAAUAUAUUGUAGUUUGUGGUUUGGAAAAUUUGUUAAAGUUAUUGACUGUGUGGCCAAUAUUUUGUAACAGGCAACAUCUUAUACCUACAAAGGAAAAUCAAGUUGCUUCUUUGGAAAUCCUGAAAAUAGUGAUAGAGAAAUUACCUUUCAAGAAAGAAAGUACACUGUUCCUGGUUGGUCUGUCACUGUUCUUCCUGACUGCAAAACCGAAGUUUACAACACUGCUAAGGUAUAAACAAACUAAUCUGUUUGUUGAUUUUUAAAUUGAAAAUUGGCUGUUUGUUUGCCACUUUUCUGACUGUCAACCCAUACAUACAUUUUGGUUUUCUUAAAAAACAAACCAUAUCUUGGAUGGGUGAUGGGUUUGAGUUUUCUAUUUUAAAACUUUCUUUUUUGUUGCACCCCUAAUUAUUAUUAUAAAUUUGAUGUGUUCUUAUUAUUUCAUGAACAUUAGGUAAACACUCAAACAACAAUAAGAGAAAUGGUUCCGAGCUUAGUAGGAAAACACAAAAAACCAUUGAAAUGGCAAUGGAGAAAUGAGAAAAUUGAGCAUCUUACACAUGAAGGCGAUAUAUCAGGAAGUGCUAUCACUGCCAAUAGCCUUAUUGAUCAAAAGAUGGUCACAAAUGAUAGCAGUGAUUAUUUGUGGUACCUCACCGGGUAAUUUUAACUACUUUAAUUUCCCCUUUUUUAAUUUUUCAUAACCAUAGAAACUAAAAUUAGGUAUAAUAAUCACAUUUUAAUCCCUUUUGGCCCCUCAUUUUUCAGAUUCCAUCUAAAUGGAAACGAUCCACUCUUCGGCAAACGUGUAACAUUACGUGUUAAGACUCGUGGCCAUAUACUUCAUGCCUUCGUCAACAAUAAACAUAUUGGUAAUAAAUUCACUAUAAUCAUUCUCAAGUAAUCUACUAAACUUUAUAGUAAAAAGUUCAUACAAUGUUACUUUUUUUUUUCAGGGACACAGUUCGGUCCAUAUGGUAAAUAUAGUUUCACAUUAGAGAAGAAAGUAAGGAAUCUACGGCAUGGAUUCAAUCAAAUUGCCCUAUUAAGUGCCACCGUUGGAUUACCUGUAAGUACUUUUAAAUAAAUUAAACUAAAUUAAGUUUGCUAAAAUACCCCUCUUGAUAUAUAUGAAAUUUUUACACAAAUGCAGAAUUAUGGAGCAUACUAUGAAAAUGUUGAGGUGGGAAUUUAUGGGCCUGUUGAAUUGAUUGCUGAUGGAAAAACCAUAAGGGAUUUAUCAACUAAUGAAUGGAUUUACAAAGUUGGUUUGGAUGGUGAAAAAUAUGAGUUUUUUGAUCCUGACCAUAAAUUUAGAAAGCCAUGGCUAUCUAACAAUCUCCCAUUAAAUCAAAAUUUCACUUGGUAUAAGGUAAAAGGAAAAACUCCACCCUGGCCCUCGACUAAUUUAAUUUUAGAAGUUUUAUAAUAUGAUUGAUUUUGAUUAUAUAUUAUAAUGUUUUUGAUAUAUAUAUAUAGACUAGUUUUUCAACUCCUAAAGGACGUGAAGGAGUGGUAGUGGAUUUAAUGGGUAUGGGAAAAGGUCAAGCUUGGGUUAAUGGAAAAAGUAUUGGAAGAUAUUGGCCAAGUUAUCUUGCUACUGAAAAUGGUUGUUCUUCAAGUUGUGACUACCGUGGGGCUUAUUAUGGUAGUAAGUGUGCUACUAACUGUGGAAAGCCGACUCAAAGAUGGUAAGCGUAUUUUGUAUGUGCAAUUGAUUAAUUCAUUGAUGAACUCAAAAACUUAUAUAAGUUUGAUUAUUAUUAGGUAUCAUAUUCCGAGGUCGUAUAUGAACGACGGAAAAGAAAACACUUUGAUUUUGUUCGAGGAAUUUGGUGGGAUGCCAUUGAAUAUAGAAAUUAAAACAACGAGGGUGAAGAAAGUUUGUGCAAAGGUUGACUUGGGAAGCAAACUGGAGUUAACAUGCCAUGAUAGGACUGUCAAAAGAAUUAUUUUUGUGGGAUUUGGGAACCCUAAGGGCAAUUGUAACAACUUCCAUAAGGGUAGCUGUCAUUCGUCAGAAGCCUUCUCAGUUAUUGAAAAGGUUAAAUUUAAAAUGUUUUUCAAAAAAUACUUUAUUGCUAUUACCAUUGUUCUUAUUAUUAUUUUGAUUAUUAUUUUCUUUUGAUUUACACAGGAAUGUCUUUGGAAAAGGAAAUGUUCAAUUGAGGUUACAAAAGAUAAACUUGGACUUACUGGUUGCAAGAAUCCCAAAGAUAAUUGGCUUGCUGUUCAAGUUAGUUGUUAGGGAUGUUUAUUAGUUAGGUUUUUAGAGUUGCCAUUCAGUUAGUUAAUCUCUCCUAAUUUAUGUAAGUUAGAACUAAGCUUUUCUAAGCUUAGAUGGUUAGGUUUAAUAUAAUAAUUUCAAGUAAUUUUAUUCUAUGUUAAUAUAGUUAAAUUCAUUUCUCUUUUUUUCUUCCCUUUUUUCCUUAAACCCACUCCCCCACAUAUCUUAUUAUCAACUCAUAGGGUAUCCCUUAAUUGAAUUGGAGUUCAACCACGUAAAAAAAUAGCUUUAGAGUUAAUAUUGAAGUGAGCAUUCUGACUUGCAAAGUAAAUGUAGAGUUCUAAGUAUGUUCUUUAUAAUUUUUGACCAACUAAUCGCUUCGGUUAUGGAUUUUUGUAAAAGUUUACACGGAUCGCUUUGGUCGGCCAUGAAUAUAUUUGAAAUUUGAAACCAACUGGCUGAAUAAGAUUUUUGUAGAGGUGACAAAUAUUGAAUGACUAAAACCUACAAGAAUCAAUAACGAAUUAAACCUACUUGCUUAUCAUCCUACCAGUGUCUUUUUUGGGGUUUUAUCAAACCAAAUUCCAACAAGGUCGAGAUUGUUGGAAAGACUAUGGAAACCGAAGGCAAAAUCUCCAGAUGGAGAAAGCCAAGAAUGGUUAGUCCUUGUGGAGUAUAGUAUUCAGAUGGAGUUGAAGAUCAUCAAGUUCUGAAAAUUUGGUUUGAAUUUGAAAUAAAGAGUAUUUAAAAGCUGCAUUUGCCAUGGCAUCAUUUUGAUUGGAUUGGAUACAGCAAAAUUUUGACUUGUAAGUCAACAAGAAAGUUCUCGAAAAAUCAAGGAGAAAGAAGAAAGAAGAAAAGUCAUGGAUGACUUUUGAAUUUGAGAGUGUAGAAAGCAAUUAAGGAUAAAUCCAACCAAACAAUUGUGUUACGUAAAAUACUUCUACAAGACAGAUACUUACAAGAAAAGUCACCGGUGUUGCUACCUUGUGGAUUUUCAUUAUAUUCCUCAUGUGUAAUGAAGUGGCUCAUAAGCUUGCUCGUUAAACAAAUAAGCUUACCACACUUGAAAAAGUGUAUCAUCUAGCUGAUUCAAUAAGCUACUUCCAUAAUAUACAAGCUAACGUGUUUGCAUCGACUUAUUAAGUAUACGCAAAAGCACUUUUUAAAAGCUUAAAAAGUUCAUCUCCUUGUACAAAUAUCAUACAUGAUUUUGUCCCUAGCAAAGAUGGAACAUUAAAAUUCAUAGCUUCCCAAUCUUAUGUUUCUAAUCUUAAGCUACACACGACACCCUUUGUGCAUGGCAACCGGAGGGUUAUUGCUUUGUCCUCAUUCGCUCUUCUAUCUCUGUUGGUGGGGGUGAGAGUUCUAUUUCUGUUUAGUUCUCGGAUUGGUUCCCCUCAAAUUUUGUUUCCUAGGUUUCUAAAUUUCUGAUCUUAAGCUAUACACUACAUCUUUUGUGCAUGGCAACCGGAGGGGUUGCUUUGUCCUCAUUCGUUCUUCUAUCUCUGUUGGUGAGGGGUUGGAGGUUCUGUUUCUAUUUCGAUCCAGUAUUGGUUCCCCUCAACUUUGUUUAGGGGGCUAUGUUGCUGGUUGGCUGUUGCUAUACACUGUACACCCAUACUCUUUUGAAACUUGUCUCUAGCUAAUCUGAGUGGAUAUUACAUCAUAAUUACUUAAUCAAUACUAAUUAAAACAUUUAACCAUGCAAUUGUAAAUAAUUAUCUGUUUCAACCAAAAGAGGGAUUCUCACUUCAAUACUUUCUUCUACCAUUGUUGUCCUUUCAAAACUUCUAGACUCCUUCAUUGCUUUAGAAUCAUGGCUUAUUAAAUCUCUCAUUCUUUCUGAUCUCACACAACUUACAACCCAAUCCACAAGCGUUGUUGCAUCAUCAUCUCCUUCUGUUUCUUCUUCAACAUGCAUUCUACAAAAUAUGGUCUCUAACAGCAUUACUCCAAAGCUAUAAACAUCUACUAUUUUUUGUAAUUGCUGCAUUCUUCAGCCCUUUUGGCAUCAUAAAUCCCAUUGUUCCUCUUAUCAUUAUUGUGGCUAUCCGUAUCUGGUUUUUCUUCAUAAGUUUCGCUCUAAGUCGAAAUUCGAGAUUUUCGCUGUGAAAUUUUUCGUCAAGGAGAAUCUUUUGUGGCUUGAUAUCACAAUGGAUGAUAUGGGUCUCGUACUCUUCAUGUAGAUAUAACAACCAUUUUGCUCUGUUCUCCCAUUUAGCCUUUUGAAUAUCUCUCUCUUCAAAUAGGAAAUUUGAUAGAGGACCAUUUUUCAUUAGCUCAUAAACCAAUAACCGAUGAUCUCCUUCAUUAGUUAUAAAUACAAUAAAAGAAAAUUUGGCUACUUCCUUUGUCAAUGAACAGUCAAAGCUGCUGACUUUUCUUGCUUGGAUUAGAAAAAUACAUGAACUUGAUGUUUCGUCUUAAUGUUAUGCCUUUAACCCAAGAAAAGAACAAUUAUCAAUGAUAUAAAUUAAUAAUCAAAUAUCAACAUUUAUCUUACAAGUGUAGUUGAGUCAAAGUCAAAUUAAUAAUUUGGUCUCGUGAUAUAAGUUUAGGUCUUUAUCAAAUUUGAGUUUUCUUUGUUAGAAAGUUAUAUGUUAUUUAUUAUAAAUAAAAGUUUCACUACAAGAAGAGUGGUCUACGACGAUAGUUGUUUUCUGUUGCGAAUAAAAUCCGUGACAUUUAUUUACAGUCAUGGAAAGUCAUUAACUACUAUUUUAUGACAACAAAUAACUGUCAUAUUUGAUAUUACGACAACAAAUAACUUCAUCAUUUGCGUAUUAACGACAGUUUAAAAAUGUCGCAAAUUCGUUUCUUAUGACUUUUUUUAAAUGUCAAGGAUAUGUCAACCGUGACAGGUUUUUAGAAAUUAAAUGACAUUGUUUUGCUAUUGACGACAUUUUUUUCUGACAAUUUUUUUUAUAAAACAAAUGUCAUUGUUUUAAUAUUGACGAUAAUUAUGGAGUAUAACGAAUUCAUAAAUUAUGACAUUUAUCUCAUGUUGCAAAUUCUUCAACUACUACCGUUUUUCCUAUUCUCCUUGUCGAACCAUUUGAACGACAAUAAUGUUAUAAUACAUAACACUCAUAUAGAAACAAAUGGUUGACACUUUAAUAUAUACACACUAUAAUACACUUUGUAAUAUUCGUACAUUUCCAAUCAAGUUUGAACAAUUUACAAGUAUAGAAUUACAACCCUUAAUCAAAACUAGUGUAAAUACCAUCAUAAUACAUAUAACAUAAUUUUUUGUACAAGCAUAAACAACCAACCGGUAAUCCUUCACCUUUGAAAACAUUCUUUGUUGUUUGAACCAUGGUCGAAUUCUUCAUUUCUAAAAAAAUCAAAAAGUGUUAUAUAAAACAAUUUCUCCAAGUUGGAUUCAUUGCUCCAAUAGAUUCUUCCAAACCUAGUAAGAAAACAAAAUCUCAUUUUAGAAUAUGUCUAAAGAAUAUCUCAACCCUUCAUUCCAGCCCCCUCCCAACACAAUAAAAAACAGUGAAAAUGGCACACACAUAACAUGUCUUUAGCCAAUAGGAAAAUUGAAAAAAAGACUACUACCAUAACUGCAUGAUAGUCAUAACACUUCAUGUAUUUAGGCUCAAGAACUACCAGAACACCCCCAAAAAAGUAAACUCACACCCACACACUAAGAGAGAGAACCUGGAAUUCUUUGAAGAUGAGGAUAUGUUAACAAGUCUUUUUAUUAGUUAACAAUCAUAUGUCAUAAUUAGAUAUGACGAAGAACAAUAUACCAUAUGAAUGAAACAAAAUAGUAAAAGAUGUUAUAAUGAAUUGCUCUUGUGAAAUUCCAAAUGUUGAUCAUAAAGUAAUGUUUAUAGUUCUCUUGUCCAAUUGGAACUCUGUGGUUACAACAACACGGUGGAAUGAAUAACAAGGAAGCACAUUCUUUUUAACUUAGCAAUCAAUUAAAGAAAAAUAUAUCUCAAAUGGUUUAAUUGAAAAAAAAGUGUGGAGGACAGAAGGAAAGAGAAAAGCAUACCUUGUAACCAUCUCCUAUAAGCAAAUCUAACUCAGAACAUGCAAUUACUUAUAGUAAAAAUCAGUUUUUAAAAUUGAAAAUGUUGCUAGGUUGCAUCUCAACAAAUCAAAGUGCAAGAUUAUUCAAUAACAAAGCACAUAAGACAACAUAGCAAUAGAUUGUCAAACAAAAACUACAUAAUAUGUUCAAGUACAACUGCAUUUACUAAACCUUCCUACAAACCAAACGUGAAAAUGACUAGAAACAAAAGAUAUAUCAAAUUUAAAGUAGAACCAUGGACCAAAGUCCAAUGUGAAAAUGUACAAAACUAUUCAAAAAUGGAGAUAAUAAUUAGGGUUAAGAAGAAACAAAGAGCAAAGGAGAAAGAAAGAACCCGUAUUUUCCCUUGCGGCUACUGCAACUACACAAGGUGGAUGAAAACAUGGUGGGAUUUGGAAAUCGUUGCUCAAUUGAGUGCAAUAUAAAUAACGUGUGUCUAAAUGAUAAAAUUAUAAACAUACAUAAUACAUAUAUAUUUCAAAAGAAAGAUGUGAUUAAAGUACAUACCAAAAGAUAGACAAUGACCAAUUGGUCUAAAGUUUAACAAUGAGGCUUCAGUGAACUAUACCUUGAGGAUAAACCCAAUGAAAAAUGAAUCAAGAGGAUAAACCUAAUGAAAAAUGAAUCAAAGUAUAUGACAAAUCCCAACAGAAAAUCAACAAAUGAUAAAAAAAAUGUAUAUUUUUCUCCUAGCAGUAAGAACACUAAAAUCAUGAAAUAAUUGACAUGUAAUUUGACAAUUUGGAGGUCAUAAUGGAAUAUUUUGCCCAGAUCAAUUAAACAUGAGUCACAUAUGUGAAAUUUGUAUAAUAUUGGCAACUGACCUUAGAGAUUGAGAACUAGCAAGGUCACCUCAAUAAUUGUCACUAAACCCAAACUGUGUUAUCAACAUCAAAACAUACUACAUUUGCACUUCUCCACCGUUCCAACACCUUCGAUAUUUUAAGAGUAAAGUUUAACAUCACUAACCAAAAAAGAGAUAUGAAAGAAUAUUUACCAACAUUAGGUUAAUUAACUCAGCGGCAAUCUAAGAAAAGAUAUCAACCAAAUACUUAACAAGUGGAAGAGAGAAAGAUAAGAUAAUUACAUUGCUGCAAUGAAGAUAUGCUACAAAAAGGGUCAUAUAGAAAGAGAUAUACAGUCAUUGAUGGAGAUUUAGGAGAAAAUUUACAUGAUAUACUGCCUAUAAAUAGAAAUGUUAUAUGCUUAAAAAACUGUUUGUUACAACAAUGGCUCUUGCUCAAAAUUUAUCAUUUGUGCAUAGUAAGAUGGUACUAUUACAAAAUUUAUCACAACAACUUCAAGUCAUUUCCAGUAUGUACACUUUAGGAUGAAAAUAUAAAGUGCAACUCUCAUACAUAAAUAUAUUCCAAAUACUAGUUUUCUCACCUCCUCGAUCAAAGUUUUUUUCUUCUAUAUAUAUCUAGAAUUGAAUAAUAUGCAAACUAGCUCAAAUUUUCCAUUCUAUGCUUCUUAUAAAAUAUGAUAUUCAUAAAAAUGAUAAACAAUGGACAUUUCAAUAUAUUAAACAGUCAAAAGAAACCUAUCUAAACAAUGGCUCCAUGAAUAUAAACAGUAAAAAAGAACCUAUCUAAACAAGGGCUCCAUAGACUUUUAUACUGUCAAAUGAUAUUAAACAAAUUGGUUAGACUUAUGCCUCAAUAGUUAUGCAAAAAGAAGAUGAACAUUUUAGUGUUACCAAGUCUUUGUGAGUUGGACAUUAGAUAUGUAUUGAAGAACAUUUUGGUAAGCUAAUAAACAAUAGACACAUACAUAUCCGAGACAAAUACAAAUACAAGAACUUUGAGAAAUACAUUGAACUCAUUUCUCAAGGCAUGAGCUCAUUGACUUUUCUAGUAUUAAGUUCUAUAUAUCACUAUUAUUGUUGUUUCAUUUUGUUUGAUAAUUUGCUAGACUCCAAAAAUCAAUGACUUCAUCACCUUCAACAAAUAAAGGUUCACAAAGUCCAAGUAUAAGUAUCAACUCCAAUUGUAAGCCCAAUUUCAAGUCCAACUCCACACUCAACUCCAUUUUAAAACCCAAUUUCAACUUCAUACUCUUCAAUUGAUGACAAUUUGAUUGUUGAUUAUUAUUUUUGUUCUCGUUGAAAGUAUUGGAAUGAUCUUUAAAGAAGAUAUUGACAUUGGUUGUUUUGAGAUCACCCCCAAGUUGUAAAAUUAGGGUGAUACAUUUAGGUUUAAUAGCAAAUGUCUUACCUCACAAAUAUCAUGCAAUUACGAUACAACUCAAUAGCAACCAUAAACAAAAUAUCAAUAGAAAAAUCAAAAGUACUCAAAUUCACUUGGAAAACGCAUAGACAAACAAAAAGACUCUACAAACCAUCAACGUUUAAAAUCUCACAUUUCAUUUUUCAUUCUCUUUUUCUCAAAGCUUCAGCCCAUAGCCAUGAAAUCUUCCUUGGCCUUGAUUUCCUAAUUCGAACGAACAAAAAUCAAUUAAAAAUCAACCAAAUGCUUCAUUGAGGCAUUUCAUCAAACACAUGGUAAGCUACCAAAAUCCUUCAUCACAUAGUCAACCAUAAAGAAAAAAAUGUAGAUUCAAAUUAGAAAAACAAUCGUAAACAACAAUAUUGAAUAGGAUGGUAGACAAAACAAACACAUAUCUCCUAUAAAAGCAAAAGUACGAGGGAUGUUUUUCAUAAAAAGAACCAUCAAUAUAUCCCAUUGUGGGUAAAGUGAAAGCAUUUGAAGUUAAUAUGCUGUAUAAAUACAAGCAAUAGAAAUAAUGGUUGAGAUUCAUCAGUGAGUUAAGCGGUGCAAGGGAUGUUGGGUGGUGGCGUCGGCUGAAAGAGAGAAAGAGGGGGAUUUCGGGUGUCGUUGACAAAAAGUCUCGUCGUUUUCGGCAUGAGAGAGGGAGAGAGAUGGUUAGUGGAAGGGAGGAAAAAUUGAGGAGGGGCGACAUGUGGAUCUUCCACAAAGAAGAAGAAAAAAAAGAAGAAGAAGAGAUGAAGAAGAGAAGAAGAGAAGAAGAGGAGAAGAAGAAGAGGAAGAGGAGGAGGUAGAGAAACGGGUUUUGGAGAUGUUUUUAUUUUAAUAAAUAAAUUAUUUAAUGAUUUUAGAAUUACAAAAAAUCUAAUUUUAAUAAACUUUUUAUUUAAAAUAAUUUUAUUUUAAUAAAUUAAAUAAAUUAUUUUUUGUAUCUUUUAUGAAAAAUUCUGUAUUUUAUCGCCAAAAAUGACUGUUUUUUAACUUUUGUGAUAAUUUUUUAUUUCCUCCUUUCAAUUUGGGAUGUAUACAACUAUCAUAGUAGAUAGUUUUUCCAAUUUGUUUCACCUUUAUCAUCGAUAAAUAAUAGUUAUAGUAAAUUUAAAUAAAUAAAUUAUAAAUGAUAAUAGACUGUGAACACAAAACAUUUCUCUAAUGAAAUGUAUAAUAUAAUAUUAGAUUCAAAAAGAACACUUCCUCUCUUCAACCACAUUAUCCAUAAAUCUCUUCCAAAACCAAUGUUGCUUCCACACUCUUUCAGUCAUCUCUUCGAUGGGAAUACCGUUUGUCUCUGGCACCAACAAGUACACAAACAAUGACAUUACAAUCACACAACAAGAGAAAAAUAAGAAUAUCCAAUAUUUCAUAUAACACAACAUGGACAGAAAAGAUUGAGCUAUCAUAAAAGUAAACAUCAUAUUCACACAAACAGCCACACUCUGUCCACUUGAUCGUGUCUCCAAUGGAAAGAUUUCACUGGGUAUCAACCAUCCAAGAGGUCCCCAAGACCAAGCAUACGAUGAAACAAAAGUGCAUACCAUCAACACCACCAAAAUCGCCAACCCUUGUGAUAGAUUAUUAGAGUUGUCUUGGAGUUCUAAUCCCAGCACAAUUGCAAUGAUGGUUUGAGAGACGAACAUCUGAACUCCAGCUUCUAGCAACAGGAUUCUUCGACCGACCUUAUCCACCAUGUAAAUGGAGACUAAUGUAGAAAUGGCAUUAACGAUCCCUGUUAUCGCAGAGGAGUAUAAAGACGCAUCGUUGCCGAAACCCAACGUGUUGAACAGAACUGGAGCAUAGAACAUAAUUGCGUUCAUUCCCGUGAGUUGUUGACAAACUUGAAAGAGUACGGCAAUGACUAAUGGAGGUCGAUUUUGGCGAGCAAAAAGUAUUCCAAAAGGAUUUUUUAUUGCUCCAGCGGUGCGACUUGCUUCCACAAUCUCCAAAUACUCUGACUCGAUCUUGUCAGUGCCUCUAAUUUUGCUUAGAACCAAUUUUCCUUUCUCUAAAUAGCCCCGUUGAAUCAAACUGUUUGGAGUAUCAUCAAUUGAGAUUGCUCCAAUGGUUAAUAGCAUCGCCGGAACCCCAGCCAAUGCCAUUGAUAGCCUCCAUCCCCAUCCCCAUUGAAUCCUAAUAUUUCAGCCUUGGGGGUUUGUUAGCAAUUACACAAACUUGAGAAAAUGAAACACUUCAUGUUUAAACUUACUUGGAUGUGCCAUAAUUGACAAGGUUAGCAAACAUAAUCCCAACUGUAAUAUCAAAUUGAAACAACAUAUUCAAAGCUCCUCGCAUCCUCGCCGGCGCUAUCUCCGAAAGAAACAACGGCACCGCCUAUCAACAACCAAAAGAAGAAAAAACAUGAUUUCAAAUGUAUCAAAAAAUAAAAAGAAAAAACAUAAUCUGUCUCCACAAAUUCCAAGAAAUUUCUAACCUGAUUUGCAAAUCCAACUCCACAACCCAAACAAAUUCUUCCUAAAAUGAGCAUACAAAGUGUAAUGGCGGUAGCAUUUAACAUAGUUCCAACAAUGAAGAAAAUCCCAGCAAUCACCAUUGUCUGUUUCCGACCCAAAACUCUUGAUGUGAAAGAUGCUAUUAAUGUUGCUAUUAAAGCAGCAAUAUAAAGUGAUGAUGUGAACAUUUGUAACUCUCCAUUGUCGUAUUUACAAUAAUUGUUGUCGUCUCCCUUUUUGUUUUGUGUUCUUUCGUACACUACUGGAAAAAACUCUUUAAGAAAUGAAGGCAUUGACACCACUCCCCCUGCACCAAAACAUUCGUUAAAUCAUCCACUAACCUAAAAGUUUAAGUUGAAAAAUAAUGACACCAUCGCUCACCAGAAAUCCCGAGGUCGUAGCCAAACAUGAGGCCUCCGGUGGCGGCCAUUAUGCAAGAACUGAGGACCACCGGAGUUACCUUGGCUUCAAACUCAACUUUGGACGUAGCCACCGCAUACUUUACGGUCGUAGUCAUCGUCGUUGAGUAUAUAAUCCUUUGAUAUUGGCAAUUGAUAUAUAAGUGUGAAGAACCAAGGAUGUAUUGAAUUGGGAGCGUUACAACUUUUUUAUUUUACUAAAUUUGAGAAGUGAAUUUGGCUAAGAAUGGAUUUGACAACUGUCUGUACAGAGUCAUAGACAGCUGAAAUGAAAUCGUUCAAUUUCUUGUUCAUAUAUAUAUAUAUAUAUAUAUGAGAAAUUCAAAAUAUAAUCCAAUAUUUGCAACCAUGACCUCAAUUUUUUAAUUUGAAAUUCAUUCUAACAUUUUUUUUAUUGGUUUAUAGGUGUUAGAUUCACUUCAUUAUUGGAUUUAUUGAGUUUUAGAUUCUCUUAAGAAGCCACAAUAGGCAAAAAAAAAAAAAAAAAAAAAACCCUCUUUAUUAAAGUUGUAUUGUUUUUUUUUUUUUUUCAAUUUCCAAUAAAAACAUAAACCAUAUUUUAAAGGUGAUUAUCGAUUUUAUUUAAUAAUAAUCAAAUGACUAUGUUUGUUUGAGUGAAUAACUUUAUUUGUUUAAGUAUUUUCAAUAUUUUACUUAGUCUAUACCAAUUUGAAGGCGGAACGUACACAUACCCGCUGUACUCUGUUCUAAGGGGUUGAUAUGUUUUCUAUCGGAGAUUCCCUCAUUUUUCCUCUAAUUACAACUCUAAUAAAAUAAAUUAUACUUCAAGUCCUUUUAAGAGUUUAAUAUUUGCAGUGUUACUGACUAACCAUAAAUAGAUAGACAGAAAAGCUCAACAUUGUUAAUUCCCUCAGAUAGGGAUGAUGACACAUUUUCUAAUUUUCCCCAACUGUUGAUGAGGUAGAAGAAGAGGUCGAGGAGGUUGGUUGCUUUGGGCUUUUGAUCCAAGCUAUUGUUCCCUCCCGGGAGGACUACAAGUCAGUAGUAUGCUCUCCUUCCAUCAAAUGAAAAGGGUCGACCUUAUUCCUUGGUUGGUCAAGGAUGAGACUGAGCAUGAGUUCCCAAGAUCCCAUCUUCUUAUGAUUCGAGUCCUAUGGUCAGAGUGAGUUUUGUUUCAUUGUGCAUCUUGACAUUUUCUUGAGUGGGAUAGUUUUGUGUACUCCAUGAAGGCGAUUACAUCCUUGUCCCAUAAAGCACAAUGGAUGAAAUGUGGCUUUAUAUUUUAUUCAUUAAUCUCAUAUGUUGUACUCGACAUCUUACCAAAACAAGAAAGAAGGAUAAAGGAAAAAGAAAAAGACUACAGGAGGUAAUAAUCAUGUCUACAAUUCGAAACCAGUAAGCAAAUGAACACUAACAAAUUAAAUUUUCUCGGUUCUACUGUCUCACCCCACAACCAUAAUUGGCCAACAAAAUAAAGGCAAGAGAGAACAAUUGUAAAAUAAUAAAUUAGAGCCAAAAAGAACAAAAAAAAUCAAGCUGAAGCCUUUCCUUUCUCAGCCACAUCAGUCAUGUAUCUCUUCCAAAACCAAUGUUGCUUCCAAACUUUGUCAGUCAUUUCUUCAAUUGGAAUCCCUUUAGUCUCCGGCAGCAAAAACAUCACGAACAACGACAUUACCACCACCCAACCAGAGAAGAACAAGAAGAUCCCAUACUUCAUAUAGCACAGCAUCGACAAGAAAGAUUGUGCUAUCACGAAAGUGAAGACCAUAUUCACACAGACGGUUACACUUUGUCCAGCUGAUCGUGUCUCCAAUGGAAAAGUUUCACUCGGAAUCAACCAUCCAAGUGGACCAAAAGACCAAGCGAAAGACGAAACAAAACUGCAAACCAUGACUACCACUACAAUCGCCAACCCAUGUGACAUGCUGUUUGUGUUGUCUUGAAGUUUUACGCCAAGCACCACCGCGAUAAUCAUUUGGGAAAUGAACAUUUGAACUCCAGCUUCUAAUAACAACAUUCGUCGUCCGAUCUUGUCGACAAAGUAAAUCGAUACCAAUGUAGAAAGGACAUUAACAGCGCCAGUUAUGACAGCAGAGUAGAGAGAUGCAUCGUUGCCAAAGCCUAAGGUGUUGAAUAAAACUGGAGCGUAGAACAUAAUGGCAUUGAUGCCGGUGAACUGUUGAAAGAUUUGCAACCAUAUGGCAAUGACUAAAGGUGGCCGAUUCUGGCGCAUUUUGAGGUUUCUGAAAGGAUGUUUCACUUCUUGAGCAAUGCGACUUGCUUCCAAGAUCUCCAAAUACUCUGGCUCAACAUUCUCUGUUCCUCUUAUUUUCUUCAAUACUGCUUUUCCUUCCUCCAAAUGACCACGUUCGAUCAAACUAUUUGGAGUAUCAUCAACCAUGAGUGCUCCAAUAGUUAAUAGCAAUGCCGGAAUGCCAGCCAAUGCUAGCGAUACCCUCCAUCCCCAUCCUCCUUCAAUUCUGUCGUAUCAGUUGAAAAUUCUUAAUUUUACUAUUCAUACACAUUUGAAAUAGAGAGAAUUUUUUUAAAUUUGCUUACUUGGAUGUGCCGUAAUUGAUAAGAUUUGCGAACAAUAUCCCAACAGUGAUAUCGAAUUGAAAAAGGAUAUUCAAAGCUCCACGAAUUCUCGUCGGCGCUAUCUCCGAUAGAAACAAAGGCACAGCCUGUUUUGCAGCAUUAGGAGUAAGAACAGAGCGAACAGAGCAAAGCAGAGUAGAAACAUAGCAGAGUGAUGAAUGAAAAUAAACCUGGUUGGCAAAUCCAACUCCACAACCCAGAGAGAUUCUUCCAAGAAUGAGCAUGAGGAGGUUAACAGCGGCGGCGUUCAAAAUGGUUCCGACGAUGAAGAAAACUCCGGCGAUGAGCAUGGUCUUCUUCCGUCCAAGGACUCUAGUGGUGUAAGAAGCGAAGAAUGUGGCUAUUAACGCCGCAAGAUAAAGAGAAGAUGUGAACAAUUGUAAGCUUUCAUUGUUGUAUUUACAGUAAUUGCUGUCGUCGGCCACAUGCUGUUGAGUUCUCUUGUACACAACCGGAAAGAACUCCUCUAAGAAUGAAGGCAUCGACGUCACUCCCCCUGUUUUGACAUGUGGAAUUUCCCACGAGGAAAAGCAAUAAUAAAAUUAGCAAUUUUUGUUUAUCAAAAGUUUUCCUUUUUAGUUUGAUUGAAUUUCUUAUCAAGAAUAAUAAUAGAAUGAUUCCAUGUAAAAUAUCAAAUAGUUAUUAAACUAGACCUGAAAUUCCAACGUCAUAGCCAAACAUUAGUCCUCCGGAGGCAGCCAUCAUACAAGAAAUAAUAACCACCGGAGUUAUCUUGGCCUCGAACUCGACUCCCGAGGAGGAAGUCACAGCAAAUCCUGCUGCAGGCAUAACUAAUAAAAUUUAGUACUACCCUUUUCUCUUUUUUUGGUGGAGGAUUGGAUUGAACUGAAGAAAGUGAUUGAUUGUUAAAAUAUGGGAAGUGAUUUGAAUAUAUUUAUAGAGAGGAAAAAUAAUGAAGAAUGGGAGAGUUUAAUUGUUUAAGUCCUAAAUUUGAUGGUAAAAUAAUGGAGAAAGCAACCGUUUCAAAAACAUAUUAAGAUCCAAUAUCUUUAUUAUUAUCAUGUUCAUUUUUUUAAAUGGGAAAUGGAGACUAUAUUUAGUAAAAUUAAUUAUGAUAUUUAAGAGUGAGAGUAAAUGGAUUUGUGUAUAAGAUGACUUGGACAAACUUUUAUCCAUAUCCAUAAUUUAAUGCCAAAUGAAACGUUCCAGUAUUCAAAUUUGACCAAGUUUGUUUAGGAUUUAAGGAAUCAUUCUGUUUCUCUUGCAUAUAAAAUGGAAAAUAAUAUGUGAACACAUUAUUCUUUUACUAUUUAAAAGCUCUUUAAUAUAUAUAUAUAUAUAUUUUUUUUUUUUUUCUUUUUGUUUCUCAUUAAUUUUUUUACCAUUUAAAAAGUUCUUAUUUUGUUCUUAUAACUUACCUAAUAUUAAAAUAUCCAUGUAUCAUCUAACUUCAAUUUUGUUACAUCACCUAAUAGUUAAUUUUCUUUAAAAGAAUGUAUUAUUGUAGCCUCUUAAUUGGCUAUAUGCACUUUUAUAGAGAUUAAAAAAAUGGGUUUUGAAGUUUAAAAUUAUGUUUGUUUUUCUCAUUAGUGGUGUUUGGGGCUUCUUCUUUUGCAGCUUAGGUCCAACGUUGCAAAUUUGAAACUCAAGCUUAUGCAUUCUUUUGUUAUUUAUUUCUUUUCUUUCUUUUGUAGUUAAAUAUACGUAAGUUUCUUCGGAAAAUUAUAUCUAACAAAUAUAAAAAAGAUUUUUUUUCUCAAACUCUUAUUUGUUAAAAAAAAAGGUUAAGAUUUAGGUAGACAAAUAUAUCAAAUAUAAACAUGCAGGGAAGACAAAUCUAAACAACCAAAUAUAUUGUCCUAAGUGCUAAUUAAUCACACUACAUAGCUAUUUUUUUAUUGAGGCUUUUUUGUUUUCAAAAUUUUUCUAAAAUAUUACAAAAAUUUAAAAUUUUAUUGGCUCCCUUUUUAGCCUGACAUAUACUCUUACUGCUUUGAAUAGAGAAACUAUAUGCAAUUAUGCCUAAGCAUUCAUGUUGUAACAUUUACGUAAACCUAUACGCUUUCAGUUCUAGAAAAUACCAAUAUUAAAAGAAAUUGUAUUCUUGUUUAGAUUUAAGAAUUAAAUAGACAUAACUUCCAAUGCGCAAUAACUAAAUAUUAAUUUAUGUUAAAUUACAAAUUUGAUGUUAUCUAAAGUUAAAAUUUUGUUCAUAUGAUCUUGAAAGUUAUAAUUUUACAAAAACCUCAUAAAUAUUUCAUAUAAUUUAAUAAAAGAAACUUUUGAAUAUAGAAAAAAUUAAAAUUAUUUAUAAAACAGAGGCAAAUCUAUCCAAUUUUCAGUAAUUUAAUUAAAUUCUUUUGCUAUAUUUUUCUAUUCAUAAGAAUUUCUUUAGUUUUAUCCAACCAAAUUAACUAAAUUAUAAUUAUAAAUUAUAUAAAUCAAAUCUUUUAACUUUCUUCCAACAAUGAUGACGUUUACAUUUAACAUUUUCAUUUUAAACAAACCUAAGAUACAAAUUUGAGUCUCCCAAGAAAAAAAUAUACUUUAGGUAUUUACUUAUGAGAUAAUUUUGAAUCAAAAGAUAUGCUUUUAUCUCAAAACUUUUAAAUCAUUUACAUACAAAUUGCAGAAAUGGCUAAGAUAAAAUCUUUACAAAUUAGAAACUAAAAUAAACAUACUGUUGAUUGCAAAAACCGUCUUUAAAAAAGUUGCAAUUAUACUUUUAAAUAUUCAAAUUUAAAAAAAGAAUAAAAUUUAAGCUUAUUCCAAUUUUAAAAUCCAAUCGAUAAUAUAAAUUUGAGAUUCAUGAUGGUUUGUUGGUUUAAUUAAUUCUAUAAUUAUUGAAUAUUUAAUCUAAUUUUAUCCCUGUUGAAAGUUUAAAAGUCCAAUGGUUAAUAUUGAAAAUUUGUUAUAUCAAUUUGAAUAUGUAAUUGCAAUUAUAAAUUUGUGUUAUAUAACCUAAAAUUAAAUAUAUGAAUGUGUGUUGAAAAUUUUAGAUUUGGUCAAAUCAGUGGCAAGUCGUAAAAGUUUAAAGAAGAAAAAAAAUAAAAAGUAUAUAUACAUAUUUUCAUUUCAUAAUUUGGGUGUGAAAGGAAAUUUAAUUUGGAGAGAAAGGGAAAAAAUUAGGUGAUGAGUUACAAAGAGAAUUUUUGCAGUUUCAUUAUAGAAGAUGAUGCAUUAUAGAGUGACGUAAGUUUCAUUACAAAAUUAAACUAUGUUAAUUAUUAAUUAGGGAAUGCCUCUAAUUAACUAAGUUAUACAUUAAAACGUUUUAAAUUUUAACAUUUAAUUAAGUUAAUGUUUUGAAUAUUUUUAUCCCACACCCAAUUUUGUAUACCAUGUAUAAGGAAAAUCUAUCAUAUUAUCAACUUUUUAUUUGAUGAACAACUCUUGAAGUUAUUCUCAUAAUCUGUCAUCGGUGGAUUUAACAUAGGUUCAACAGUUCGAGUCUCUCCCUCUCAACUUUGUUAACUAAGUUAUACAGAUUUCAACUCUCUCAUUUAUAUUUUUGUUAGAAGAUUCGAACAUUUGACUUUUUAAUUAAAAAUAUACAUAAUAUGUGAAAUUAUAUUUAUGUUUGGUUGCAAUAUUUUAUCUAAAAUGAUAAUAAAUAAGAUUAUACUUAGAUCGAGAGGAAUGUUGGAAACUUCCAUUUGCAUUUAUUUGAAGAAAAAAAAUGCUUUAAGUGUUGACUAAGGAGCUCCUCCACGUAGUGAGUAUUUGGAUUGAGAUUAAAGUCAUGGCUUUUGGAUAGGGAUUUUCUCCCUUUUUCUCCAUGUCAUUCCAACGUAUUAGAUUUUAUUCUUUUGAGUUUGUAAUUUGAAAAUGAGAAGUGAUAUGUAUUAUAGUAAAAUAAAUCAAAAUAUUUAUAAAAUAUAUAAAAAUAUUACGGUUUUGUUUACCGUAUCAAUGAUAUAGACUAAUAUAAAUUGCUAUUUGUGUGUUUGUUUCAAUUAUAAAUUAGGAUAUUUUGUUAUAUUUAUAAAUAUUUUGUCAUUUAAAAUUAUUUUUCUACCUUAAUUAUUAUAAAUUUAUUGACACCUUCUUUAAUAGUAAUUUUAUCUUUGUUCGGUCUUUUAAAAUUUAUAUUUGUUUUCUCACCAUUUUAGAGGCUCUUUUAAUAUUAAUUCACAACACAUUUGAAUUGAAAGCUAAUUCCUUUUUUUAAAAAAGUUAUUUCAUCUUCUAGAUUUGAUUUUUCUUCAAUAUUUUUAAAAAGUUAGAUAAUAUAACGUAAAAUUAAAGUAGUCUUCGUGUUCUAUUAAAGAAAACAAAAGCAAACCAAUGUUUUUAUUGAAAGUCAAUUAUAUUAGUGAGUUUUUAGAGAUCAUAUUUACAUUGCUUUUGUUAAAAUUAUGGAUGAACUAUAAAUUUUAGAUGUACAUGAAUCACAUUAAAAAGUUAAAAGAUAAACAUUCCAACUUGCAAAAUUCAAUGUUAAUUUUUUUUCCCUUCCCCAAAAAGGUUCUCUCCAAAGUAUUCUCUCUUUCUCCCUCUCAUCAAUCCAAAUUUUCUUAAAACAGGAUCACCAUUCUAAAACCUCUCUAAUUUAUAACUAACAUUAAUUAAUAAUAUCUCUAUUUUCUUUAUAAAACAAUUAAUCCUAGAAAAUUAAUAAUUUCUAAUGUUUAUUACAUUUAUCCUAAAAAGUAGUUAACUAAAAAUUAUAUCCCUUAAAUUGUAUUUUCAUUUCUUUUUUUUUUUCAUACAAAUGUAAGACUCUUGUUGGAUGAUAUAAUAUUAAACCUAUCUUUAUCGGUUAACUUAAAUUUUUUUAUAAGUUAAUAAUUUAAUAUGGUAUCAAAACAUGUAGUUGUUAAAUGUUUGGAAAAGAAAAAAGAAAUUAGGUAUAUUUUGUACCCAGUAGGAAAUAUUCAAUUGUUUUUAAAAAAGGAGGGUUGGUUAUAUAAGCUAACCUAACCAUAGUACCUUCCUUUGGGGUAAAAGUUAAUUAGACUCAGACCAUACAUUUUGAAUUUUGUUUGCUGAAGGUUUAGUGGGUUUAAUUGUAAUGGUUAAGAAGGUUUAUGCAUACAAACUUUUUGUUAAAGAGGUUAACAUCUCACUCCAUUUAUAGACAUAAGAGAUCAGAGAAGAGGGAUUGAAAAGAUAAACCACAACCAAAUUAUUAAUUGAUCGAAAGUUGGAGGACUGUUUAUUAAUUUAUUAUUUUUACUCAAAGAAAAUAAAAAAAUGGGAUGCUCUAAAGGACAGUUAUAUAAUCCAUGGUUAGCCAAAUUAGGCCUCAAAUUUAGCACAUGCAGAGCUGGAAUCAUCCCACCCAAUUCAAGUCUCGGAUUCUACCAUUUGUUGCUCUAUAAAGAUCUUUUGAUUUCACCUUAUCUCAUUAAUCAAAGCACCUCAAUAUCUCCUUAUCCCACACUAUAUUUUUCUUCCCUCAACUCAAAACGGGAUGCCGGCGGCAGGGUUUUCGGUGGCUCCGUCCGCCGUGGAAUUUGAGGCCAAGAUAACUCCGGUGGUUAUCAUUUCUUGUAUGAUGGCCGCUACUGGAGGCCUUAUGUUCGGUUACGACAUUGGCGUUUCCGGUACUUAAUUAAAUUAAUUAACUAGUUUACUCUUAAUUUUUUCUUUACUUGUGUUAAUUAAUUCUUUUAAUGGAUUUGAUUGUUAAUUCGACAUGUCGGAACAGGGGGAGUGACGUCGAUGCCUUCAUUUCUUAAGGAGUUUUUUCCGGUAGUGUAUGAAAAGACUCAACAACACCAAGGAGACGACAACAAUUACUGUAAAUACGAUAAUGAAAACUUACAGUUGUUCACAUCGUCUCUUUAUCUCGCGGCGUUAACCGCCACAUUCUUCGCUUCUUACACCACUAGAGCUCUCGGCCGGAAACAGACCAUGCUUAUCGCCGGAAUUUUCUUCAUUGUCGGAACCAUUUUGAAUGCCUCCGCCGUUAGCCUCCUCAUGCUUAUUCUUGGAAGAAUCUCCCUGGGUUGUGGAGUUGGAUUUGCCAACCAGGUUUAUUUUCUUCCCUUCUUCUUCUGCUCUGUGUUGCUCUGUUUUGGCUUUGUUCUUACUCUUAAUGUUGUAAAAUAGGCGGUGCCGUUGUUUCUAUCGGAGAUUGCACCGACGAGAAUUCGUGGAGCUUUGAAUAUAUUGUUUCAAUUCGAUGUUACCAUCGGGAUUUUGUUGGCAAACCUUAUCAAUUACGGGACAUCCAAGUAAGCAAAUUAAAAAAUUCUCUCUUUAUUUGAAAUGUGUAUAAAAUGUAAAAUUAAGAAUUUUGAAAUGAUACGACAGAAUUGAAGGAGGAUGGGGAUGGAGGGUAUCAUUAGCACUGGCUGGCGUUCCAGCAUUUCUAUUAACGCUUGGAGCAAUCUUGGUUGAUGAUACUCCAAAUAGUUUGAUCGAACGUGGUCAUUUGGAGAAAGGAAAAGCAGUGUUGAAGAAAAUCAGAGGAACAGAGAAUGUUGAGCCAGAGUAUUUAGAGAUCUUGGAGGCAAGUCGCAUUGCUCAAGAAGUGAAACAUCCUUUCAAAAACCUCCUCAUGCGCCAGAAUCGCCCACCUUUAGUCAUUGCCAUAAUGUUGCAAAUCUUCCAACAACUCACCGGCAUCAACGCCAUUAUGUUCUACGCUCCAGUUUUGUUCAACACGGUAGGCUUCGGUAACGAUGCGGCUUUGUACUCUUCUGUCAUAACAGGAGCCGUCAAUGUCCUUUCUACAUUGGUGUCUAUUUACUCAGUCGACAAGAUCGGGCGACGGAUGUUGUUAUUAGAAGCUGGAGUCCAAAUGUUCGUCUCUCAAACCAUCAUUGCAGUUCUAUUAGGCUUAAAACUCCAGGAUAGCGCUAAUGAUAUGUCGCGUGGGAUGGCGAUUGUGGUGGUGUUGAUGGUGUGUAGUUUUGUUUCAUCUUUCGCAUGGUCUUGGGGUCCACUCGGAUGGUUGAUUCCGAGUGAAACUUUUCCAUUGGAGACUCGAUCGGCUGGGCAAAGUGUGACAGUUUGUGUGAAUAUGGUCUUCACUUUUGUGAUAGCCCAAUCUUUCUUGUCAAUGUUGUGCCAUAUGAAGUUUGGAAUCUUCUUGUUCUUCUCUGGUUGGGUGUUGGUAAUGUCGUUGUUCGUACUGUUUUUGUUGCCAGAGACAAAGGGUGUUCCCCUCGAAGAGAUGACAGAGAAAGUGUGGAAGCAACAUUGGUUCUGGAAGAAAUUUAUGGAUAACACAGACACAAAGGAUUCCGUUUAAGCAUUAUAUAACUAAGCUAAGGUGUAUUGGUUUUUUAUGUCCUUUCUAACUUUCAUUAUUGUGAAUGAGCGUGACACGUCAAAGUCGUAGGCAUGUAUUAAUUUUUUAUUGACGUAUCUACAUUUUCAUCGAUAUAUCUACAUAUCUAUGAGUUUAACAUAGAGAUAAAGAUGUUAUUUCAUAAGAAAAGUCGAUGAAUACAAAUGUCAUUAGAAUGAGUACAAUAUUUACAAAAUAUAAAAUGUUUUCACUUUUUUUCCUACUUAAAUUCAUUCCUUAUUGAUAUUUCUAUUGUUAUUUUAAGUAAAACGUAUAUUGACAUUUACAUUUUCAAACUUAAUCAUGGUUUGAGCCAGUAGAAUCGAAUAAUAAUUACAGAAGGAAUUUCUACCAUAUGUGGUUGUUACUACACUAUCUUUACACGUAUUUGAUAUUAUAUUAGAGUUAUCAUAUGUUGUGAAUUGCAAUACCAAAUCAUAUCUUCACAAAUCUUUUUAUAAUAAUGUCUACUAAAUCUCUAUAUUUGUAAAGUUUCUAAAAUGUCCUUAGACUUACAAAAUAAUGUGCCACAAUCCACCACUUUCAAUAAAUCCUUCAACUUUCUAUUUUCUUUUUGACAUGAUUUUGUCACUAACAUAAUAAAAAAAAUGAUUAUGUUUGUCCUAAAUUAAUGAUCAAAAUGAUAUAAUUAGAUGGUACAUGCAUGUUUAAAAGGUGUAAAAUUUAAUUGGACUAAUUAACUAGAACAAAACUUAAAAAGUUUAGUGGCUACUAAAUUCUUUUAAAAUUGGAGUAGUUAGACCCAAUCCUAAAAUUGUAAGAACAUUGAAUUGUAAUUUAUCUUUGUUUAUAAUUUCGUUCUUAAACUGUUCUUCUUAAAAUGCUAACUAAAUUUCAAAGGAAAGAAGUAGUUUUGGCCAAGUUGGCCAAGAUUUUUAAAAUGAAUCAAAUACUACAAAAUAAAAAUGGUAGUUUUGCAUUUUAAAAAAAAUAUGAGUGGAAAAACAUUUUUUUAUUUAAAUAUUUUUAUAUUUAAAAACAGAAAAUCAUAUGAGAUAAAUUGAUCAGAAUCUGUUUAAUUAUUUUAUGAUAAAUUUUAUUUUUUCUAAUUAGUACAAAAAAGGAGAUAGGAAAUCCAACUUUGAUCUAAGGAAGACAAUGUGCAUAAAUCUAUUUUAAUUUACAUUCUUUUAUAAUAACUUGUGUGUAUAUGAGCAUAUUUUUAAGUGUCUGGUGAUAGAAGAACUCUUAAUAAAACUGCAAACCCAAUCCUUGCAAGGUUAAAGCUCAAUGAAUAAUAGUAUUGACUUUUUAUAAAGGUUUUGUCGGUUCAUAAAAUUCAAAUUUUAAAAACCAAAACUAUUUUAUCAUACAAAUUUCGAAAAAGAAUUAAGACGAGAUAAGCAUUCAAACACGUUAACAUACGUAAAAAAUUAAGAUUAUAUUUACACGCUUUGUUUGAAAUUAUAUUUCUUAACAAUUAUGUUUAUUACUUUGGCCAACUUUUCAGAAGAAAAAAAUGGUUGGAAUCUUCGCAAUAGUGAACUAAAGAACACCCUUUAAUCUCUAAUUACCAAAAUAAAAUGAAUAAUGAAGUAAAGGCCUAUUAGUAACUAACCAUUUCAUUUUACAGUUUCUUUUUUUUAGAAAAUCAUUAUUUUUUUAUUAUAUUUUCUUGGGUAGAUUUUGAAAAUAAAAAAUAUGUUUCUUAAACAAUGAAAGAAACUCUUGAAAAGUAGGAAAAAAGAAUCAAACAUCUAAUAUAAGUAAUAUAGGAGUUAUUGGAGUUGAGAUCUUCAUUUGGGUAGUAAUUUCUCGUCUUCUUCUUUAUUUUUCGUAGAUAUGGAAAAUGCUCGAUCAUAGUUUACUCUAUUAAGACACCAUUGACCAUUUCUCUAAAAAAAAAUGAUAAUCAUAAUAAAGCAUAUAACACACAGUCCACUCACCCACCCACACUCAUACGAAAAUUGUAUGUGGUUGAUAAAUAAUUAGUUGUAUGGUUUUAGAUCACCUCAAUCUCCAACCACAUCGAAUACAUAUGGUCUCACAUUCAAGAAAUAGAAGAUUAAGUUCAAUUUUUAUUUUAUCAACUUUCACAUAUAACGAUAAUAUUUUAAGUCCCUCGAAAUUAUAUAAAUAUUAAACACUUUUGAAUGGUUCAACUUUUAUUAUUUAGAAGUUUAAUUUCUAUAAUUACUGUUAGUUUCAGCGUACAAUUUUAAUAUUUAGAUAAAUUUAAGGACUAAUUUUUUAUGAUUAAAUGUUUUAGAGUGUAAUUUUAUCUACCAUCAGACACAACCAAAAUUUGCAAUUUGCUCCAAGAAAUACUUAACCUAUAUAUUUUCAAAAUUUUAUGCUAAAAUAAAAAUUACAUUGUAACAAAUGGGUGAAUAUUAACCACACUUUUUUUAAUCAAAUAUAAACUAUAUUAUUAAGUUGCUAAAAGAAAUAUACAUUACUAGAAAGAAAAAAAAAAAGUGCUACACCACACUUACCUUUAUGGAAACUUAGAAAGUUGCUUGAUAAAUUUUUUUUCAUAUAUAUAUAUAUAUAUGAGAAAUAACAAAAAAAAGAAUAAAAAUUCAAGAACAUAUAUAUUCAUCCAUCUUUAGGACAAAUACUUCGUGUAUAUCUCAAAAUCUUAACAUAUUAGUUCAAGUCAAUCAACUUCAUAAAUACAGAUCAUUACGACUUAGAAUACAAAUCUUACUCUUAAAAUUUUUAGCUUCUACACUUUGUCACUCUCUAACUUAAGGCAUAUUAGAAUGUGUACUCUAAUAUGGACAAAACUUUCUCUUUUGUAGACUACAUUUUCUUCUCUUUUUUAAAAAAUAAAUUUACUAUUAAUGUCAUGUGAAAGUCCGACAAGUUUUUCUUUUAUCCAUAUUUUGACUACAAGGAUAUAGAUUUAUCAACAUAGUUGAAGCUAGAAGAUAAAUUUCAUAAGAUUUUAAAUCUUACCCUCGUAUAUAAGUAAUUCCAAUUCUACAUGUUCUAACUUUAAAAUUAACUUUUUCUACAAUUUUCAAACGUAUUCAUGAAAAUUAAAUUCAUGUAAAGUAGGAUUAAAUGUGUAAUUUUAAUCCCCAAAGCUUUUAUCCACUUUGAUGUUAUUAGUGGGUAAGUCAAAUCAAGGGUGGAUAAACCUAGUGGUAACCUAAUAGUAACACAACACACUAACAUUGAUUCAAGGCUUACAAUUACUUGUGAUUGAAAAUUAUUCUCAUCCACCAAAUAUACCCAAAACCAAGUAUCCAAAAAGACACCAAAAUAAAUGGAAAUUGGGAGAUUGUGCCCUCAAAUAAUUUAAAACAUUUUCAACCAACCCAUCAUAGAAAGUUCCAUUUUCAGCAAACCAAUGAUCUUCUUAAGAACUUUUUUUUGUUUGUUUUUUUAAUUUGCUCCACUUAAUUAUGACCUACAAAUGGGCCCCCAAAGCAAAACGUGCAAUAUGAUAUGAAGCAUUAAUUUUCAAUUGAAAUUAAACAAUUUCGUGGGGAAAUCUCAAGACUCAGAUUUUGGUAAGCUAUGAAGUGACGUCGACCACCAACCUUUUUUUUUCUUUUUUUCUUUUUUUCAAAUUAAUCUAAUGAAAUUCUCCUACUAAGAGGUGCACAUAAUCAUUGUUUGGUUAAUGCGUUGGAAAUUUAUUACAAGAGGUCAGAAUAAAUGUAAAGAAGUAGUUGCACAUGUGGAUAUAUUUAAUCCAUAAUUAGUGAACUUUUAUCUAAAAAUUACUAAAACUUGUCUCGUCGUGACCUUAUGACUCCACAUUCCACUAAUUGGUUUUCAUUAAGCUGACUUAGAGUCAGUACGGAAAUAAUGGGAGAAGAAAAAAAUUAACGAAACCAUGCAACUAAAGUGAUAACCUGUUGUUGUAGUCCAUCAAACCUUUCAAUGUAAUAAUUUGAAGAUGAAAAGAGCUUUCACCGUAAUAAGACUUAGGAGGUCAUGUAUUAUUGUUAGAAAUACAUGUCAACUUAUUUUACAACAUUUCAAUUCAAGUUAGUUGUCUAUUUUGGUAGUUCGUUUUAUUGAUUUAGUUAAACUUGUCAAUUGCCUUUAAAUUUUUAGACCAAUAUGAUUAAAGUAAUUUAAAUUAGGGUCGUAAAUGUUAGCUAAUAUAAAUUAGAUUUACCUUUACUCAUUAGCUUAAAUUUUUUUAACAUAUUUAUUUUAUAUCUUAACUCACUAACUUAAACUGUUGGAUCAAUCGGUAAUUUAAUAUGGUAUAUCACAGUCAAUAAUCUAGGGAGGUCAUGUGUUCAAAUUCAUCUAAUAUUAUUUACCUUCCCUUACUAGUUUAAGUUAAUCUUUUGGAUCAAUGGGUGAUUUAAAAAUGAAUAUAUGGUUUAACUAUCCUAGCUUUAAGAAAAAUGUUCUUUACCAAUUUUGAGAUCAAAAGUUCAAUUAUUUUUUCAUUAAAAAAAACUUACAAAAAUGAGUAGAGUUCAUCUAACAAUCUAACAUAGUAGACAUAGUGUUCAUACUAUCUAUCUUGAAGCAAGAGAUUCUUAGUUACACCCCACAAUUUUACUAUAAUCUUAGUCUUUUCUUUUUCGAUCAAAGUUUUAGUAUCAUACUUGCAUGAACAAUUUAUAAAGUUUAAUGUCUAUAUAUGGUUCUAGUUUGAGAAUGCAAAGUUCAAAGCCAUUGAACAAUGCUUAGAACAUAAAGAUUUUAAUCAUGUAUAAAUUUCAUAUAAUCUUGCCUUGCCAAUAGUGAUCAAAAUGAAUCAAUUAUUUAUGAAUGAAAUUUUAUUAAUUUAUGUUGCCACGUGGACAAAUCCUGGCGGAGGGCACGGGCUGGCGCUGGGCAUUCGCCUUGCCUCCUGACAAGUGCAGUCCGAUACUAUUGUCCCUCAGCCUAUAAAUUCCUCACGCCAUUUCACACUCCACACACCAAUUUCUCCUUUCCCUCUUCUCUCAUUUUUUCUUCUUCUUGAAUUUUCCUUAUUAACCAUUGCCGCCUUUUCUUCCGGAAGUACUUUCCUUAAGAUUUCCAUUAAUUAAGUGAUCGUGUUUAGUAAGAACACAAAGUCGCCGUAACCAUGCCUGCAGGAGGAUUCUCCGCCGUCCACAAGAAUGGCGGAACAGAGUUCGAGGCUAAAAUCACUCCGAUCGUCGUCAUUUCCUGUGUAAUGGCGGCAACCGGCGGUCUCAUGUUCGGCUACGACGUCGGUGUCUCAGGUCACUACUCAAACUCUCUCUCGCUAUCUCGAUCUCUAUCUUAUACAUUGAUUAAGAACACAUCACGAUUUCAGUUGUCAGGAAUCAGGAUGACGUUUCUUUCUGAUUUAGUUUGAAAUUAUCAUCAAUAUGAAUUCAAAUCUUCUCGGAUCUUCGUACACGGUGAUUUUAUUAUUAUUUUGCAAAUCCUUAACUUAUGGCCGUUUACGAUUAAGUCGCGAUGUACUUGAUUAUAUCACCUCAUUGUCAGUCGCCUUCUUGUGUUUCUUUCCUCUUGAUCAGUUUUUUAUUAAUCAAAAUUCUGAACGAAUGGCUGCUAUACUAUUACGAUUGAUCGAUCGACUGUGUGUUCUGCUAUCACGACUGUUACACACUACAUUUUUUGUGCCAUAGACUAGCCUAAAAUUACAGAAAUAUAAAUUAGCCUAGAACAUUGAGAUAUUAAUUUGCUAAUGUAUAGAACAACGACGAUGUGCUUGAUCGAUUAUUACUCUACCAGGUGUGACUUAUUACGUUUUUCUUUUAAAUCAAUUUUUGGUUAAUCGUUAAACGUAGGAGGAGUUACUUCGAUGCCGGAUUUCUUGAAGAAGUUCUUUCCGGUAGUGUAUCGGAAGACACAGCUGAAGGAAGAAAGCGAUAGCAACUACUGUAAAUACGAUAAUCAAGGCCUUCAGUUAUUUACAUCGUCGCUGUAUUUGGCCGGUUUAACGGCGACUUUCUUUGCUUCCUACACCACCAGGAAGCUUGGAAGAAAACUAACGAUGUUAAUUGCUGGCGUUUUCUUCAUUAUUGGAACCGUGCUUAAUACCACCGCUGAAAAUCUCAUGAUGCUCAUCGUCGGUAGGAUCUCACUUGGCUGUGGAGUUGGCUUCGCUAAUCAGGUAUAUGUUUAAUUUACAAGUUCUGAUUGGCAUUAGAUAUGAUCGGUUAGUGGAAUAUAAACAAAACAUCCAAAUUGCGUCCUUUUGUCUUUAAAAUUUUUUAAUCCAAUAUGAAAUAAUAUUUCACUUCAACAUUACUUUACAUAAUGUUUUUCUUACAGUAAAAUGAAAUAAAGAUAGGAACCACUAUAAAUUGAGUUGAGUACAUUCUUUUAUAUGUUAUUGUGGCGUGGAACAUUUAUGCUCGUGUUUUAACUUUUCGAUUUUACAAAAACAUUUCUGUGACGAACUUUUAUGGUCAUAUAUUUUUACAGUUAAAAUACCAUCAACAUCUCUAGAUGUAUAGGUAUUUUAAUGAGCAGGUUAGCUAUAGUCAUUUUAUGAUAACAUCAACUAUGUGAUAACGUUGAAUUUAAUUUCCAAACAUGUGUGGUUUCGUUUAUAUGACAUAUAUUAUCUGAUAGGUAUAGAUAUAUAUUGAAUAUAUCUUUUGGUAUUUCUUUUAGUUCAAGAAUAUUUAAAUUACUUAAGAGUUUAAAUAUAUAGAUUAAUAAAUGUUUAUGUCUACAUUUUGAUAUUCCUAAGAUACGAGGAGUAAAAUAUAUUUUUAGUUCAUGGAGUUUAGAAUUUUUAUCUAUUUAGUCACAAAAGUUUUAAAAUAAGCAUUAUUAAUAUUUUAAAUCUAGAAAAUGAUUUUAAAUGAUCUCUAGAUCAUUUAGUUAACUAAUCAACUGUUAAUUUUAUUUGGAAAAUAAUCUAUUUUGGCUAAAAUUCCUUUAGUUUUCUUUUUUCCUUUCCUGAUUUUUGCUGAUUUGGAGUAUUUGAGAGUUUAAUAUAUAUAUUUGGAUUUUUCUCAAAUUAAAAAUAAUUUCAAUUAUUAUAUUUAAUUAUACACGGUCGUGGAGAUAUACCUUUAUCAAACUUUUGACUAAGAUCAAGUGUAUAUAUAGGUCAUGAAAUAUAUACACUUAUCUUUUGCCUGCAGAAAGAUAUACACUUAUUUGUUGUCUUAUAUAAUUCUUUUCUAGGUUUAAUAAACCUAAGUAACAAGAUCACAUGAAUUCUUUACACCCUUUCUAAAUAAUAUAGACCUUUCAAAUCUAGAAAACAAAAAUGAGCUUAGUUCAACCGCAAUUGUUAUUUUUAUUUUAAAGUUGGUAGAUUUAAUUUGUCAUUCUCGUUCUAUUAAUAGACUUAUGAACAUUGAUCUAAAAAUUAAGUAUGACUCUUUAAAUUUCAACUAAACAUUUCUUUUUUCUUUUCUUUUUUUCUUUUUUCUUCUUUUUAGUAAGAUUAAGAAAUUUGAGAAAUGUUGAAUAGAAAUGCCCUAUUACAUAAUAAAUUUACAAUCCAUAAAUUCAUUACUAUCAAUUUAAAAUUUUAUUUGAACACAAAUUUUUAUGAUUGAACCAGCUAUUAGACACUCAUCAAAUUUUGAAGACUAAUCUCGUAAAAUUUAACCUACAAAGAAAAAACACAUACACAAGAAAAAAAAGUGAGACAAAUAUUUACACAUUUUUAUAAACGUAGAAAGGAACUCGUUGCCCACAGAAUAGAUAAAUAAGCAAACAUGUCAUAACAAGAUGAGACGAUGUUGUCUAGAUAGCCACAACAUUUUCGCUACUUGUUCAAAGAACGUAUGUGAAUUUUGUUUCUAUUUCAUUAUUAGCUUUUAACAAAAUUUAGUUUAUAUAAUUGAGAUGUAAAAAUAUGUGCAUAUGAUAGUUUUUUGUUUUUUUAACUAUUAUUAUUAAUUAGCAUGUGCAUAUAUUAUUUCAAUCUCUGUCAUUUUAGUUUAGAAUGUAUAUAUGGUUAGUGUUCUUUAUCAAAUUUUGAAGUUUACAUGAUUUUUGUUCCCAAUUCAUAGUUCAUUCCAGAGAGGUUAAAUUUUAUCCAUAUUCCUUUUAUCUUUGUUAAUAAUGGGUGGUAUUAAUUAUAUAUUAUAAUUUAUUUGAAAAGAGGGUGGCAGAGCUGGUGUAGUCUGUAGACAAUAACAUAGUGCUGUUGUGACCAAUAAUUUCUUUACUACUCCUUAAGAUAAUUUUUUCUAUAAUAUAUAUUAAAAAAUAUAUAGUAAGUGUAAGACCAAUUAGAAUCAGCAAGUUUAGGUAUAAGGAAAAUAAAGACCAAAAAUAUAAUUGAACUUUUGAAAUGAAGACCCAUUGGAAGCUUGUGAAUUGUAAAAUAAAGUGUCUUUUUCUCUUUAUGGCCAUUAAUAUAAUUUCACAUGAAGCCGUCUACGUCACCCAUUUUUAUUUCUUUCUACACCUUUCCUCAAUCCUUCUUUUUUUUCUUCUCUCUUUUUGUUUUAUAUUUUUCUCUUCACCCUUUUUUUUUAUGAAGUAUUACUAAUAAUUUUCAAACAUCACUUUCUCUCCCAUGAAAAAUUGUCAGAAAUAGCUUCUAAUAGAUCUUAUCUUGUAAAACUAGCACUCCUUUUAAAAAUCGUUUAAACAUCUUUUCUCUAUCGGUCUUUAGAUUGACUAUCGAGAUUUUUCUAAAAUAUUAAAAAUUUUCAACUUGUCUAUUGUUUUGGCCACUUAAGAUUUUUCAGGUACAUCUCAAUAGACAUUAUAAAAGAAAUAUUACUUACUUUUAAAUUUAAAAUUUUGGCAUAAAUAUAUGUUUUUAAAUUUUACACAUAAAAAAAGUUAUUUAAGAUUUGAAUAGAUUUGAAAAAUUGUUAAUUUGCUAGAUACUCAACAACCCAAAACAAUGGUUAGAUUGAAAAUUUUUUAUGUUUUUGAGGAAUCUCGGUGGUUGAGAUUGAAAAAUUAUGUUCAAACAAUUUUUAAACAAAUGUGCUAAUUUUACAAGGCAAAAUAGCUAUUUCAUAUUUGUGAGAACUUUCCAUGUUGAUGUCCUUUCAUUAGCUCUUCACGAUCUAUAUGGUAUCUCCAACUAUUCAAUAUAUAACGCGCACACACACACGUAUUUAAUGAAACUAUAUUUUAAUAAUCUUUUAGAUCAACUCUUUUAAAGCUAAGAUUUACAUAGCUAUUUGUUAAAUUUGUAGAUGGUAUGUCUAUUAGCUCCAAUUACCUUCAUCUUUCAAACUAAUUACAAUGGAAAUCAAUAUGUGAAACAGGCAGUUCCAUUAUUCCUUUCGGAGAUCGCCCCAACUAGAAUCCGUGGAGGAUUAAACAUACUAUUCCAGCUCAACGUCACCAUAGGCAUUCUCUUUGCAAAUCUGGUCAACUAUUUCACUGCUAAGUAAAUUCCCUCUUGACUAAACGAAGAAACAUAGCACAAAUUUUCAUUUCAACGUAAAAAGUAAGCCUUUUUCUUUUCUUUUUUUGUCUAUACAGAAUAGAGGGAGGGUGGGGGUGGAGGCUGUCGCUGGGUUUGGCCGGAAUUCCCGCCGGCCUCCUAACUCUGGGGGCUUUGAUGGUGGUGGACACUCCCAACAGCCUCAUAGAGCGUGGCCGUAUGGAAGAAGGCAAAGCGGUGCUUAAAAAGAUACGUGGAACUGAUAAUGUGGAAGCAGAGUUCUUGGAGUUGGUAGAGGCCAGCCGUGUGGCUCGAGAGAUAAAACACCCUUUUAGAAACCUACUCAAGCGGAGGAACCGCCCCCAGCUCAUCAUUGCUGUUGCCCUCCAGGUUAGUAUCAUACAUUACCGUCCAACUCUUCCCCAGAGAUAUCAUUCUAAGUAUCUUGCUUGAGCUAUCUUUGUAUUAUUGCAACCACAUCCGAUAUUUAUAUGACAUUAGAGGUUCUAUUUCAAAACUCAUUCACAAGGAUCAAAUAGGUAAUUCAUUUAUAUAUCUUAUUAGGAAUGAGGUCUUCCAAAAUAAGAUAAUAGUAUUAUCUUUUCCAUACGGACUAGGUCAACUUUUAAAUUCUUUGUAUAUCAUAUCUUAGUUGAUCGUGUGACCAAGUUCCGUAGGAAAUGACUAAAGAGUAUGGGAAUAUACGUGGGUAAUAACCAUCCACCAUAUGAAGCCUUUUGAGUAAAUGUUAGCAAAACAAAUUUGUGUUUUCAACUCAUCUUCAAAAACGAUCCAAAUACAAGUUAUAUUUGAUCUUUGAACUUAGGUUUGAAUUUACUUGUAAAUGAACCGUUCUCAUGUUGGUUUGCCUUCACAACUCAAAUUAGUUUUGAAACGUGAUAUUACUUUCGGGAGUAAAAGGUAAGGACUUUAAAAAGAAUUUGUAGUUCUCUCCCUCCUUGAAAAUCUAGAUUACCGAUUUGUAUUUGGAUUUGUUAUUGAAAUUCAUCAUUCUAGUUGAUCUAGUUGAUCGUACUGAUAGCUCACUAAAUCCUCGUCUUCUUCCAAACAGAUAUUCCAGCAAUUCACAGGUAUCAAUGCGAUCAUGUUCUACGCUCCGGUCUUAUUUAACACACUAGGUUUCAAAAGUAGUGCCUCUUUGUACUCCGCUGUCAUAACUGGAGCUGUCAAUGUCGCCUCGACAGUCAUAUCAAUCUACUCCGUUGACAAAGUCGGACGCCGGAUGUUAUUACUUGAAGCCGGAGUACAAAUGUUCAUUUCUCAGUUAAUGAUCGCCAUAGUUCUAGGAAUCAAAGUUAAUGAUCACUCUGACAAUUUAACCAAAAGCUUUGCAACAUUAGUUGUGGUCAUGGUUUGCACCUUCGUCUCUUCAUUUGCAUGGUCAUGGGGACCACUAGGAUGGUUGAUUCCAAGCGAAACAUUCCCAUUGGAGACUCGCUCUGCCGGCCAAAGCGUGACCGUUUGUGUAAAUUUGCUAUUCACAUUUGUGAUAGCUCAAGCCUUCCUCUCGAUGCUUUGUCACUUGAAGUUUGGGAUAUUCUUAUUCUUCUCCAGUUGGGUUUUGAUAAUGUCGGUAUUCGUGUUAUUCUUGUUGCCAGAGACAAAGAAUGUACCGAUUGAAGAAAUGACAGAACAAGUAUGGAAACGACAUUGGUUUUGGAAGAGAUUUGUAGAAGAGGACGAAAUUGAGGGACAGAAAAGAAGUGUGAAGAAACAUAGUAAUGGCUUUGAACCUUCUCUCGAGUUGUAGUAAUGAUUUAAAAUUUCUUGAAGGGUUUCCCUAAAUGGUAGAAGGAUUAGGCACCGAAUAGAUAUUAUAAUGGGACAAUAAAUUAAUGAGGUUCAAGCUCUUUUUCCCUUGGCUAGAAGAGUGGACUUCUUAUGCAUAAGAGCAUUUUUGCUUCGGCCUCAAACGAAGGAAUGAUCUUUAAUGUCAUGGAGCUCAAAACUUGCCUGAAGAUGGGUUUGCAUUUGUAAUGAUACUAAUAAGUUAUAUAUUAAUUUGUCAUGUCUAUUUUAUACUUGAAAUAUUGAACCAUUUCAAUUACAUCCCAAACUUUACCUAUACUUUCCAUGCAUGAAAUUUAAAGAUUUUAAACGCAAAAUGUACGUAUUUUGAAAAUAAAGUUACAUAAAUGUUGCAAAAGUGAACGUAAACUGACUUGAACGAUUAUUGAUAUCAAAAAAAUGAAGUUAAAUUAAGGUUAAAUUGCAAAUUUGAUUUCUAUAAAAUUAAAAAAAAAAAGUUAAAAUUUAACCUAUGAAUUUCAUCAUUAUGGAAUGAUAAGACAUCAUAAUUAGUUUAUAUGGUUUGAUAAAAACCUCUAAUUCGACAAAAUCUUACUAAAUAGUUUGAAAUAGGAUAAUUAAAAUUAUCUCAACCAAGCCUUAUAAACGUACAGCAAGUUCUUUCUUCAUGGUAACUACUUGCAAUUAUUAAAGUUGAGAAGGCUUGAAAAAGGAGUAAUGUCACACAUGAGCAAAAGCAUAAUAAUGCUAACUUAAUUUACUCGAAGCUGAAAGAGGAUUUAGAGUAACCAAAUUUAUUUAAUUAAAUGAAUAUCAUAAAUUAUUCCAGUUUGUAAAAUCAUAAAUGAUCUGAUUUCCAUCGUCCUCUUUCCUUGGCCAAACAAUCGGAUACUUAGCAAAUGGUAUGUUCUUCGAGGAGAUGUCAGUGGCUCAACACUGAUGUUAUGGUACAGCAAGAAGAGCACCAUGUAACAAACAGAAGGUGCAUGCUCCGAUCUCAUAGAUCGAUUCUAGGGGGCUCGUGUUUUUUGUUUUCAAGAUCUUAAGAGAUUCAACUUUGCUAUAAUUUUUUCAAGAAGAAGAUUAGGGAUGAAGAAAGACUAACAGUUUCUCCAGUUUGCUACAUUUUCUGGGAGGAUGAAUCUGAUGAAGCAAGCUCAGCGUACAUAUUGGAUAUGGCAUUGGCAAAGUAUUCCUUGGCUUGGGGUCUCUUGAUCUAUGGAAAAAGAAAAGGAAUUCGCAUAUCAGAAAAUAUCAUGAUAGUAUAAUCGUUCAACGAUCUCAUGAUAAUGUCUACAUUCGCCACUUGCCUUAAAUGUAGGAGUGAGAAGACCAUUCUCCAAUGUGAAAGGCUCGUGGACCAAAGUGACAGCUUUUGCAAAUUCGAAACCUCUCAACUGGAAUUAAACAAGGGGAUUUGUGUUAUAUAUAUUAUUGCUGCGAGAGUAAGCAAAAUUGCAUAACUGAAUCAAUAAUUUUUUGCUUGCUUGCCUGUGCCUCUCUUCCAACGGCAUCCAUGUCCGCCAAUACUGCGGCCCUUGCUCUCGGGUCAUUGCAGAGUUGAGCUAAAUCAUUAUACUGCACGUAAAUUGUUAGACAAGCACUGUUUAGAAAGACAAGGAAAAAUGCUCUCGGAAAUUGAGUGGAUCCAUGCAAAACUUGCGAAGAUUAUGCAAAUACCCUAUUAAAUUUGUAUUUUUUGCAUAGAAACAACGCCUCUCAAAAAAUAAAUAAAUAAUACAUGUACAUACAAAAAAAAAAAAAAAUCCCCCUGCAUGAAGGGACUUCGACUAUGCAAAAUAACUGUUGUAGAGAAGUUAUAAAAUGUCUUCUGUGUGAAGUCUAGAUUUGUAUAUAAUAUAUAAUUUUGCAGUAGCCUGUAACUGAUACCAUAUUAAUCUCCUUCAAUUUUUUUUUUGCUUUGAUUCUAUUGCCUAUUGGCUAUCUAUAAAUGGAGAUAUUGGUGGAACGUGGAACUUGGAAGUUAGAAGAAAUUUGCUUGAUAACGAGUCUCAAUUCUGGAAAUUCUUCAUUCUUGGGCCCCUCAGAUGGUGGUGAUAGUCUUAAAUGGACUCCUGACAUCAAUGGCAGCUUUUCUACGAUAUCUACUUUUCUUAAUUUAACCAAGAGAUAUCACUCCAUUGCUGCUCCUUUGAUGCACCACAUAUGGAAGAUUAAAAUUCCAAAAAUGUGAAUUUUUUCUUAUAAUCGCUCCAAAAUAAAUUCCAGCACACUAUGCUCAGCCCCCCGGUGUGCUGCCUUUGUUUCAAAGAUGAGGAGAUCCUGCACCACUUAUUUUUUCAUUGUCUCUUUACUAGGAAAGCUUGGAACAUUUUGUUUAUAAUUUUUUAUUUGGAGUUUUGUCUUCCUAGUAAGGUCGAUAGUUGGAUGCUAAAAGGGCUUGACAUUAGAGAUUAUAGUCCAAAAGGAAACAUCUUAUGAAGAUGAUGUGCUACCCCGUCACUUUUGUGGUGUGUUUGGAAAGAAAGGAAUAGUAUAACUUUUUAAGAUGGCUAUAAUUCUUUUGAUUCUUUUUUGGACUGUGUUGCAACACACGCUUCUUGGUGGAGUACGAAUUACACAAAGCAACAAGCCCCUAGCUGAACUAGUCAUAAAUUUCUCAAUUGCCCAAGAGAAGUGCUCAUUUCCAACUCAAGUUUAGAAUGAAGGUAAAUGUAUAAUAUUUCUAAGACUAAGACAAACUAGCGUUACCUUAAUGCCUUCAGAAGAAGCCCAUGCUUUCAAGGUCUCCACAUCAACUGAGACUACAGCUACCAGAGAUGCAUUAAAGCUAUCACCUUCAGGAAGGUGGAAAUAGCGUCAGUAAUCAAGGGGAUCCACGUCAUGGUAGCAUGUAUAAGGACCAGUCAUAUUCUAAUCAUGUGAAUAGACAAAAAGGUUGAAUAGAUUGUAGAAUUUCAUUUCUCACCGUAAACAAAGCAUUGUGCGACAAACUUGCACUUCGCAUACACGUUUUCAAUUUUCUCUGGUGCAAUGUACUCUCCCUGUGCCAACUUAAAGAUGUUCUUCUUCCUAAGAAAAAGUACAAUAAUUUGAAUAAAAGAAGUCAAUCCUUCAAUUAUAAAGAUGUAUAGGAGAUUUAUUUACGACCGUUUCUCAAAGAGAAAAGAUGUUACUUCUAGCUAAUGAACCCGAGAAUAUAGGAUAAUUAUGUAAAUAUUAGUUGUCAAUAUUUGGUGUUUAUUGUCUUUUUUUUCUUUGUUGAUGUAGGUUUUUCUCUAAUAUAAGUAGUUCUAGGCUGUCACAUUAUUAUAUAACAAAAUAUUAUUACUCCCCAGUCUCCAAAAUAAAUACUAAUCAAUUCAUGGCGUAAAAAGUAUAUAAAACCUCCAGGCAAUUCUUCAAUGACUUCAGCAAAUUUCAGAACUUUAUUACAGCAAUCUUUCAAAUAAUUAAGUCUGUUCUUAUUCUAUGAGUUGAAAAGCGAUGAAAGGUGGAGCGAUAUAGCUCACCUGUCAAUAAUCUUUAAACGACCACCCUGCAUCCACAAUCCAAUGUCUCCCGUAUGGAGCCAUCCAUCUUCGUCAACAGCUUCCCUCCUGUCCAAUUCAAAUCAUUAUUCAAACUAUAAAGUACUCGAUGAAUUAAAGACAUUCAAAGAGAUGAGCAAAGGAAAUUGUUACGUCUGCACUUCAUCUUUGAAAUAGCCCUUGAAAACAAGGGGACCCCUGACACAGAUCUCGCCACGAGAAUAAGGCUGAUCAUCAGAUGUGUAAUUCAUCUCUGGAACAUCCACGAGCUUUAUUUCUAAAACAGAAAUGAAGGACAAUUUUUAGCACAGACUCUGAAUAAUGAAUAGAAGAAUUACAGUGAGCUUGAAAAAGGCCAAAGAAUCAAUGGCACGAAUUAAGUUACCCACACAGGGGUGCAAAACCAUAAUAAGUUACUCUGCACUAAUUGAUAUUACAUUUAUUUUAUCUUUGUGUGGGAGAAAUUAUCCAAGGAGAAGAAAGCAAUACCGCUGGCAUAUUUACACCAUUGAAUGUAUGAAAAAUAAAUUAACACCUACAAUUUCACCAUUCAUCCAGUGGUUAGGAAGGUAACAGUCAUAUUGAGUACUUUUUCUUUUUUAGACCUACAACUUCAAAGCCAUUUCCCAGAAAUUGAAUUUAAUGCACAUAAGAAUUUCAGUAAAAUAGCAGCAGAGUUAGAUGCAAUCGUUAAAAAAUAUCCGUGCAUUCAUCACCAACAAACUCCUCAAGCAUAUCUUAAAUGACUGAGAAGCUCGUGUCAGUUGCUUACCACAAGCCGGAUUAGGAGCCCCAACAUGACCACAAAGGGUGUCGUCUGGAUCCAUAGCACUUAUAACACAAGAAGUUUCUGUCAUUCCAUAGCCUUCAAAUACUACACCACCAAAGCAGCUGUGGAGCAAUUACAUCUAAUUCUUCAGAAACUGGAAGAAAUCUGAAAUAAUAUAACCGUCUCCUAAAUUUAACUGUGAACCAAAAUAUUAAAGACUCACAUCUUUAAAAAUUCCAGUAUAUCAGGAGACAACGGUGAAGCACCAGAUGCCAAGACACGAACUCGUCCUCCAAGCUUUGCCUUUAUCUUAUUAAACACCAAUUUAUCCCAGAGGGGAGAUGGACUUUUUCCUUUAAUAGCAGGAUGCCCCAAAUACAAACAAUAAAUCGAUUACAAGAUUUUGAAAAUACUAACACAUAAAAGGUGAAAAUGAAAAUGUCGAACACAAAUGGAUGCAAGUAGGAACUGAUAAGCAAAAUUUAUGAAAAUUGAGAACGGCAAGGACAAGGACCUAAAAGGCACUAACGCAAACACAAGAUAUGGAUGCAACACAAUACAAACACAUUAAUUUCCAUCGUACCGUUCAUUAUUGCUUGUCUUUUGGAAUUGUAAGCUGCAUUGAACAGUCUCUCCUUCAGCACACCAGAGGUCUUUACAGCAUUAAUAAUUCUGUUCACCAUGUAAUCAACUCAAUGACAAGAGAAGCAUUGUAUUUUCUGAUUGAUCAAUUAACUUUUGAUGCAUGAUCUUUACCCAGCAUAUAUUCUGUUAUACAGCCUGGGAACACUGCAGAAGAUUGUAGGUCUUAAUGCAAUCAUAUCAUCCAUCAAUUUCAUAUUGUCCUAACACAUGUAUAGAAGAUCACAUCAGGUUGCCUCAAGUAAUGAAUGAAAUCACUCUCAAGUUCAUAGUAAGCUCAGUACUCAAUGAAGUUAGUAUAGAUAUAGCUUCAUACCCCCUGGUAAAAACCAACAGCAACCCCAAAAUAAACCGUCGAGACCUGGUUAGCCCGUUCAUAUAUAUGUGCCAAAGGGAGGUACGAUAUGUAGCUGAUAAUUAGAAUGUAAAUCAGUGCAAACCAAACACAUCAAUAAAAUUAGACGACAGUGUCACAUUACUGUAAUGUAAAAGUGAAACACCCGAUGCUUACACAUCUGAGGGGAAAAAUUUCAAAGCAAGAGAACAUCCAGCAACACUCGCAAUUAAAUUCCCAUGUGUCAAUACAGCACCCUGGCAAGAUAUUAAUGUGAACAUAAGAAAAAUAACCUUGUUAGGUGUGAAAGAUCAAGUCAUCAUUAAACAAUGUCAGCAGCUUCGUGCUCAGAUAGAAGAAUUUUUAGAAGUUAUACCUUUGGGGUCCCAGUUGUACCACUCGUGUAGCAAAUAGUUGCAAUGUCAUCAGAUUUUGGAGGGCAAAAAGGCUGGAUGUUAGUGCUACCCUGGAGGAAAGAAUGUCCAAUGACAGGAUAACUUUUUAAAGAAAAUGGAGUAAACAGAACGGUACAUCUAAGAAACCAUAAUCAUACCCCACCCCACCCCCCACCCCCCGGUUGUUGAUUUCAUUGAUCAAUAAAAGAAUUCAUUUCUUUUAAAAACAAAAAUGGUAGGAUAUAUGUGGGUAGUAACCACAGGGAAAACCCAUGCUAGCAAAGAAAUAUGAAGUUGCAUAUUGCUUCUUUUAUCACCAUGCAUCUAAGAAAGAUCCAGCAAUAUUUUUGUGGUCUCGAACUAGGGCUCUUCACUAAUGUUGGAACGUGAACCAUUGAUAACUCAUUUCGUUUCCUUUGGGAGUUUUAUUCCUUUUCAUUAUCUCAAUGAGUGGUUUUUGAAAAAUAUACAAAUAUACAUAGCUUAAUAAAGAAGAUGCAGCCCCAUAGGACUCACGCAAACGGCUAACCAUGUAGCUUCUUUCUUAUGACAUCUUGGGAGGACUUUUUCAGUUUUUCCUAAUCUUAUUUCCUUCUCCUUUCCAAUUAUAUCAUGGGAAACUAAGAGCUUACCUGACUAAGCAAACUUGCAUACGUUAGAACCUGCACCCCUGUCGAUGAUGGAAGUGAUGGUAUUUGAUCAUCUACCCCACCUACAACCUACACAUUUUGGAAGCUAAAUUAAUUAACUAAUUGUAGGUUGUAACAAACAGCCGGAUAUCAGAUCAAAUUAAGAUCAAUUGGCCGGAUAUUAUAUCAAAUUAAGAUCAAUUGCAAACACACUGUGAUUCAUACCACAAUCAGCCGUACGGUUGGAAUUUCUGACAAGAAGCUUAGUAACUGCGAAUUAAAAGUUAAUUAAUAAUGAAUUAUUUCCUGAAGUCAAAUCUCCCAUCAAAAAUCAAGAAUAUAGCUGAGGCCAGUUUCUGAUACUAUGAGAAACAGGUCCUGCAGCAAUGUUAUUUCUUUUGAAUAUCAAAAUCAAUUUCUAAGAAUGCAACAGAUCGACUAAAAUCUCAAAUGUUUCACUCACAGAAUUCAAUGUUUGAGGAACACAAAAUAUAACUUGUACAAGAGCAUGAUUUACAAUAUACUUGACCGCAUCAGGACCUGUAAGAAAGAAAGAAAUUCAAACACAACACCAAAAGGGGAAAUUUUCAAAAUAAAAAACAAUAUCUAAAAGAGAAAUGACAAACCAAGAGUAUCGUAUAAAGGAACUGAUAUGUAAGAAUAUGCUGAGCAGGCGUGGUCAACUACAAGCCACUCAGGUCUAUUGAUGAAAUAUAAUCCAAUGCAAGAUCCCUGUGCCAAGGAUACCCACAAUAGUUAGACAACGCUAAAGAAAUAAUAAACUAAAUAUUAUUCUUUCUUAUCUUUUCUUUUUCUAUAGAAAAACUAAACAUUAUCAUAGCUUUAGGCAUUCAGUCACUCACCUUUGGUAUACCAUGAUUUACAAGGCCAGAACCUAAUGCUGUCCGAGCAGUACCUGCUUCUCCAUAUGUCAUCCAUUUGUACCUUAAACAGUGAGGAUUUGUCACAAAAUAUGGAAAAACCCACAGCAAAAGAAUUAGAAAUUCAACGGUAGCAUAAAACUCACUCUCCAACUGUUCCAUCACAUCGGAUUCGGGUACCUAGAUAUUUAUAGUCUCUAUAUACAUCAGUUGAGCGCCUAAAGUGGAGAAAGUAAAAUCACAAGUCAAAAGCUAUAUAGAUAAUCAAUAUUAGCAGUAAACAAAGAAUACCAGUUCUUUGUGUUCGGAAAUGAGAUAGAUGAAGUAAAGAUACUCACGUAAAGUUAUCGUGCAAUGUACCAAUUUCCGGAUGAUCAGGAAAUCUAUCCACAAGCUUCAAAGGAGAGCGAGCAGAUCUACCACGAGGAAACAAAUUAUCUUUAUGAAGCAUAGUCAUGCAGAAAGGGCAAAUCAAAUUCAAAGAACCCAUUAAAAUCUUUACCUAUAUACAUUCCACUUUCCAGUCUGCAAUUUCUCUGGAAGCACAACGCUGUAGCCAUCCCCUGCUCAGAAUUAAUAACUUUGACAAUGUCAAUCAAGCAUGGAGAAGAAAGAGGACGAUUAGUAUAAUAUAUCAAAUAUAUUUACAGAAACAGGGUACAGCAUUUCUCAUUUCCUCAUAUUCGAUGAUAUUAGACAUGGAGAUGGUCCACUAAAAUUGUCUAAACUUGUACAUCAUAAAAACUGUGGCUCACCACCUUGAUCAUGCCUUUUGUUUAGAUUCUGAUUCAAAAUGGUUUUUGAUUUUUCUCUAAAUACCAACUAGAAAAUCCCAACCUAUAGCCCAAUAGUCACGAACUGAAGCUGAAUAUUCUUGCAACAAACAACAAUCCCAGAAACUCUACUACUAAAUGUAGAAUCUUCGCUCAGUGCAUUCAUAUACCAUAAAAUGUAAAGGAAAAGGUCGUUAGUCAUAAUUUCUAAAUUGAUAUAAUUCCUUCCCGAAAUCACCACGUUCUUCCAAUCAGUUCCAAUUCCAAUGCAGCCUGGAACCAAAGACUUCAACUACUUCGAUAAAAGAACUGCAACCUAUUGAUAAAGGAUGAAAGACAUCGCCAGAAUUGAGAUAGAACUUGAAAAAAACAAUCCGGUCACUUCUAAUUUCCAAUUUGAAAGACUCAUCAGAAACUCGAUAGUGCUUCCGGGCUAUGGCCAAUAAAGAACCAUGUGUCCCCACAACUUACAUGGUGAGUUUUUAAACUUUCCUUUUCCAUUUGUUCUUCAGUAACUAGAUCCUAGCGAUAGUAGUUGUUAUCCCCCCGUUCAAAUAAUGUUUGGCAGCGUCUAGAUCCUAUGAAGUCAACCAUAUUAAUCACUAGCACUGAACCUUCUGCCUUGCGACAUAGAGAGAAAAAAGCAAUGUGAAAAAUAAGAACCUCAUUCGUAUGCAUAUCAAUCCGUACAAACCUCUUUCAAUUCAAUCAAUUUUGAGCUAGCUCGAAUGAUCGAAGAGUAAAUGAAAAGAGAGGAAUCGUGCACAAUCAACAACGCCCCCAACCACACAGACAUUGAGAAUCUCAAAAAUCCAGACUCGAAAAAUAAGAAACUCCCUCAGCAACGGGACAAAGCAGAAUCAACGUAGAACAGACACAACAAGUGUUCAAACAGCCAGCAUUUAAUCAACAUUCGUUGAUACCAAUGCGUUUGGGCAAAAAACCAUAUCUCCUAUGGCCCACGUUUACUCUGAUUGGCUGCGAACAACAAUAAAAACGAAAACCAAGCCAAUAGUCAUAUCCUCAUCGGCUAUAAAACGUUACAGAUCCCUAGCUUUUCAUAGGAAAUUAUUAAACCACUCAUAACAAAAUACGCCAGUGAGAUUUUCACACAUCAAGAUAUAAAAUGAAGAACAACUAAGCGAGAGUCAAACAGAAAGAGAGAGGGAGGGAGAGACCGCUAAAAAACUCGCCAGCAGUUGCAUUAAGCUGGAGCUGAGAAGAAGAGAAUUCGCUGGCGGGAACAAGAUGAUCCUGAAUGGCUUGUAUCCGACGUCGAGCCGCUGAAGAAUCCAUAAGCACGCAAAGAUUUCAAUCCGCCACUCCCAAUCUAAGCCGAUCACUAUAUAGAAAAAGCAAAGUAGAACGAGAAUCCUAGUAUUCAAUUGAAUUUCGUCGAUGAAGAAAAAAGGUAAAAAGAACAAAAAAAACAUUUAUGUAUAUACACUUGCCGGAUAGAUUAUUGAACAGGCACGCAUCUUUAGGUAGAUGACGGUACAAUGACGGGAAUAGCGAUCCGGAUAAUAGCUUUCUGAUUAUUUUGAAAAGAAAAAUUAAUCGUUCGAUUAUCCACAAACAGAAGCUGUGAUCCGUAUGAUGAACAAGAAAACAAAUCAGUAGAAGGAGACGUGAACGUAAAACGCAUUCACAUUCGAUUGGUUGAAAUUGUAGUUGAGUUUGAUUUUUCGGUCAACUUUCCAUUUCGGAAUUUUGCCUUCCAUUACUCCGUUUGAUCAAAAUCCUGCGGCCUUCGAUGCACUCUUUUUGCAAUUCAAUUUUACCAUUAAAUAAAUUAUAGCAAGAGAAAACAAACUUGAACCAUUGCUGCGAAUUUGUAACGAUUUCCAUUUCGUAUGAAUACAAUAAUCAAUUCCAAAAUAUUGGCGGUCCAAUCUUAAAAUACUUUUGGAUAAACUUUUGUACAUUCAUUACCUAAAUUUUUGUACGUCCAUCUAUUUUCAAUUUUGCACCCUCUCGAAAAAUUGGUAGGUAACAAUUUCAGGCUUAUAUUUUUAAAUUUGUAAAAAUUUAAAAUAAAUAUUCAAAGUUUUACUAUUUUAUGAUAGAAUGAACAUUAUAUUUUAUAAAGUUAUUGAUUUAUUUAUGUAACAGAUGUCAUCAAACUUGUGAGAUCAUUUAUAUAAUAUAAAUUAAAUUGUUACAAAAAUUUAAAAUAUGAAAACUAAAUUAUUAUGUAUAAAAUUUAUGGACUAAACUAUCACAAUUUUGAAAAUUCAAAUAUUAAAUUUAUAUAAAUAAAUUUUUUAUUAACUAAAUUAUUACCUCUACCUAAAUUUAGAUGCAUUUACGCACCUCAUUUGAAAAAAAAAUUAUCUAGGAAUAUAAUAAUCACUAAUUUGCUAACGUAAACACUAUUUAAAAGUCUAUAAUUGGGUGGAGUAAAUAAUAUUUCAAAACUCAUAAUUUGCUACAGUUUUUACUAUUUGACAUUCAUUUUUUUUGUUAUUUGCUACCAUGUUUAUUGUCUUCUUAUUAAGCCAAAAUAAUAUACACACCAAAACACAUAUUAACUUACCUCAAACUAAAAUAAUUUAUACCUUAAACAUAAAUUAUUUUAAUCAAUUUAUGACUAUAACAACUCACUAUUUACUCCAAACACCUCUUUAAUAUAAUUCACAUUUUGUUACAUCGAUCUUUUUUUAAAACAUGAAAUCCUUCAAAAAUAUUUAUUUAAUAAUAUACCAAAUUAGGUUAGAAACUUCGAGUUCUUAUAAAAAUAAUUAUGACAACAUCACUCAUGUCAUUACAUUUUAUGAAUUGCAAAAGCAGCAAAUUUAACGUUCAUAAUCAUAUAAUUACCGUUAGAUAGUUGUAAUAUCAAUAAUUUUAUCAUAUCCGUAGUAUUAAAAAAAUAUGUGUCAUAUAAACUGUUUUAUUUUUAAUAUGUUCGUGCAGUUUUUUUUUUUAUAUAUAUAUAAAGUUUCCGCGAACAAUACAACACAACAAUUAAACAUAUCGAAUAAGAAAUUGUCACCUAAUAAAUAGUGACCGUCGAUUAAUUACCUAAAAACAGAGACUAUCAUUGAACAGAUGGUAAAAAAGAAGCUACGUUUCCACACGUGUUUAGAAGAAUCCACAUUUUUUUCGCAAAUGAUACCUUAUCUUCCUCUUUUACCGUUAAAUAUAAACGUCCCUAUUCAAUGUUUUCUCAAAAGAUAAUUUCAAAAUAUCAAACAAAAAAAAAUUAUUCCGCCUUCCUGAAAAACCACUAAAAACAAUAUUUUAAUACACUUCUUGAUUUUUCGUAAAUAUUUUAUCUACUUUAUUGACCCAUUUUUAAAUAAUGUUUAUCCCUUCUUUCCUUUUUUAUUUUAGUAAGAAAAAGUAAGAGAAUAUAUUGAUUUGUUUUUUAUUUUAAUAUAUUUUUUUAUUAUAUUUUAACUAAAUUAUAGUUACGAUGUAGUGGUUUUAUUUCCACAAAACCACCAAGUUGAGAGUUUGAUUGUUGUUUAUUAUAAUUAUUUUUUAACUAUAACUAAUUUACUUAAUACUUGAUCUUAUAUACAUAUUUUGUGACGGUAUAAUUAUAUCUAGUUUGCUAUAUUCAAUAUUUACCAGUUAAGUUGAUUUAUUUGAUUUUGGAUGUAUCAUAUAUUUCAAUUAAACUUUUACAAUGGAUCGAUUUUUGGGAUAUUAAUGUAAAUGGCAGCUUGGUAAAAAAUAUUUACGUUAAUUCUUUAUUUUAAAAUACCUCUAACUUUUUGCUUUUAAACAAAUAUUUUUACUAAAUGCUAAUUCCUUUUUGAUUUACCGUACGAAAAGAGAGGAUUUUACUCUAACUUUUUGUUGGCAGUGAUAUGUGUAUUAACGCAUUAAAUUAAAUUAUGUUAUCACGUAGUAGAUUAGCACCUAAAUAAUAUUUCUUAAAGGAAUGGAUUAAAAUUAAAACACCCAUUGUUUAUCAAUAUUUUUUGUGGCCACCUGCGUCUCUAAAGGGCUAGUGGAUACAUAGCUACGUUGUACUUAAAGGCAGGCAAGGUCGGUUCACUUGUGUUUCUUAAUUAACUUAAUUUAGUUUAUGUUCGUGUGAUUGUUUUAAUUAGUACAUAGUAUAUUUAUUUUGUCUAGUGGGUAUCAAGACAGUAUCCAUAUUGAAAAUAUAUUUUAAAGUUACUAAAAUUAUUUUCUCCUAUGAUCUUCUGUUUUUUUCAUUCCAUGUUUUUUUGAGUAUAUGCUUUAAUUCAAAAGUUGUAGAGAACAAUUGAUAUAUGCAAUUUAAUACUUACGACGAAUUUUACUUUCAAGACAGUAGUUCGUCACAACAUAAUAAUGAUUGACAUUUUUUGUUUUCAACCUUUUCUAAAUGCUAUUAUAAAAAAACUAUUAAUAAUUAUAUAUCAAUUAUUGAGUAGUUUAGCUUCAAUGAAACUCCAAUAACCCAACAACUCUCGAAAUAGCUCCAAAACUAGUUCAUAUGUAAAAAAAUGUGAAAUAAAGUUUGACGUAAAAAUUUAUGACAUUCUCUACGUUGGAUUAAAUGUGAUCAAUUUAUAAUUUUAAUUUAGUUGGAUGACAAAAGGCUGUGUAUUGAAAUUUAUAUUCUUUUAAAAAAAAUUAACUGCUGCAAAUAAAAUACAAUAUUGUUAUUCAAAAGUUUGAAUUGUUUAAAAAACAAAAAAAAAUGUGCAUGUUAUAUUCACACAUAUACAGUGUUGAUUUGUUAGAAAUUUUGGAAAUCAAAAUCAUAGCAUAAAACUAAUUGUGCUCAAAGUUAAAUAAAUAUCUAAACACACCCGUCCUAUGAAAAGAUUGAAAGGUUAAAUAAUUGCAAAUAUGAAAGUGAUUUUUGAACAUAAGAUUAUUAUUCACUUAUGAAGCAAACACCACAUGCAAAAAUAUAUAAUUGAAAAGUUAUAUAACAAUUUUCAACGCUUAAUUAACGAGUUAGGGUUUUAGUCCAAAAAGAUACAUAUUUGUUCCAAAACCUAUUUUGUAUUUAGGUUUACGUUAUUUACAAAUUUGGCACUAUAGGUCGAAUAAACGUGUUAUAUAAACUAUCACUAGUAUCUCUAAAUUUGUCGUAAUAUGAGAUUAAAUGGCUCUCUUGAAAGAAACAUAGCAAAUGUAUUGAUAAUGAAUCACGUAAAUUCAAGACGUGUUGGACGUUUGAGAUGGGGUGAUAGCUAGCGUGGAAAUGGGACCAAAGAUGGUGGGUGGGAGGAAGAUCUGGACCGUGAAAUAUGCUGACUUUGAGUUGACUUCAGGGAUGUCGGUGGGGGGAAGAGGAGUGGGUUCGGGGAGGAUAAAUCAUGAACAGCCCAAUCAGGAAAUUGCAGCGAACCUAGCGGGUUUUCAAUCAGCUCGUCCUAAUUAUUUUUUUUAUAUGAAAAACAACAGCUAUUGUUGGCCCCUUCAUUAUUAUUCUUUCCUUCAUCAUUUUAUUCAUUCCCUUAUUCUGAUACCUCACCCAAGAAAAGAAAAGGAAAUUAAAAUGUAAAUGGAAUUCUAAUUCAUUAAGUUUGCAAUACACCUUUUGUGAGACCAAAAAUAAAUAAAUUGUUAACGAAGUGAUGACUUCCUUUUUUAGAUUCUGAAAGAAAUUUAUUUUCUGUACUUUUCUUAAUAAUGACUUGUUACUUCUUUUUUUUAAGUACGAGAAAUCAAACUUUAAAUACAAAAUUUUGUUUUUUCUAGAUUAGAUUACGAUUUGAUUUGUGAAAGUGUAGAUAAACAAAUAGUUUAAAAUGUAUUUGUUGACUUAAUUUUUAAAAACUACAAAGCUAAUGUUUUAUUUUUUUAUUUUUAAAAUAUAUAAUUAUGUACGUUUUCUCCUAAUUGACUACCAUUGGUUUCAUCUUUCAUAAAUAAAAUACUUAAAAUUUGGUCACACUUACAAAAACAAAGCAAGUUUACAACUAUUUUGUUAGUUUCAAAACUUGAAUUGGGUUAUAAAAAAAUGGUAAGGAGAAAUAAAUAAAAAUGCAAUAAAUAUGAACUUUUUAGAAAAAUAUAUAACAAGACUAUGUCGUAAAUAUUAAUUGAUAAUGUAUUAUGAUAAAUCGUUAUUUGUGUUUAUCUAGUUGAGACGAUAAAUGUAGUGUGAUGUUCUUAAAUAUACAAGACCGUCAAAAUAUCAAAAUAAUACGAGAAUACGUGUAAUUGGAGUUUGAAAAAUGUAGGAGUAAUUAAGAGUAGCCAAUAAUAUGCACACCCAAUAUUUUUCUUAUAAAUUGAUAUAACCAAACAAGAAACUUCCUUCCAAAUUCCCAAUUUCCAAAUUCAUUCUCUCUCUCUCUCUUUCUAAUUACUUCAUCUUCUUCGUUGUUCAUGAAGAAAAUCAAAGAUGCAAAAGAUUGAAAAAAACAGAGACCCAAUAACUAAAUCCCACUCCCUAAUCUCACCAUUAUCUCCCAAAAAUUCCUUCUCUUCAUCUUCCUCCUCCGAUUUCGAAUUCACCAUCUCAAUCUCCCCUCGUAAAUCCUCCAUCGCGCUCUGUCCCGCCGAUGAGCUCUUCUGCAACGGCCACCUUCUUCCUCUCCACUCUCGUCGGAACUCCCUCGUUCCCACCCUCCUCCCUUCCUCCAGCACCUCCUCAUCCGCCGACUCCGCCGCCACCACAGCCUCCCGUGACUCCACCGGUAGCUCCUCCACCGGAAGCUCAUCCACUGACUCGUCCCGCUCCUCCUCCCAAAAUGAUCCCACCCGCCCUACCUCGGACGCCGCCGAUCUCAAUACCGGAAUCCGACACCGGCAUGAUAAGAAAUGCAAACAGUUUUCUUUUUCUAGAUUAUCGUCGGUUUUUAGAAAAGAGCCGAAGAGUGUUAAUAAUGUUAGUACAGGAGGCAGUAACGCCAAGCCGCCACGUGUUAAAGGGAUUGGAUCCACCGCUAAGCAAGUGAUCAAGAAGUACUUCAGAAAAGUUCAGCUGAAAAUUGGGUCCAAAUCCUGCCACUCGCCAGCCACGCCGCCGCUUCCGCCGGAAUCCACGAAAAAUAGUUCCUUAACUUCCGGCAACGCUGAGGAGAGCGGCAGAUUCUCCCUCUCAUUUUCAGGAAAUUUAAGGUAUAUAUCUUGUAAUAAUUAAGUUUAACUUUUAGACCUCUAAGGUAAUUUGUGCUUCAAAUCAAACAAAAAUAUAGAAAACUAAUUUUUAAAGAAACUUAGCUUGCAUAACGUUUUCAAUUUUAAGAUGACUAUUAUUUUGAUCUCGAUAUGAUAGGACUAAAAAAGCAUUAUCUGAUGAAACUCAGUAAUCUUGUUGCACCAGUUCAAUCAUCAUGGAGCUAAACUCAAUCUAAAUAUUUGUUUUUAAAUUAUUCGUCCAAAACUUGUAAUAGGUUAAUUACACUGUCCUUUCAUAAAAGAUUUCAAACUACUUUUAGAUUCAAAAUAUUUUAACUGAAAUUGGGAUGUAGAUAUAGAUGUCACGAAAUAAAAAUCGAGGUCGCAUAAUUCAAUUUCUAUUCAAUAUUUAAUUAAUUGUGUUAUUUUGAAAUAUUCAUGAAAUUAUAAUAUUGUAAAUUUUUUUAGAAAAAUGGAGGUACUUUUUAAAUUAAACCAGAGACAAAUUUGAAGAUUAGUUUCAUAAUUUUAGUCAAUAUUUUAUCGGUAUAAUGUAUGAUUGUGUAUUGUAUUUAAUAGAUAAGUGUACCCCAAUUACUAAAAAAAAGAGUAUGUCCAGAAAGAAAUGCUUUAGCUACUAUAAAUAUAAUUGCAUGGCUUAUUGAUAUUUAAAAGUGUUUCUUUUCAAUGUUUUUGAAGAACGAUUACAAAAUUAAUUAGCUGUGGUAAAUGUAAUUAAUUAAUUAAUUUACAAUUUUUAACCAGGUAUCCACGUGGGAGAAGCAGCCUCCUACCGAGUGGCCCAUCUUCAACACGGUCAUCACCGAGUCACUCCGGCGUUCUCCGGCGAGGUGGCGUACAAAGCAUGAGUUCCGUUAGUGGCUACGGAUCGUCAUACUCCGCCGACAUGUCGUCAAUGGAAGAACUCCACAGUGCAAUCCAAGGCGCCAUUGCUCAUUGCAAGAAUUCACUAAUCCAUAACAAGAACGCCGACGAGUCGUCCUUAAGCUGAAUCAGCCCCACACUACAGUUUUUAUUCCAUAAUUACAUCUGUAAUUUAUUUUAGGGUAUUUUUAAAAUUAUUAGCUGUGUAUUUUUAUUGGCGGUAUUAUAUAUAUAUGAGAUGUAACUUUUAAGAAAUAGAGUUGUGUGACAAUAAAUGUUGGCUACAUGAUCAUAUGCUUGCCCUUUUUGUAAGUGUCUGUUUUAUUUUUCCAAGAAACUCCAAAAUUGCCAAUGAGUCAACUGCCUCAAUAAUGUGCUUCCUCUCUCAAUAAUUUUUUUUCUUUGAAUUUGUUUUUGUUUUUUUUUUUUGGUGUUUCAAAUGUAUGAUUGUGUAGUUCAUAAAAGUCGAAAAUGGACUACAAAUUGUGAUUUGAUUGAGGAACAAACAAAAUAGAUGGAUGUUUGGUAGGUGGGCGUUAUUAAGUACUUGUUUCUGGGAGGGGUGUUAAAAAAUUUUGACCAAUCAAGAAAUCCGAUCAAGCCCCACCCAACUUAAUUGGUAUAUAGUUUAGGUUGGGGUUAUAUCAACUAAGUGAUAGAAAUGGUUGACGGCAAGGUAAGAAUAGGGUUUUCAAUUUAUUUUUCAUUAUUGUUUUGUUCGUACCUAAUCACGCCAUUGUAAGAAAAAGAGUCUAAGCUCUGAUACCAUGUGCUGAAUUUAAAAAAAAAAAAUACAACAAAAUGGUAAAAGCUCUUUGUACAAAGAGAGCAAAGUAGAUACUAUCAUUGGUAUAAAUAGCCAAAAAUGCAAUACACUUGUUUGAAAUAUAUUGGAGAACAGAUAACAAAAUGAAUUAUGAAAAUAACCCAACAGACUACAAAAAAAAAAAAAAAAAAAAAAAAAAAAAAAAAAAAAAAAAAAACUAAUAGCAAAGGAUAAAAAAUAUAUAUCUAUCACUAAUUUGAGUUAGUUAAAUUAAGUUGAUUUCCAAUAAAUGAAAAUUUUAAGUUAACUUAAAUUUAUGUUAUUUUUAAUAUAUAUAUUCAUGGUUUUUGUUUAUCAUUUAUUAUUCAACACUUCUAAGAAUAAUAAUUUUAGCAAUUUAGAAAAAAAAAAGUUCUAUGAUAUAAAUAUGUAAAUUGUGUUGCUAAACUUUGAUCCAUAUAUACGUGAAGAUAAUUAAAUAAAUAUUUUGCAUUUAACAUUUGUGUAUCUUAAAAAACAUAAACCAAUCACACAAGUAAUCCAAAACUAACUCAAUUACCUAAAUAUUUCAUUAGUUUGAGUUGGAUUUAUUAUCUAAUAAAAGAAACUUUCAACAUAAACAAUUAGAUGGAUACAUUUUUAAUAACAUGUAUGGAUUGAUUAGUUAAUUAGCGUGAUAAAAAUACAUCUGUUAUUCAAAAUUGAAGUGAUAGAACAAAUUUGUAUGAAAGUAAAACUAAACAGUAAAACAACUCAUUCAAUUACCAUAAAAAUCAGCACUCAUAAAUCAAACGAAAAUAAUUAAUAUUAAAAUGAAAACAUAAGAAAGCUUAGAAAAUAAUAAGAAAUUGAAUUAAUUUAAAUUUUCUUUAAACGAUAUUGGGAUCUAAAAUAAACAUUAAAAACAAAUCUUUAAAAGUUGCUAAAAAUGCAUGAAAAAAAAGACCUAAGACGAAAGUGAUUCUAAAACUUAAAUUACUACCCUCACUGCUUUUGAAGCAAACACCACAUGCAAAACAGAAGCAUAUCGGAUUGAUCUGGACCGUCAAUUAUGGUGACUUUGUGAUAUCGGAUUCAUAAGGUUAAAUCUUGAACAAGUCAAAGAGGAAAUUUCAGCGAACCUACCGGCUUUAUUUCAAUCGCCUAAUGCUGAUUAUUUUAUUUUGUUUUUUGUUUUUUUAUAGAAAAAUAUUGUAAAUAGCAAACUCGUUAAAAUAUCCACAAAUCAUAGUAAAGUAAAAUUAAGCAUAGAUACUUAUUAUAUACUUAUUUUGCCGGUGUCUAUAAUAUAAAAUGUUAAAAUAAGCUGUUCGGUAACUAUUUUAUUUUAAUUUUUGUUUUUUCUGUUUUAAAAUUUUUAUUUAUUAAAAGUAAUAACUAUAUAUAUAUUUGGUAACCGAUUUUUAAUUUGUUAACAUAAAAACAGAGAACAAAUGGUUAGAUAGUUAAUUUUUCCAUAUUUAAUAAUGUCCAUUUUUUUUUUUUAUAUACGAUGCUAAUUAUUUUAGAGUAUUAAAGAACAAGUUCUCAUUCAUUGUUAUUAAUUAUUUUAAAAUGAAAUUAACACGUUCUAACUUCUAACUUCUAACUCAUUAACGUUAAUGUUCAAAAUUAGUAAUAUAAAAUCAGAAGUAAGUUUCCAGUAUAUUUACCUAUGAUUUUGAUAUUUAAAGUGAAGCUAAUAAAUGUUUAUUUUCAUAUUAAGUUUAUACCGCAACAUUUCAUUUCAUAUUAUUACACCUUCAUGUGUUCGACACAAAAUUUAAACGGUGAAUCAAACGCUUCUAUUAUAUAUUUAGAAAAAAAAUAUAUAAAUAAAAAUAAAUGAUACAGUAAAUAAAUAACAAUUUAAACUUAAAAUAGUAUGAGAACAUUUCAUUUGCUUUCGUUUUCGUGUUAGGUAAUUAUGCACUUGAUUCUCUAGCCAAAUGACAUGUAUCUUUUCCUUGCUAUGUGGAUAUUUCCUUUUCCUUUAGGUUUUCUUAUCAAUUUUUAAAUACGCGUGGAUAUUAACAUUUUAUCAAUCUACAUUUUUAUAAAGUUAAAAACGUACCUCAACUCUUCUAUCACCAUCAAUACUUUAAACAUUAUUUAGUGUGUUUUUUAAAUUUAGGUUGAGUGAAAAAUAUGAAAAUCACGAUAAUUGAGUUAUAUAAAGAACAAAUAAUCAAAUUUUAAAAUAAAUAAAUAAACAUCAAUUUUAAACUGUCCUUACAAUAUCUCAAUUUAAUAGUUCCAAGUUUUGCAAAACAUAUAUUUAUAUUGCCUGCCUUAUCUAACCUAGUUCUUUUAGUAUAUUGAAGUACAUGUAACAAAGGUGAAGUUGUGAAGUUUCAUACGAGGAGAGGAAUAAACAAAUUAAGAAUGAAGAUGACCAACUAAAGUACACUAAAAAGUGUUUUAAUUUACUCAAAAAAUUGCAGUCGAGAAAGGGAAGUUUCAACUUCACUGUUUUUUUCACUAUGUGUUUUUGACCCGUGACAUAAAAAUAUCGAUUUGAUAUCUAAUCUUUUAUACUAUGAUUAUUCGAUUACAAAACUCUCUCACGAUAGCUUAACAUAACAUGUUUACCAUGAAAAUUUUCUAACAAGUUUUCAAGUAAUUAAUUUUUCAAUAACUCUAUCGAUCACAUAUUUUAUGUGUUAUCUCGAAUAAGUAUUAGGUGCAUAUUUAAUAUUAAUUUUUUAACAUCAAUAUUUUAUCAACAAAAGAUUGUACUUGGUAUAGAGUAAGAUUAACAACAGACAUUGCAUUUCCAUAUGCAUGGGAAACAAAUUGCAGGUCUUUUAAAUAAACACCUAACCUUCAAUUUUGUAUAUCAAAAGUUAGUUACCACUGCAGUUUAGAACCUCAUUUACAGUGUUGUGUAUUGAUGUACAUUUUCCUUCCAUCUUCUUUGUACUAUAGCAUUGAAGAUAAAAUCUUGUAUUUCCUGGACAAUAAUUGUAGUAUUGGUCAGUGUAUGUGGAGCGAAGUAAAUGGUUGAGUUAGAAGGGAUUGUGUUUGUGGGACUGAAACGGCGGUGGAAGUCGGUUAGAUUGGACCUCCUUGUGUGUUUACCUUAUUGGUCGUCGGAUCUAUCUUCCACCCGACAUGUCGAUUAAAACGACGUCCCAUUUAAGACUAUGCGACAUCUCACAUGCCAAUUGCCAAUUACCAAUUACACUGCUUGUGCUUCACUUUCACACCCUCUCUCUUUUUUCAAAUCUACUGUUUUUCCGGCCUUGACUCUCAGUCGCUUUCCACACCAUGUGGGUUCCCCACGAUGUUGCCUAUCCCUUGCUUUCUCAUGGGCCUCCGAGGCCCAAUCCGUUCCAUAGUCUUCUCGGAUCAUCCAUUGUAGGCCCGCUUCAAAUUCCAUGUUUUGUUUUUUUUUUUUAAUAUUUUGGUUAAAAUAUCCUUUUCACCUUUUUUUUUUUUCUUCUUCGAGAAAUUUGCAUCAUUGUACUUUGUUCAAGUUUAGAGAGGACAUGUAUAUAUAUGAUUUAUACUAUGACAUAUGUUACCGUUAAAGAAUGAACUCUUAACAUUAUUCUUUGUUCGUUAAUAUUUUAAUUAUUGUCGAACCACUUUGUGUAUUGUGGUUCUACUUCAUCGUCCAAUCAAUUAUUUGUCAUUUUAUACAUAGAUAUACAUACUAUAAAUACUAGUUUAGUCAUAUUAUUGUUCAAACUACACAAAAGUGAUCUCAAUAAUGUGAUGGAUAUUUACAAGUGUAAACUACAUACUGAAAAUCUCAAUGCUAUUAUAUAUUGGACAGUGUUUACAACUAGUUGUAAUGUUAUAACUGAUCAUCAACAUAUACGAAUAUAACAUAAUAUAAAACAUUAGUAUCUAAUACAAUACUCCACCACCAUGUUUAAGGGCAUGAAAACAUGUAGAAAAAAAAAUAACACAAUCACAUAAAAGUUCCUAACACAAUUUACAUUAUAUGUCCUUGAAAACAAUGAAAAGGUCUCUAUUGAUGAGUGAGAUCAAUACAUGAGCAUAAUCACAUCAAGGACAUCCAGGAAUAGUACAAGAGCACAUUCACAUCGAGGACAUCCAUAAAAGCUUAUAGAUGAGUACAUGGCCAUGCACAAAGAGAGACCUAUAAGUGUCAAAAAGGCGUCAAACAAAAUAAGAAGAAGAAAAAGAGGGGAUAAGUUGCAUCAAUCACAUCAACCAAACAAGCAACAAUUUGAUUGGUGAGAGCUAAAACAUAUUACAUUUAGCCUUUUGCCACAAUACAUACCAAUGCAUUGUCUUCAGUAGAAAGUUAAAAAGACAAUACUUAACCAUUAAUCACGUUGGUUUUGUGAAUGAGAUUUCAAAUAUUUAAAAAGAAAGAAUGAACUAGUAUUGUUUUCACAAUUAGUAACGAACUAAAACUUUGUGGUUAUAAAACACAAGCUUGUUAAAUAAUAUAGGAACAGAGUAAACAUUAACGAUUAUUUUUUGAAAAGUUAAUGAACUUAAACAAAAUAUCACUUUGUGUGGCAAAAUUCAUGAAAUAAAUGUAUUACAAUGGUUUCCAACCAAGAUAAACCCAUUUUAUCUAAUAAACUUUACUGUGUAUGUUUAAAACAUAGUUUGUGAUAAAUACAUUAAAGAUAUUACAGAAAAAUAACACAACUAAUGAUUAUAAUCAUAUUUUAAAUAAAUUAUAAACAACUAAUAGUUUUAAACAAAAUACUUUAAAUUGAGUACAUAAUUAUUCUUCUGUUUUCAAAUAUAGCAAUCGUCAAAAUAUAAAUAAUAUUGAUGAAAUCAUCCAUUUUUUAGAAGAAGAAAAAAGGCGUAUAGAUUAUUUAGCUACACCAAACAUUUGUAUUACAUUUCGAUAGGAUAAAAAACAAUCUUUAUUUUGGGUAUCUUUAUGCAAAAGCAAUUACUUGAAAAUAAUAAAAGACAAAAGAAAAGCAAAUGCAAUAGCAUGAGACUUUGGACCUCACAUCUCAUCAUAAUUGGUGACACGUACAAGUAGCUUCAAAUUCUUCAUGGCAAAGCCAAAGUUAUUUUAGGGUUCAAAAGAAAUUUUAUUUAAUAUACAUUUUUUCUUUGUUUGAAGAGACGAAAAGAUAAAAGUGAAAAGAAAAGUACAAAAAAAAAGGACCAAAAUUGAAACAGCCGCAAGCUCAUGGGGCGGUCCUUUCUACCGUGCCUUACUUAUCGGCGAUCUUCUAAAUUUGAAUAUCCAUCAAAAUGUUAUUAGAUUAUGUUAUUUUUCUAUUAGUCGAUCAACUUGAAUUUGAGAUUCUAUAUUUUUCAUUGUAAAGGUAACUGUCAACUUUUAAACUUUGUUUGAAAAACAUUUAAGAAACACCAAAAUAAUUUUUUAAAAUGACGUUUCGAGGGUCUAAAUAUGAUGUACCUAAAAGGAACGGUCUAUAAAAGAUUAAUAAAACAAUGGUUUGACGAUUACUUCACAAAUUUUCAACUAAUUUUAAGUUUUUCAAAAAAGAAAAAAAUGGUUUGACAAAGUGACAUAAUUAAAUUGAUAAUGUUCAAUAUACCAAACAUAAAGUCAGAAUAACCACAAAUUUAUGAUUUUUUUUUUGUCGUGAAUAAACAUACUAUUUUAAGUUUCAACAACAAAGUAUUGGUAAUUAUGUCUAGCCGUUAAAAUCAUGCAAGUAAUUGAAUUGUCAAGCAAGUGAAAUUAUGUUAAAAUUGACAUUUACAUCAUAUACUCACAACUUCGCUUUUGCUAGAUUUAUAUUAUUCAUCUAUAUGCACUAAAGUUAUAUUACGAAGCCUUUUCAAAUUUCAAAAGAUAAAGAGAAAAAGAAAAAUCACAACCACUUCGAGUAAUACAUAUAUAUAAAUAGUGUUCUUAACUGGUACGAACACUCACAUAUAUAAAAAAAAAUAGUGUUGUGAUAAAAUUUAUUUGUUAUUAAUUUAAUUUUGACACCUUCCCAUCUAGAAUAAAUUGUUGUAAAUAUAAUAUUAUAUCAUAUUUUUUUGGUGAGAAAUUUAUGAGGGUUUAUUGGACAUAAUUUUAGGUUGGAUUAAUGAGUUUUUGUAAUUUUUAAACUUAAGACAACCACUUUGUUUUUUAUUUUUUAAAAUGACAAAAAUUAUUUAAUUUAUAUCAAUAGGUGCUUUUAACUAUCUUACCCUUUACUAACCUUAUGGAAGUUUAAUUUAACAAAGUACAUGCUUUAACUAAAUAGUUAAGUGGUUGAGUUCUCAACCCUAGCUUUAAACUAUGAGAACAAAACUUAUCAUUUUUAACUUCACAUCAGAAAAUGCUUUUAACUUAUCAUUUUUAACCUCACGUAAUAACGUGCUUUUAACUUAUCACAUUCUCUUCACAAUUCAAAUUAACAAAUUUUCAUUAGUUAUUUUCCAUUCCUCUAUAUGUGAGGAUUGAUCAUUAUAAACAAAAGAGACUGAUUACUCUAUCAAACCUUUUCAUUUAACUAAAAAUAAAGGUUUAUCAAUAUUAUAAUAUUAAUAAUAAAGAAAAAAAAUUGUGGGCAGCACACGUGGACAAUCACCCAAAUCCGAUUGGUUCACGUGAAUGAUCAGACCCAUUUACUUUAGACGGUGGGAGAGAAGGAGCCGUUGGAUGAAGACACGUAGACAUUUAUAUUUCACGAGAGCAAAAGCCCAUUAUUAUACGGCCCAUUAACAAGUCACGGGAGAGAUGGGCCUCCACUGUUGACAAAACGUGGAUUUACGUGGGCCCACAAAUAUUUAGUGGGCCAGACUAUAGCGCACGUUAGUAAAAGUUUACUAAUUUUGACCUUUUUUACUUUUCCGGCGGGAGCGUAGGUUAGAUUUUACAAAUUAAAAUGAAUAGUGCGGUCCAGGGCGGGGAAGUUCUUGACCGGUCUUUGAUUAAAUGCGAGCCAGAACGAAAACACAAAGACAAAAGAAGAGGGAAAUCUGAAAAUACUUAGCAUACGAAUUUCCCAAACUACCCUCUAACCCCUUUCUUUCUUUCUCUCUCUUCUUCUCUUUCUCUUCCCUUUUCCCACUUGAUCAACCCCCUCCAGAUUUGGUUCUUUGGAUCAGCUUCUUCCAUCUCUCAUUAUCCAAGCUCCCCUGGUUGUUUAUGGAGCUUCAGAAGCGCCUAGAUCAGAAUCUCCCAGAGAGGAAAGGCCAUAAGCGGAAACUGGAGGAGGAAUUUGAAGAGGAACGGGAGAUCUCCGUGCCUACAGGGGACGCCAAGCAAGCGAUACUUACCGAGGUCAGUGAUCAAGUCGAAAUUCUCAAUUCUACUUUUUCAUGGAAGGAGGCCGAUCGAGCUGCUGCUAAGCGAGCUACUCAUGUUCUUGCCGAGCUUGCUAAGAACGGUAUACUCUUUUUUUUCCCGAUCUCGUUGUGUUUUACGCUUUUUCAUCUUUUUCGAUCUUGUGUUUCGAGCGUUAGUCUUCUUCAGGAUUUUCUACUCCUUUUUUUUUUUCUUAAUAUAUUGUUAAUUGAUUGGAAUUUUUGUGCCUUUUUUUUGGUGUUGGCAGAAGAAGUAGUAAACGUGAUUGUGGAAGGUGGAGCUGUGCCGGCUUUAGUUAAGCAUCUACAAGCACCGCCUACUAUUGAAGGUGAUCGUAGUCUUAAGCCAUUCGAGCACGAGGUUGAGAAAGGAAGUGCUUUUGCUCUUGGACUACUGGCUGUAAAGGUCAAAUUUAAUCUCUUCCGUUUGACCUGCCCUAUUUGUACACAAGUUUUCUAGUGUCAUUUUGAUAGCGUGUAUGACUUAUUUUUACACAUUUUUUGAGCAAAAGAAGUAGGGAGUUAGCUGAGAAGUAAUUUGUGCAUUUUUGUUCACGGUUUUGGCUCAAGGUAUUGUAAGAGUAAAUGCUAUAUUUCAAUUGGAUUGCAUGUUUAUAGUUGUAGCUCAUGCGUUACCCUUCCGGGCUUUUGUCGGACAUUUGCAUCUAAAUAUAAGUAAAACAUAUUUUAGUAGGCGUGUGCACCACUUAUCAACUUAUAACUUUCAUCCCAUUCCUAAAGCUCAAUUCGUUUUCUGCAAAUGAUGUCUGACCCACUUCUUCCUUUUUAUCCUCUCUCAACAGCCAGAGCACCAGCAACUGAUAGUUGACAUUGGCGCUCUAUCACACCUCGUUGAGCUAUUGAAGAGACACAAGGAUGGUUCUUCUCGAGCUGUGAACAGUGUUAUUCGUAGAGCUGCAGAUGCCAUUACAAAUCUUGCCCAUGAGAACAGUUUCAUCAAAACACGGGUUAGGUAUGUUUAGUUGAUUCACUUUUCAGUGUUACAAUUUUCAUUGAAGCCUGUUCUCAACGAGGAUUUAAAUAUUUAGGAUGGAAGGUGGGAUUCCUCCGCUUGUUGAGUUGCUUGAAUUUACUGACACAAAGGUUCAAAGGGCUGCUGCUGGGGCACUACGAACAUUGGCCUUUAAGAACGAUGAGAAUAAAAACCAGGUAAUUGGCAUUUUACUUCAAAUUGGAUGUUUAACUUUAGGUUUAAUUUGUAAAUAAUUUGUUAUCUUCGCUAACUGGCAGAUUGUUGAGUGCAAUGCUCUCCCUACACUGAUUUUGAUGCUUCGUUCUGAGGAUGCUGCUAUACAUUAUGAAGCGGUAGGAUUUUCCCAAGUCACAAACUCGAAUAUUUAGUACUUUUUAAUGGAGUGAUAUUUUGUUUGCAUUCUAUAAAAUCUGAAUUGUGGAUUUUAGGUUGGGGUUAUUGGAAAUUUGGUGCACUCAUCCCCCAAUAUAAAGAGAGAAGUUCUUCUCGCAGGAGCUUUGCAACCUGUUAUUGGAUUACUCAGGUAUGCCAAUCUUCAGGAUCCUUGUCACAUCUUUUUUCUGUUACUGCUUCACUACAUGUAACUUCAGGAAUCUUGUUUUGUAUGUUACUGCUUCAGCCCAUAUCUCGUGCCCAUCAUCUCAAUUUUUCUAUAUACUAUUGUAGCUCUGUCAAUCAUAACUAGUUAUGCUGUGAAGACAAAGUUGAUCUCCACUAGUCUGAAUCAUGUUUACCCUUCUGUGUUAGUUCUUGCUGCUCUGAGAGCCAAAGGGAGGCAGCAUUAUUACUUGGACAAUUCGCGGCAACUGAUUCGGAUUGUAAGGUGAAUAAAUUCGAUGAUUUAUUAUUUCAUGGCAACAAUUUUGAAAGGGAGAGUUGAGAAUCUGUAUACCUGUUAAAUUUGAUUUCUUGGGAAACAGAAGGGUAAAUUAUUCACUUUAUAAGAGUGCUGUUGUGUGUAUAUACCAUCACUUCAUUAAAUAUUUGUUUUAUUACAAAGGAUGUCUUCACCCUUCAAUUUCUGUUUCUCAUUCUCCUUUACUUAACUUUCUUACUGAAUGGAUAAAAAAUUUGCAGAUUCAUAUUGUACAAAGAGGUGCUGUUCGACCCUUAAUUGAGAUGCUUCAGUCACCUGAUGUACAGCUUCGAGAGAUGUCAGCUUUUGCGUUGGGGAGGUUGGCACAGGUACUAUAUUCUUUAUCUUUUGUUUAGAAUGACACCUGAUGUGCUUUUUGAGUUUAGUACUUAAACUUUUUAUUCUUUUUGGUUGAGCAGCCUUUCAUUUACCCAAUAAUAAAUAUCAUAAUUCUUCAUAAAGAUGUUCUAAAGCACCAUUCCUAUCCUCCUGGCUGUCCCAUUCUUUUUCUCCUUAUGGAUUGUUCUUAGGAUUGAAUGACUAGUUCUUGCCAAUUUCCUGGCUGAAACUGAAAAAAAAAUUCUUUUCAGGAAACUCAUAACCAAGCUGGUAUUGCUCAUAAUGGUGGUUUAAUGCCAUUACUGAAGCUUCUGGAUUCAAAAAAUGGUUCUUUGCAACACAAUGCUGCGUUUGCUCUUUAUGGGCUUGCAGAUAAUGAGGUGUGAUACCUUUAAUGUUGAUACGGACUUGAUAACGAAUUGCUGCAUCUAAUCUCACCAACUUACUGAACAAUUGUGAUCAUAAAAUAAUUUGAUGUGAACUGUAAUUUUUGAUUCCUUCUGCAGGAUAAUGUAUCUGAUUUUAUUAGGGUGGGAGGAGUUCAGAAGCUUCAAGAUGGAGAAUUUAUAGUGCAAGUAACUUAACCUUCCUUAUCUAUCUAGUUGGUUCAGUACCCCCUACCCUCAUCUUUGCAUGUAUUAUUGAAGCCUGGAGGUUAUCCAUAAAUAAACUGGCAAAUUUGUUUCAGGCAACAAAAGAUUGUGUAGCAAAGACACUAAAGAGAUUAGAGGAGAAGAUACAUGGAAGGGUGAGCUAUAACUUAACUGAUUUUGUUUGGGACUUUGACGUGCCUGACGCGUUCCCUUGUCAAUAUGGAUGCUUUCCAAAUUUUAAUAAUAUUCUUUUCCUUGAUUAGGUUUUAAAUCACUUAUUACAUCUAAUGCGUGUAGCUGAGAAAGCUGUGCAAAGACGGGUCUCUCUUGCUCUUGCUCAUCUUUGUUCACCCGAUGAUCAGAGGACCAUAUUUAUCGAUAAUAAUGGCAUGUCAUAUACUUAGAAUUUCACCGUGUUUUUCUCUCCCAUGAGGGUGCAGUUUAGGAUCAACUUGUUAUUAAUGAAUGGGGAUUUUAUUGUAGAAUAAAUGUUUUUGUGUUUUGCAGGUCUAGAGUUGCUUCUUGGCCUACUUGGUUCUUCAAGUCUCAAGCAGCAGCUUGAUGGUGCUGUUGCACUGUACAAGCUGGCAAAUAAAGCCACGACUCUUUCUUCUGUGGAUGCUGCCCCACCAUCCCCAACACCACAGGUAAGAUGUUUGUAUAUUUAUUACCCUUCCAACACCUUGAAAUAUAGUUUAUACAUUGGCUUGAGAAAAAAACCUGACUUUGUGGAAGGGAGAAAGUGAAUGGGCAAGGUUGAGAAUUCUUGUCCUCGAUCCUUUGAGUUAGUGGCUAAAUAUAUGCGCCCCUCAAGUAUCUGUUUUGGUUUCUUGGAGUUAGAAGUAGUUGUUCUCUCUGAUUUUGUACCUGAAAAAAUGGGCAUAUGAUCUAUAAUUUUGAUACUUUUCGCUUUAUGACUCUAAUUCUGACGUAUGUCAUUCAGGUGUACCUUGGUGAGCAGUAUGUGAACAAUCCGACACUAUCCGAUGUUACUUUUCUUGUUGAAGGUCGUUUAUUUUUUUUCGUCUUGUUUCAAACUACUUAUGAUCUUUUACUUUUCCACUGACCUUAUUGAACUUUUUGUUUUUCUUUUUGACAUUUGCAGGCAGACGCUUCCAUGCCCACAGAAUUUGCUUGCUUGCUUCUUCAGAUGCAUUCCGUGCCAUGUUUGAUGGUGGCUAUCGGGUGAGCAUCUAAUUGUGUUCAUAACCAAUUCUGUCAUCCUUGUUUCUAGCUUAAUUUGGGACUUGGCGUUUCAAGUGCAAGCUGUAUUUUUUGUAUCACCAUUCGCAAUGGCUUAUGUUGAAAUUCCCCCCCAUUUGGGGUCGGUGGUCAUUCUUGAGCAAGUUUAUUUAUGCUACUAUUAAUUGAAGUGGAAAUUAUUUGGAACACUGCCUCAAAAUGCCCAAUUUCACAGAUUGCGUUUAAUAUGUAUUUCAGGAGAAGGAUGCUAAGGAUAUAGAAAUUCCAAAUAUUAGAUGGGAAGUUUUUGAGCUAAUGAUGAGGUUAGCAAAGCUCCAGUUCCAAAAGCUAUCAGAAUAUAAAUGCAAGUAAUAUUAUGUUAAUUAGCUGAAUUUAAGUUGUCAUACAGAUUUGUUUACACCGGAUCUGUGGAUGUUUCGUUGGAUAUUGCUCAAGAUCUUCUGAGAGCUGCGGAUCAGUAUCUCUUGGAAGGACUUAAACGACUGUCCGAAUACACCAUUGCACAGGUGAGCUAAUAAUUACCAAAUUUUAGUUUUGUUUUAUGAUCUUUGUCAUCCACGCGUGUAAUUCAAGCUGUUAGACAUGUAUACGAGAUAAACUUGUCAAUCUGAAACUUUGGCAGGAUAUAUCACUGGAAAAUGUUUCAAGCAUGUAUGAACUCUCCGAAGCCUUCAAUGCCAUAUCUUUGAGACACACGUGCAUCCUUUUUAUCUUGGAACAAUUUGAAAAGCUCAGUUUAAUGCCGGGGUACGUUUCUCUUUCGAACCUCAUCCUACUUCUGCUUGAAGUUUAACUUUUCAAAGGUUUAAUUAUUUCAAAGGUUUAAUUUUGAAAAUAAGCCAUUACUUUUCAAAUGUUUAAUUUUGAAAAUAAGUCAUUUAUAAGAAAAUUGAAUUGUUUGGCAACCACUCAAUUCAAAAUAGCUUUCGAAAGCAUUUUCGUAGUUUAGUCUAAAUUUAAAAUAAUGACAUUUAAAAAAAAAAAAAUUCUCUAGUCAAUCCAAACAAAUACUUUUUUUUUUUCUGAUGCCAAUCCAAACAGGCUUGAGGUGUUAGUUCACAAAUUAUCAAAUAAUUAACUUUAAACUCCAUUUAAGUUCCUUCAUUUUUGCAACAAACUUAGGAUUUAAACUCUUAGAUUUAGAUCCCUCAGUGCUUGCUUUAAAUGGAGAGUAUUAGUAUCACAAUCAGAAGCUCUUGGAGAUGGACCUAAAGAAGCAAUGGAUCGAAAAACAUGGUUUCUCCCUACAUUUUCUAAGCAUUCUUCAUGCCCACUAUUUGCAGGCAUUCUCUUCUAAUUCAGCGGAUACUUCCCGAGAUCCGGAAUUAUUUUGCUAAAGCUUUGACCAAGGUUAAUCUCCAGAGCUCACGGCUGUAGAUGGCUGCACUGUGUUGUUAUUCAUCAUCGCUAACCAAAAAACACGAUGUACAGAUAGUGGUAGAUUUGGUCGCUGCUGCGGAGCUAGAUUGAGGUUCAAAUUAGCUUAUUUGUUUUAUGGCUCAUGAUCCUUUGAUUUUUUUUUAUCCUAAUGGUAAGGGUUUUGAUCUUUUUGUAUAAAGUCUCAAGUAAUACCAUUGCUUAGAUAGAAUGACCUUUAGUCCUUACGAGAAUGUUAUCCUUGAAAUGCAUUGCAUUUAUUUUAUGAAUUGAUGUAUCUUCCCAAAUGACUAAGCUCUUGUGAAGAGACAUUCAGUUGGAGAACACUGUAAAUUUGACGUCAGUAAUAUCAAUUUCAGGGUUUUUUUCUUCUUAUUUUUUUAUUUUGUAUAACUGUGGGUUUAUCUUUUGAAAUUAUUUUGGAGUUAAAAAAAAAAAAAAAACUUCAUGUAUAAUACUUCUAUAAAUUGGUUGGUUGAUACUAUGGUUAAAAAUAUUUUUAUCACGUUAAAAAUCAUUUGAAGCAAAAGUAAUUUAGUAUUUAAUGUAAAUUUCUAAUAAUCAAAUUUGAUUUUGAAAUUACUCUAUUUCUAAAUGUUCAUUAAUUUAACUUGCAUUGAAAUGCCCAUUCUUCAGUUGAUACGUCCUUGUGGACAGUGAAUUGAACUGGUUAGAUACUAAAACAUGUGUUUGUUUGUUCAGUUUCUAAUCAAUUUAUGUUUGGAAUGUUGCAUUCAUUUAAAAUCAAUUACAAUGGUACGUAAAAUUAUAUUUAAAAGUGCAAAAUCAAUUACAAUGGUAUGACUUGGGUAUAAUAGAAGGGUUGGAUAUGUUGGUGAAUGAGAAGGUUUGGAUGUUGUUUCGAAGAGACAAACUUGAAUCUUUUUAUGUGGAGAGAAUCUAGAGAAGUUGGAAAUGAUGGAAGAGAUUGAGUUUGUUGGAGAUAAGAUAAAAAUCUCUUAGAGCACCCACAUGCACAUGCUCCUCUGCCAUCAUUUUUGCUUUAAAUUAUGAAAUGAGAUAAAAAUAAAAAAAUAAAAAUUUUAAAAAGGUGAACAUAUUACAUUUUCAUUUUGUCAGAUUAAAUUUCUAACCUCACCCACGUGAUUCCUACACUCACUUUCUUGAUUUUCAUGAUAAUUCAUAUCCUCCCUGGGAGCACCAUGGGUCCAAUUACAUAUCAUUUGUUCCUCUCUGUGUAUUAGAUGAGAAUGAGUACAAAUAAGCUAAACCCACGUUUGGUAUAUCCAAGUUCAAAGAGUAUGGGACAAAGUCGGUAUCUUGUGGUUUGGGACAACUACGUAAAUAUCUAUCAAUUGAAAAAUAGUCGAGAUGCAUUCGAUCUAGCACCUAAUAACUUGGAGGAUAAAAAACAGUUUUGACAUCGCUGAUACACACUUAACUAGAAAAUGUUGAGGAAAAGAUCUAUCUUAAUUUAACGAUCCCAAAGAGAGUAGGUGUUCUCUAAAAGAGAGCUCUAACAUUACUUGUGUACUUGGCUGAAACAUACACUUAUGUGUGGUAGGCUCGACACUAUCUUGAUGUGAGGAUCUCUUGCCAAACCAGAAGAAGCGGGUCAAAGGUCAAGUCCACAAGGUUGUAUCUAUAAUGUGAUUGGGUGAGAUCCAAGCAUCAACAUGUUUAUUAUUAUCUUUUAGCAUAUGUAGAGUAUGAGAAUCAAUUCUAUAAGCCAACGAUAGUAAGCUAUUUCUCUAGAUAAUUUUAAAAGUUAUUCAUACUUUUAAAAUACAUUGUGUUUGAGCACUACUUAUCUUUUUUUUUUUUUUUUUUUUUUUUUUUUUUUUUUUUUUUUUACUUUUAAAAGAAUUGAGUUGUUUGUUCAAUUAUCAUUUAUUGUAUUUUUUAGUGCAAUGAGCGUUGGAUGAUUUGAACCACAAAGUUAGUACUAUCAACAUCUUAUGCCAAUUAAAUGACGUUUUCGUUGCUUAUUACAAUUACAAAUAACAUUUGUUGUUAUGAUGAGAUACUAUUGACAAAGUUUUGAUGUGAACGACAUUUUUAUGUAAUUUCUUAGCUAAAAAAAUAUUCUCAACAAACCAUUUGAUUUUACAAUAAAAUAAUUAUUGAGUUAUGACAUCUAAAUGUUAAUGGUAGUGACAUAAAUCCAAAUAAAAGCCUAAUUUAAAAUUGAAAUACACACAGAAGAAAAAAUAAAACUUUUAAAAUCAUUAUUCUUUUCUCACAUAAUAAUGAGAAAUAUAUUGCAAAAUGAUUAAAAAAGAGCUGAAAGUUAAUUCCAAAAGGAAAAAAAUAAAUAAACGUUUAAUUUAAUUGAAUUUUAAAAAAGGCAACUUUGGGGGAAAAUAGAGGCCUGGCGGAGAGGGACAGCUUGAAAGUUCAAAUUUUGCAAAACUCCUCCGUUCGGCUUCCGCCAAUUGGACGCAAUACAAAGGCUUUCCUCGAAACCCCAACCAUUUUCCCUUCUCAUUUUCGACUCCCAACACCUUUUAUUAAUCCAAAUUCCUCUCUUUUCCCUCUCUUUCAGUUCCUAUUUCCUUCUAUCAUCAUCUCGACGUUCAGUACAGCCUCCAUAGUCCAUACAACUACACCAGGUGAAGAAAGAACCCUCCCUUUCUCUUCUCUUCUCUUCUUCUUCUUCCCUUUUCUUUUCAUUACUAGGGUUUUCUUUCUUUUUCUUCCUUGUUUCCCUUUCUGGGAUUUCUUCCAUUUUCUUCUCAACCUCGUUUUUUUAACUGUAUGAAAGCUUUGUCUUGUGUUAGAUCCAUGGUAGAUGUUCUUUGGUGGCUUCUGGUACUGUUUAUUAUCUUAUCUGUUUUGCUGUUGGACUCCAUUUUGUUGUUUAGGGAUUAUACAGAGUGAUGCUCUGGAAGGGAGAAGUCUCCACAGAGUUGUUUUAAUGUGGAUGGAGUAGUGGAGUGAAUCUUUAUUUUGUGAGUGCCUGUUGUUUGUCCUGAUAUAUAAUCCGUAUUGUUUUUCUGUUUCUUGUUUGUUUAAUUUAUUGUGAAGGAGAAAAGGAGUCAUCUUGAAAUUAUUCGACAACAAUCUGCCUUAUGUUCAAACCUACUAGAUCUUUGCUUCUUUAUUUUGUAUGUUACAGAGUUGAGUUGAAAUUUGUUUGUCUCUACUCCCUAUUCUUCUUCCAAUUUGUGUUCUGUUCUUCUAUUGGACUCCAAAUGAUUGUCUAAUUUGGUGGAAGUACGAAAAUGGUAAAUAGCUUUGCUUCUGCACUGACAAGUGUAAUAUGUUUGGACAUGGUGGAGCUCUUGGUUCACGACGUGUGUUUCUCUAAUUUUUCUCGCUUAUCUAGUGACUAUGGUUUGCUUGAGAACUAGACGUGGUUUGAAACGCUUAUAUUCCUUAUCAUUUUAAGUUUCUUUUUAUUUUAUCUGAUAUAGGCGGCUAGAUUUCAAGCACGUUUGACAAUGGACUCUGUAACCAAAAAUCCAGAACGCAGGCCAUUUUCUAUCAAAUUGUGGCCUCCUAGUGAAAAUACUCGAAAAAUGCUUGUGGAGCGGAUGACAAAUAACCUUACCUGCAAAUCCUUUUUCACCCAAAAAUAUGGUACUCUUAGUCAGGAAGAGGCUACAGAUGAGUCACAGAAAAUUGAAGAUAUUGCUUUUGAGACAGCUAAUCAGAAUUAUGAAAAACAGCCAGAUGGUGAUGGGGGUGCUGCUGUGCAACUUUAUGCCAAGGAAUGCAGCAGGUUGCUUCUUGAGGUUCUUAAGAGAGGUCCUAAAGCUGAGGCAGACAAGGAGGCUGGAUCUGAUAUCACUAGUGCUCCUCGUGAAAUCUGUUUUGAUAUCUCAAAAGGUCGACGAGACUUUAUCGAGGCUGAGGAAGCUGAAGAACUUCUAAAGCCUUUGAAAGAGCCAAAGAAUUCUUAUACACAGAUAUGUUUCAGCAACCGGAGCUUUGGUUUAGAAGCAGCUCGUGUUACUGAGCCGAUUCUUGUGUCCCUCAAGGAUCAGUUAAAAGAAGUGGAUCUCUCUGAUUUUAUUGCAGGAAGACCAGAAUCAGAAGCUCUACAAGUCAUGAAAUUGUUCUCUGAUGCUUUAGAAGGCAGCAUCUUGAGAUCCUUAAACCUCUCAAAUAAUGCCUUAGGUGAGAAGGGUGUUAGAGCUUUUGGCUCUCUCCUGAAAUCACAAUCUUGUUUAGAGGAGCUAUAUUUGAUGAAUGAUGGAAUUUCCAAGGAAGCUGCUCAGGCGGUAUCCGAGUUGAUUCCUUCGACAGAUAAGCUUAGGAUCCUUCAUUUUCAUAACAACAUGACAGGUGAUGAAGGUGCUUUUGCGAUUGCCGAAGUUGUAAAGCGUUCUCUUCUAUUGGAAGACUUUCGUUGCUCCUCUACAAGGAUAGACUCUGAGGGAGGAGUCGCCUUAUCUUUAGCACUCGGGACUUGUCCCCGGUUGAAGAAACUCGACCUUCGAGACAACAUGUUUGGAGUGGAAGGUGGAGUUGCUCUGAGUAAAGCCCUUUCACAUCAUGCAGAUCUCAAGGAGCUUUAUUUGAGUUACCAGAACUUGGAAGAUGAAGGUGCAAUUGCCAUAGCCAAUAUACUGAAGGACACUGCUCCUACACUUGAAGUCUUGGAAAUAGCUGGAAAUGACAUUACAGCUGAAGCUGCUUCUGCAUUAGCUGCUUGUAUAACUCAAAAGGCCCAUUUGAUCAGCUUGAAUUUGGGUGAAAAUGAGCUGAAGGAUGAAGGAACUAUCCAGAUCAGUAAGGCAAUAGAAGGUCUCAUCAAAUUAAAGAAAGUUGACAUGAAUACUAACUUAAUUAGGAGAGCUGGCACUCGGGUUUUAGCUCAAACUGUGGUUCAGAAGCCUGAUUUUCAACUGCUGAACAUCAAUGGAAAUUUCAUUUCUGAUGAAGGCAUUGAUGAGUUGAAGGAUAUUUUCAAGAAAUUUCCGGAUAUGCUUGGGCCCUUGGAUGAAAAUGACCCCGAAGGGGAAGACGGCGACGACGAGGAAUCUGUAGCAGAUGGCGAGGAGGAGGAGGAUGAGUUGGGAUCAAAACUAAAGAACCUUGAAGUUAAUGAAGAGAACUAGAGAGGUUCUCUAUUUAAUGAACCUCUUUGAUUUAGGCUAGUUGCAAGAUUUGUCUCUCAAACUUUAGUAUUUAAAGAGAGGCUCAUGUUGUUUUAGUUUCUGAUUUUUGGUUUACUUCAAGAACUAAAUCUAGUUUAGCGGCGAUCGACUAGAACAUGAACAAAAAUUUCUAUGGGGGCAUCAUGGUAAUAGAUUGUCUGUAGCUGUAGGAUUUAUUUUGGUUGCUAGGAAUUUUUGCAAUGAACUGUAUCUGUAUCCUUUGUUGUCAUUGCCUCCAUCCUUUUCUCCCUUUUGAGAGGAAUAGUUGGAUGAUGAAUCUUGCUCCGUAUUUGAUUGGAGAGCUUAAAAGGCUUCUUUACUUUAUAUUGAUUGAAGCAAAUCCAAUUCUCUGCCUCACAUCAUAAUUUCAGGUCCUACUUAUAGCAUGACUUGCUAUCACCAUAAUCUUACAGUACGAAAGAAUCUUUAGUAAGGAAGGGGUAGAUGUCCAUUUGCUAGUAGUUACAAAAAUAAUGGAUAGUCACGCAUGUAAUAAUGGUAGCAAAAAUUGAUAAAAAUAAAUGAAUUGUUUUUGGUUGGUUUUUUCUUUGGAAGGUUGGAUUAAUAUCCUUUUAACUUCUCAAAAAAAUUAAAAAAUAUUCAUAUCAUUAACGCAUAAAAAAUAUUCAUAUCAUUAACCUCACCUUGUCUCUUUUCCAUUUCUUCUCUCCAUUGCUUCGAUUCAAUUCAUGGCCUAAUAUUCCCUCUUUUUCAUUUUUUCUUCAAUAAAUAUCCUCUUACGUCCCUUGUUUGUUCUUCCAUUCCUCCAUCUCAAUAAUUACCUCAUCAAUUAAGAUACAUAGACUAUAUAUAUCCAUGAUCUUAGAACUUAAAUAUGUCAACGAAAUUGUUUGUUCGGAGUUGAGUGAAAGUUAAAACAUUUAGAAUUAAGUACACUAAAACAGAGAUUUGAAUGUUUAGGUCAUAAUAUUGCAGACACGACAUAAAUAUGAAAACAAGUCCAUAACCAAACUUUGUAGAUUAGAAAAUUUUGUUGACCAUUUUUGUAGUUUAUAUUAACCAAACUUUGUAGAUUAGAAAAUUUUGUUGACCAUUUUUGUAGUUUAUAUUAGUUUAUUUGUUGCGGGAUGUUCAGAAACUCCCCAAUUAUCGAAGAUGGUAUUCGUUCGUUGGUUCUUUAUAUAUUUAAUGAUUCGUUGUGUCCUCUUGCAUUGUAAACAAAUAAGAGAAUCCAUGCAAAACCAUGACCAUUUAAGUGUUGUUUUUUUUUUUCUUUUUUCUUUCAUUAAUAUUUGUAAUUUAGUCUAAAAUGCACUUGCAUUCAAAAAAUGAGAGAUUCAUUAGAUUUAAAUGCCCAACUAAAUCUAAACAUAUAUCCAAGUACUAAUAUCUUUUCUUAUUAUUUGUCAAAUCAUAAUUCAAAAUUCAACCAGCAUAAAACUUAUAUCUUCAACCUUAUAUUUUUUCUCUUUAUUUCUAGUUUUGCUCAACAUUCUGGCGUUUGGGAGACAUUACUCAUUGAAAAUCCGUACGGACCCCAACAUUACACCUUAUGUUGAGAUGAAAAUGUGUGUUUCCAUUCUACAAAUCUUGUCCAUAUUCUGAAGACCUAGAAAAAUCAAAGCAUAAUAUAUCUAUAAAUUAAAGCGUCCCAAAUUUCCAGGACCAUUAAAAUUACAACUUUAAGGGGAAGGAUGUAUCUUUAAAACCCUUUUGUUACACUAAAAAAAAAUGAACCAUAGAGCACAACUGAAUAAAGCUGCUACGUUCAAGCCAUGUAGGAAAGCAGCUCGCUCCAGGAGAGCUCAUUGACAGGAUCAUGAAUUUUGAAGCUUCUAAUAAUCAGAUUUAAUCUACUGCUGCAAUCUGCAUUGCCUUGUUUAUUGGUUCUUGGAAAUACUGGAGAGAGAUGAAUAUUGCCUCCUAAGAAUCAAGGAAGCAUGGAUUAGAGAAUAUAGAGAAGAUUGAGAGAUGAGAGGAGAUGAUCAUGGUGGAGUACCUCUGUUCGAAUUGUUCGGCUUCCUUGCAGUGGACAUGUAUUCAAGUAUGAUGAGAAGAUCUCGUGAGCAUUUUUACUCUAACGGAUGGAAACAAUUUCAAUAUGUUAGUUAAUUAUGUACUGAAGUAACCCAAUGAAAGAAAUAUGCUGUUUAUUAAACUCCUUUAGUGCUUUUAAGAAUCAUCAAUUUAUUGGAAGAUUAAUCCUCUCUAUGGUUCUAUGUGCCUGAAGUUAUUAAAAAUGGACACCUUGAAGUUGUUGUCUUCCUCAAUGCUCUCUUCUAAACCGGCAAGUCCACCAAAGGCAAUUAAUAGAUGCCUGCCAAUUAAAACAAUUAAUCAACUCAAAAUGGGGGAAGGCCAAGAAAAAAGCUAAUCGAUUGAAACAACAGGCCAAAAACUCCCACUUGGAAUGAUACUAAGAAUUGUUCGUGUAUGAAAGCGUGUAUACGUUUUUUUUAUAGAAAAAAUGGAACCUUUUGACAGUCUGUUGAACCAUGGAUAAACAAAGGCUCACUGUAAAUUUAAUUGGCAAGAUGCUAUUGACACUGUUCUUUAAGAGCACCCCUUCUACACAUUUUUUCCAUUACAAUAAAGCCAUAAUGUAGAAAGGCAUGCUUCUGUAAAUUUGGUGGAUAUUAUGAAGGGGAUAUUUGUACCGAUAUGGAAAAUUUCUUCCAAGAUUUGAAUUUACGGAAUAUAUAGUUUAAAAGAUGAUUAAAAAUACUAACUUCUGUUAUACGGCAUAGUAAAUGACUAGAGAAAAUUGAACAAAAAGAAAAUGAAAACAAUCACUUAUUUUUAUAUUUAAACAUAAUUUAGUUAGCAUAACCAACUAGCAAAAGAUGACGAAGGUAUCAGCUAGAAACCAUACUACCCAGGUCAUAUGGUGCUAGACUUCAGCAAAAUACCUGAAAGGAGGCAGUGUUAGUUCUGAGGACUUUAUAACCAUUCCGUGCUCUGAGGUACCAAUCAAAUGAUCGUAACCACCCUUGGAACAAAACGAUAAUAAAUUGUGAGGAACGUGAUAUUAAUUGUUAGACGAUUCAUGGAGAGGUAUAAUUGUGUACCUCGUAUGAACUCUCCUUAAAAACUGCACUCAGAGAAGAAGCAUAUCGCACUCUAUAACCCCAGUAAAGCCCUUCUUCCACAGGCUUUGAGGAUGAGACCACCUGGCGGGGCAGAUCUGAAGAAAUGAAGUAGCAAAUACUCGGUUAUCAUUAAUGAAAAAUUUGCGUGGCAUGACUCAUACAUGUAUGCCGAGCAUUAAAAUGAUCAUAAUUUCAUUUCUUUUAAUAGAAGAAGAUAUAUAAAAAGCUUAAGUGCCAUGAAAGUGGAGAACUGAACUAGGUCUGGCAGAUUACAGCUGAAAUAUGUCCUCAAGUUCAACCAUUAUCUUCUAUGGAAUACCCACCUCAACCAUUUAUGAAAGGUCAAACCCGAGCAUAAAUGUUACAGCCUUUUCUUAGGCCCUUUGCCAUGUUCUCUAUUUUCUCUAAAAUGAUCCAGGAAUACCCAUCUCAACCAUGUUCUCUAUUUUACCAGUUUUUUCAGAAGCAUUUGUAGACAUCAUAAAAUAUUGCAGACUUCAAAAGUACAAGCCUAAAGCCAAUACUCGUCAAGACAUCUAUAGGUUAGCUAGAAGGAAAACAACAGUCAAUAUGUAUGUUCAUUUGAUUCAAAUAUGUACUAAAAAAAGCAUCAGAUAUUACCAGAAAACAAAUUGCGAUCUGUUCCCAUAGCUACCGUUACUCUUGUUCCAGGUUCAAGUAUUUCAUCAACAACAACAUUCUGCACAAUAAUUUAAAAUGAGCCAUGAACGCAAAGAAAACCUAGAUAAGUAAAAUAUGGUUGAUGGAGGCAUUAAAUUAAACUUUAAAAAAAGCGGAGAAAUUGAAUUAGCAUACACCUUCCACUCCAUUUAAAAUCAACAUGGUAGAAUAGCUCAAACUUAAUGUAGAAGAAGCUUUGUGAUUCCAUUCUAGAUACUUGAGAAGCCUAAAUUAAACAUGGCUUUACCUUACUCAAACCAACAUCAACCGAUGUUCCUUUAGCAUCUGGAGCUCUUUCUUUCAGGGUAACACCUAAAUUUAACAUAACAAAAUGAGGUCGAUGUAACAUGAACAAGAAGAAACACUGUGGCCGAGGAUGCCAACAUAAUAAAUCUGAAGUCAUCCAAAGAUAUAACCAAAUAGAUAUGCAUCUAAAUAUAGUCCCAGCCAUAGUCUCAACUUUCAGGAAUCUCCCAAAAAAAAUGUAAGACACUUAGUAAGACUUCUCACAAACUAUGCCACUCAAGCUUUAAAGAACUGUCUACCUGAGGAUGAAAAAUAAUUACUAACAAUGUCUUUCUAGACUCUGAGAAAUGAUUAAAAAAAGCUCGUGCAUUGAGAAAAAGGAAGGAAGCUUAGGCAUCUGGUCAACUACAAUACCAUAUGACUACCAACUAAAAAAUGAGGCUUGAGCAUUGGGAACCUCAGGAAAAUAAAUGUUCUACCAGUAAAAGCAAUGAACUUUUAGAAGAAGACGUCUGUAGGAGAAAGUGAUGGAAAAAGUCCCAAGGUUUUGAGAAAUGAUUAAUGGCAGGAAACCAAGAAAUCAAGUAGACACUAGAAUUUGACUCGUUUUGUGCACAUCACAAUUUCCUAAUCACGCUACCACAAAAAGAGAUAAUAUAGGAUGGCUAAAGGUAUUUGGAAGGAAAUAAGGCCAAAGAAAGUGGAAUUCUUCAUUGCGACACCAGCUUGAAUUGAAAAAAAAUUGCAAAGGAGAUGGUUCCCAACCUUCAUUUAAUUUUAAACACAAGCAUCUGUUUUACAAAUUAAAUGAAAGAGGCCAGUUCAAUUUACCCUUCCAGUGUUCAAGCACAGAGCUAUUAGGUUACUAUUUUCCAAGCUUUUCGAAGUGUUUGGUAUUUCAAUAGCAAGGUAAAGAUGAAUCUCCAGGAAACGAACUAUUGUAUGGCCCAAAGUUCAAACAGGAAGACAAAGGUCCUCGUGACUAAUGCAAUUAAAAACUGUUACUUCUGAAGGUGUGCUAGGAACAAGAAAGCCAACAAUAUCCUCACAUGCCCGAGAGUUUGCAAAGAUUCAGGUGCAAAUUUAGAAGAAAACCCAAAAGGAGCUUUCAAAUUUUACCUUCUCGAUAGGGACCCCAUUCGUGCUUGCGCAAAUGGUGAGGGGCAUCAAGAGGGGGCAACAUCCCCUACAACAAAUUCACAGUAAAUUGAAGAUCAAAAGCAAGACAGGAAAUGUUAAUUCUUUGAUUAAAGCAACGAAGCUAUUUAAGGUCGUACCACAAAUCUUAAAUUGUUAUGCUUUGGGAAAAGAGCUUUUCUCAAGUAUUGUGGAGUCUCAAGAUAUUUUAAGAUCCUUAUUAGGAAAGCAGCGCCACUUUCAUCCUCAUCUGAAUUGUUCGCUGCCGCAACCUCUGAGCCAGUCGUUGAACUCCUUCCACUGUCAAAUACCACCACCUGAUACAUGCAUAACCUAUCUUUCUAAGCUGAACUAGUCCAGUGAAGCCAAUAGCUAUCCAGGAAAAUUUGAAGGAAAGAGGAUGAAAAAAAUGAGAAAGAUGGUGACCUCGUUAAUUCGAAAUAUUGUUGCCGCACGAGCAAUUUGACCAGCCAACUGAAAAAAAGUUCAUAAGUUUCAUCCAAAUUAAUCACAUCACUCCAUUUCAGAAGAGGAGAAAAUGCAUCGAGAGAGCAUAAGAAAUAAAAGAGAAAAUGAUUCCAAGAACUAAUCAAAUCAUUCUCUUAGGGAACAGGGGAAAGGAGGCCGAACUCGAAAAACACUCGCCUAUAAAAGAGAGAAUGCGUACUCUGGUGGCAAGCUCCAGGGAUUGAGCAUUAUCAAUGAUGGAACCGGAAACCGCAAUGCUCACUGUAGGUUUGGAAAUCGGUUUCCUCUUCUCUGCCUCGAUUGAACCAUUCUCAACUUUCUUCUUCUUCUUCUUCUUCUUUUUCUCAGGAGAGCAUCCAUUAAUGAGCUCCGUUUCAUGAUUAGCUUCGAAGUCAUCUCUGUCAAGCGCCUCCGAUUCCUGUUCCGGCCGCUUAUGCUUCUUCUUCCCCAUUUUUCAAGACCUCCGCCGGUGGUAGGGGUUUAGCAGGGUUCAGAAUGCCGGAUUUUUCUGAGCUGAAAGACGCCAACUUUACCAAGCUCUUCAAAGCUUUGAUAACUACACGACAGUUCAAUAAACUUAAUAAGCUUUCUGCCUUUACAUAGCCCAAAAUAAGGAUAGGCCCAUGGUUGAAAAAGGCUGUCUCAUGGGCUAAACCAUUGAGCCUAAAUGAGCCUCAGUAUAUUAAGAGAGCCCAAUAGUUACAUUACACAACGGCCAAUAUUCUUUUGGGCUUUCAACCUUUUAAACUCUUACAUGUCGUCUUGAAAGAGUUAAAAUGCUGAGGUUUUUAAUCAUAAUCACUUCAAAUAUAUAUAUUUUUUAAUUAUUCAAAAAUGAUUUUUUUUAUUUCACACUUUUAAAUGGAAUAUUCAUUUAUUGAAAAAUAAUUUCAAGUCAGUAAAAUCAUAUUUUUGAACCUAAUGAAAAGUGAUCAGCUCCCUUCAAAAUCACUAAAUUAUGUUAAUAAGUUAAAACUCUUGGGCUUAAUUGUCCUUUCAGUACAAAAUAUUUCAAUAAAAUUUGUGUUGAUUAAUUAAUUUUUGAAACAUAAAUCCAUAUAGAAUUAACAAGGGUGUGUUUGGAUUAUGGUGUUUAAUUUAAAAUAUAAGUAAUUUUGAAAAAUAAAAAUAAAAAUAGAUUUUUAAGUGUAUUUUAAACAAAAUAAGUUUUUUCAAAAAAUAAAUUUCUUAAAAGACAUUUUUUUCUUAAGUCAAUCCAAACAAACUUUGAGGUAAUAUACUUAACAAUUUUGAAUUUUUAAAGUUAGGUAGAUGUGAUACAACCAUCAUCUUAGAAUCAACAAUUUUUUUUAAAAAAACUAUAACUUAUACGUAUAAGAGGACACGAAGUUCUUUAACUUGAACUAAGCUUCUUCUUUAACUUGAAGUGAACUAAGCUCUUAUUGAGUAAAUAGUUAUUCAUUUUGUAAUUUUGUAGUAAACCCUAAUUUUAUAGUUAACCAUAACUCCCAAUGUAGGUAUGGCGUUGGGAGUUGUUGUCUACUCCCUAUAUUUUUCAUAAUUCGUGAGAGAGACAAUAUCUUAUGACAUAUAAUCUCUCGACUAUCCUUUUAUUCGGUGGAAGAUCCACUUUUUUUUUUUAGAGUAUUGCUAUUUCUUUUACUCAACUUCAUAUGCUAACAAAGUUGUGGUUAAAAGAAAUGUUAAAUGUAAAAGUAGAGUGAAAAUAGUUUGCCCCUACAAAAGACUGAAAUGUCAUAAUAUAAAGAAAAUCCCAUUCUGUUUUUAAUAAAAAGGAAAGAAAAGGUGAGGUGACAGCCACUGCUCGACAUCUUCCUUUGAAAUUGGGGAUGAUUACAAAAUCUAAUAAAGAAGAAGAGAGAAAAAGAACACUAUUUGUAAUAAGGUCAAAAAAGAUGAAGCCAUAGUCUUUUGGUUGGUAAACAAAAAAUGACUACAAACAUAAAUAAAAACAACAAAAAGGUUAAAUGAUAUAAAUAAAUUUUAGAAAUAACAUUUUUUAGGCUUUGGAUUGUUUCGAAAAAAGAUCUAUAUUUUCUUGGAAGUUGUUACUCCAUGUUAAUGUUUGAAACUAUAUUUUGAAAGACACAUCUUUGGGAUUUUUGGACCAAAAUGGAGAUUUGGAAUGUUGUGUAUGGUAAUGACCUAAUAUUACGUGACGAUUAUCCAAAUUUUUAUUUUAAGUUAAAACGGCACAUAAGAAGAUUAUAACUUCUUUUAGAUUAAGAAUUUAUAUAUACUCUAUAGACGAUAGUUUUGAAUUGGUUAUUAAACAUAAUAUUACAACUUUUGUUAAAAUAAAUUACUCUUUGAAUCAAGAAGAAAUAUUUCAGGUAUUCCAUUUGUUAAAAUAACAGUAAUUAUAAAUUAUAAAUAUAGUAUUUAGUUAUUCAGUAUAGUAUUUUAUUUUGCUCAUAAAUUUUAAAACAUUAUGUUUUUAAUUUGGUAAUAGGUUUACAAAUUUUACACUUAUUUUUUAUUUUUGAGUUUCAUUUGGUUUCAUCAUUAAAAUAUUUAAGCGGUCAAAAAUUAAUAACAAAAAUUGCAUUAAAUGAUAAAAAAAUUUAGAAAAAAGAAGUUCACAACACAUCUUUUUUACAUAUUGCAAAUAUAAAGUAAUUAGAUAUAUUAUACAUAUCAAAGGGAUAUCUACUCUUAAAUUUUGUACUUUUGCAAUUUAAAAAAUGUAGUGAGAUGAUUUUUUAUCAUAAUUUUUUGUUGCUAUUUUUGUAAAUGCCCCAAAAAUCAAUCUUAUUAUUUUAAAUUGAUUAAUGUUACCAUAUAUCGAAAGUGAAUAUUUAGUUAACAAAAUAUAAAGUAAUAGAAGAAUAUGGCUUAUUAGAAAACAUUGCAUGUUAAUGCCCUCUUCGCACCAUUUAUAAUAAACUCAACAGAUGAGUCUUUUUCCUGUAUGAAACAACUGAUCAUCAUUCUAAUACAAGAUUUACAAGCUUAAUUUUGUAGGAUUACUUGUUAAGACUACUUAGACUACAUCAAAAUCAAAAGUAAUGGUACAUAUAACAUCUUAAAAUUUUCUAGAUCAAACAAAAUCAAAUCUCAAAAUUAGAAAAAAAAAACACUAUUUUUAAACUUAGAAACCAAAUAAAAUAAAACUUUCUAAUUCAACGAUUGACCCAAAACUUUAAGAUCGCCACGAGUGAAGUUGAAUUUAAUAUUAGUUAUUCAACAAUAAUACUUAAACUAAUAAGAAGUGAGUAUGAUAGAAGGAAAAAGAGAGUCGAUCAAUUGAAAUAGUCAAUGUAAGGAGAUAUUCAACCAACGUCGAUUUGAAACAGCAUUUAAAAAUAAAAAAUUAAAGCCUUUAACAAAUCCAUUCAAUGUGUACCCCUUCAUAGUCGAGGUCGAUUUUUUACAAUUACUAAACUGACCAUAGUCAGUUCAGUAUCGAUUUGGUUGGAAAACCGAUUUUGACCGGUGAAUGAACACCCGUAGUAAAGAAAAAAUAAAAAAGAAUAUAUAAGAAGUAGAAGAAAUAAAAAGUAGUGGGGUUGUCCGGUUCAUGACAAGAUUGGACCGGUCGGGCCCAUAACUGCCCUGAAGCAAGAUCGUCAAAAUCUUUAGAAAUUCCUUUUGUUUCCUAAGAAAAUUACAACAGAAUCUACUGCCAAAUUUUAUCUUCAGAUACAUAUAAUUAAUAACAACAUUCAAAUAUAUUCAUUAAAUAAUAAAAUUAUAAAUUAUUGUUUUUGUAUUUUAGAAAUUAAAAAAAAAAAAGAAAAAAGAAAAGAGAAUUCUCUCUUUUAUAUACCACUCUUCAAAGAUUUCAUUGCAGUCACAAAAGAUUUAUAUCAAAAGCUUUCUGGAAAAGCCCAACAAACAAAAAAGAGAAGAAAUAUAGAAAGCUAUCACAUACACCAUUAUAAUUAUAUUUUCACCAUCAUCUCCUUUUCGAUCUUUUUGACUCUUUCCAUUGUACGGUUCACUUUCAAACUUUCAUCACCAUUUUCAUUUUUCUCUUUUUUAAUCUUUUUUUUUCCUUUUAAUUAUCUCGUUUUAAUUAAUUACGUACUAUUAAAAUUAAAGACUCUUUAGUUAUGAAUAGACAUAAAGAUAUUAUUUGCCCAAAAUAAUCACACUUUGAUAUGCCUUUUGAAUGUAUACCGUUAUUGUUGCUAAUAUUAAUAAUGUCUAAUGUCUAAUGUGCUCUAACCUACCUUUUCCAUUUUAAUGGAUUCAUUUAUUUUCCCUUCUUUUUUGUUGCUAGUUCUUUUUUCCGUCUACAUCCUCAAAACCUAAGUGCCUUUUUAUUAUAAACUUCGAGAACAAUUGUAAUUUCAACUUUUUAAUUGAAAAUAUAUAAGUAAAUAAUAAACAUGUUAAGUUAGUUCUCUUGAUACAUUUUUAAUACACAAUAUACUUGUAGUUCACUUGUCGUCUCUUGGAUUAUUGAAGUUAUUUCUUGGUAGGUUUUGUUUCCAAAGGAACAAAACACUUUGAACAAUUAUACUGUAGCAUGCAAAAUAAACUUUGUAGAUUAAUUUAGAAACAAAUAAAGUCUCUACAAAAAUGAAGAAUUCUUUUUAGUUCAAUAUAUAAUAGUCAUCUACCUACAAUUAAUAUUAUAUCUAACUAGUUUUUCGUAGAGUUAUAAUAAGUUAUUUCGUAUGGUUAGUCGAAGUGUACGAAUAAGCUAUCCUUGACAUUAACACCGGGUACAUAAGAAAAAAAAACUUUAUCAUACAAUUAAAUUUCUCUUUACUGUAAAAUACUAUAUGUUGUUUGCAAAUGUUAAGAGUAUAUUUAAUAUAUUAGCUUAAAAUUGUAGCUCUACUAGUUAUUUAAUAUAUAAGAAUAUAUUUCUAACAUCACAAUUCACAGACUAGGAGAUUUCUACGUACGUCACAGAAAAACAAAACAAGAAAUAACAAUAGAUUAAAGGAGUAUAAAAUUAUCAUGAAUUGUGACAUGUUUUUCUUAUAUGUUGAAUAUUACGAUAGUGCAUGGAAAGAAAUUAAUAGAUAAUGGAACCCUACUUUUUCCUUUUCUAUUUUUUUCUUUUUUUCUCUAAUGGUUUGAACAAAUCAGAACCAAAACGUAGCAUCUAAGUACUUAGCAACCAAGCAACAAAAAAAAGAAAAAAGAAAAAAGGAAAAUCCUAACUUUUUAUUUUUUCCAAAUUCUUUGUGAAGUAAUUGACAGAGAAAUAUCCAACACCAAAUCAAAGCAACUUAUUUUUUGUUUUUUUCUUUUUCAAAUAUCAUGGGUUCUCGCUUUGGCUUUUGUCUAAUGAAUUGUACACGUGGAACGUUUUUAUUCGCCAUACUGUCCUGCUGUGGAUUAGGUCAAAUUAAAUGGGCUUUGGGUGGGAUUACAAUUGACGGAAACUUUCGGGGUAAUGGAGCUCUUUUAGACUAAACGACACCGUUUUUUCAUUUCUUUUAUUGUUUAGUUAUUGCUACCUUUUUCUACAUGGCAUCCUCCAGCUGCUUUUUUGUUUUGGUUUUGGUUUCACCUUUUCUUUUUAAUUAUUACAAAAAAAUAUUUCACAUUUAUAAUUGUUUUACGUAACAAAUUGCAUGCAAUCAAUUUGCUCCUUUUUAAUGAAUUUAUAAACUUUGGUUCGUCCUAUUAAUCAAAACGUCACAUAGUUCUUACUCAUUCUUUCUAUAUUUUCUAUGUGGCCUAAUUAACUUAACUUGGUGGAGUGGAGCUUUGUUUCUUUAUUGAGAAAGGCAUGAAAUUAUAAACCUUAACUCUCUAUAUGACGUACUAUAAUAUAGAUUAUUUUAGCCAAACUUUUAUAUAAUACUCUCGAUUAAGACAUACAUGUUAUUGAAACCUUUUAUUAAUAAUAUUCAUGAUAGAAAUUAUAUAAAUUAAAGAUUGUAAUCUUCAGCUUUAAGAUAAUUUAGGUUAAAAAAAAUUUAUAUUUUCUCUAAAAUAAAAUAUGAGAAUUUAUGUGACAACUAAUAUGUAAAAUUAUAAAAUAUAUUAGUACUAUAUUUUUCAAUUAAUUUUCUAUAUUGAAUGUGGGUUCAACACAAUUUAAUUUUGCUAUGGCAAGAAAACUUUUUAGGGUACGUUUUAAAACAAAUUAUAAAGUUGAAUGAUUAAAAAAUGAAACAUUUCAAAGAGUAGAAGCGUGUAAUUAAAACUUUUCCUAAAGUUUAGGAAUAUUUCAUAUAAUUAUUUAAGCUUUAUUAAUAAUAAGGUAGGAAAGGAUAAAAUUACAAUAGUUUAGCCAAUAAGUAUAUCAAUUCUAAAAAUGAAUACCUAAAGAGAUGUGUCAAUUAGAGAGAAAAAGGCUUUAAAGUUUAAAAAGUCAUGGAAAGUUACAAGUGGUUUUUUGUUACAAAUUUAUUAAAUAGUUACUUUAUAUAAAUAUACUUUAUCCAUGUCUUAAUAGGAGCCUUGUAUAUAUUAAAUAGUGAUCGUGACAUAUUUUUUAAGCCAAGGAGACAAAAUUUUCAAUUUUGAAACAAAUCUUAUCCAUAUCUUCUAAGUUUAUUGAAAUGAAUUAUUCCGUUGUCAUUUUCAAAUUGUGUUAAUUUCAAUUUCAAUACUACAUAAAUUAAGUAAUAUAAGAUAAAGAUAUGUAUUAUACGUGUGGAAAUUAAGGAAGGGUUUGAUUAUUUACGAGUAUAGAAAUAAAAUCUCCAAUAUUGAUGAAAGUUUAUUAUAAUAUUACACAAUAUAAGUAUAUAUAUAUUUUUCUAAAUGGGAAAAAUUAAUUGCAAUUUAUUUAUUUUGUUUUGCAAAUAAAGGAAGCCUAUCUUGGAAUAUACGAGUUGAUUUAUGAUAUUAAUAUCUUAACAUAAACUAUAAAGGUUUACAAAAAAAAACAUUUAUGGACGUUAUUGAAUAAAAAAAAAUAGGGUUGAAUUUUUUCGCUCAAUUUGAUGAUUAUAUAUUAUGUUUGAUAAUAUUGUUUUCGUAUAGAAUUAAUGAGUAUUUAAAAAAAAAAUUAAGAAUUAUAAUGAGAAUUUUUAAAAUAAUCAUAAAAAUAAUUUAGAAAUACUAUAAUAAAAGAGACCGCAAAAUUGUUUUAAUAUUUAUCUCAAAUAGUUGUCAUAUUAGCUUUACCGAUUGACAUAUUUGUCUCCCGGUGACAAAGAGAUCAAUUAUGAGGUUCACAUUUCCACGUUCUUAUCGAACUAAGAAAAAUGUUUUUAAUAUGUAUAAUUUUUUAAUAUAAUAAAACAAACCGAAAAUAUUUACAAAACCAACAUUUUUUUUAUCGAUAAUUGACGCUUAUUGAUUUUAAUAAAUUAGAAUUAUCUACUAUUAUUUGAUCCUUUAUUAAUUAAUAAUGAAAUUUUUGUUGUAUUUAUAAAUAUAUUAACCAAAUUUUACCUUAUAAAAUUAUAUAAUUUUUAAUUUUAUUUUUAAGUUUUUAUAAUUUUGCUACCAUUAUAAAUCACAAUAAAUGAAUAAAAGAGAAAUUAUCGUUGAAUGGCCUAAUUUUUUUAUACCUAAAUGGUUAAAAUAGGUAUAACAAUUUUGAUCACUCUCCUCGUUAGUUUAAAAUUAACCUCACUUUCUUGCUUUUCUUUUUAAAUAACUUUAGACAGACAACACACAAUCUGACCGUAGUUAAAUUAAACGGACAAAAAUCAAAUAAAAUGAAGCAAUUACAAAUAUAACAAUUAUUAGAUUUGAAGUAUUAAUACCAUCUAACACAAUUUUAGAAAAUUACAAAUAUAACAAAAUACGUUCAAAUUCGUUAAUAAUAGAAAACUAUCACUAAUACACUAAAAGAAUCUACCGACAAUAGAGUGUUUAUUAUGGUAUGUUAUUGAUAAACUUUAUUUUAUUUGUAAAUUUUUUAAAAAAAUUGCUAUAUAAUAAUAAUUACUACAUUAUAUAUUUAAAAUUUUCCCAAGUUUUCAAUUUAUAAUAUUACUCUUAAAUUUUCAUAAAUAUUUCAAAACUGCUAUACCAUUAAAGAGACUAGAGAGUAGAAGGCCAAUCAAACAAUGAAUGAAAAUUAGAAAUAAAAUGAGGAAGGCAACUACGUAAGUAGAACGAUAUGGCAGUAUUUAGGUCCCCCUCCCUAUUUUAGUUCACCAUCAUACUCAAAAUGGUAAUCUUCAAACAUGUAUGAAAUGUUACUGAUACCUUAUAUUACAUUUUGAAAGAAUAAGGAUAUUUUGAAACAAAGUGACAAAAAUUAUUACUAUUAUUAUCAUAUUGGUGUAAUGUAUUUUAUUACAAAUAGAAAAAAUAAUUGUUUUCAAUUUUAAGAGUUCUAAAAAUAUAGAAAGAGAAAAAUCCAACCUCGGAUUAGGUUUAUCAUUAAAUGUACUACAGAGUUGAUAUUGACCCCCCAAAAAAAAAGCAAUGGUAGGUACAUCCAGUACGUGGACAACCAACAAUCAUUCUCAAAGAUACCAAAAGAAAAAAAGAGAAAAAAAGAAGAGAAAUUAGCUUUUACGUACAUACACACGUAAAACAUCAUAAUCACUGUAUCGACUACAUACACAUACAGUACAUAUAUGACAUAUUAUGUAGAUACUUAAAGAGAAAAAAGGGUUAGAGGGGGCAUUAUGAAAGGCAGAAGAAGCUCCACCUCGGUGAGAAAAAUGAAGAAGGGUGCAUGUGGUUGUCUGAGUGAAACCGUACUCCAACUUGCACUUUUAAGUCGUUGUUACAAAGCAAAAACGACUAGGGCAUAGCACCAAUUUGCAUGUGCCCCCUUUAAUUUCCCUAUUCCCCAAUAUAUCGAUUUUUAUUUUUACAUAUCCCUAUCCACAGUCCCACCCUCACGUAUUAGCCUUAGGGCAGUAGAAAGAAAGCAAAUGAAAAAAAUGGAUUGUUAUUAUUAUUAGUACACAUGUGUAGUACCCCCUGUGUUCUUCUUUCACUCUGACACACAUCUACUUGCACACACAAUCUGUACGGUCUUUUCUUGGAUUUUCUGUCCUUCUUCUUCAUCAUUUUUUCCCUCCCUUGUAUUACACUCAAUUGAAUUACCACUUUAGUCUUUAAUCCAAGUUUUAGGUUCAUCAAAGUUUAACGUGACAUUAUUAGAAGUAGUGCCUUCUAAAGUUUUGUUUUUAAACCUUUUAACAUUUUUUUUAUGAGAUGCAAUAUAAUAUUAAAUUUAUCUUCAACUAUAAACAUACAAUUUUGAAAUAUAAUUUAACGAGGUUACCCUCGAAUAAAUUUAAUGGUAUUUGAAAUGCAUUUCCAAUAUAUAAUAGAAUUAUAUAAUAGGAUUAUGAUUUUGUGAUAACCAAGUACUUUUCCUUAAACUUUGUGUUUUGGUCAAUUUUUUAAAAUUGCAUGUUUAAUAGAUCAUUGGUAUGUCCAGACUAUUUCUUAACUAAUAAAAUCUAUUAAGUGUAAAUUGUAAUUUGUGUCUAAUUAUAUGAUAUUAAAUUCUUGUUUGGUAACGGCCAUUUGAUUUAUAUUUUUUAUUUAUUUUAAAGUUUCGUUUAAUUAUUUUAAAAAAUUGAUAACAUAUUCAGGAAGUUUUUAAGGUUUUUAAAGCCCAGAAACAAAAUUGUUGAAAGCAUAAAGACCAUUUAUAUUUUUAAAAUUUUAAGAAUUUAUAAGACAAAAAAGACAAAAGUUGAAGUACAAAAUUUGUAAAUAAACAUUUUUUACAAGAAUAUAUCUGAAAUUAGGUCAGGUAUUAUUUUGCCUUUUUCUUUAACCUAAAAUGUCUAAUUACUAAAACAGACGAGAUUGGUUCCUACCUCUUAAUUAAUUCAGCUUACGUUUGCAUCUCCCACCACCAUUUUCUUACUUUUAUGGGUUACACUUGUACUACUCUAAAGAAAUAAAAACUGUAUUUUAUUCAUUUCAAUUUAACCAUAACACAUCCGGACAUUUUAUAAAUAUUGUGUUAUAAGAAAAUAUCUCUUGAAACUAUAUCAAUACGGUUAGAUUAUUGAUAUAACGUUGAAUUUUAUUAUAAGUUAUCAAUAUGAUGCAAGGCACAUGUUGGAAUUUCUAUAUUGAAAAUAUCACUUUGAACAAGUUCUUAUAAAAUUGAUUGAUCUAAAGUUAAUCACCAUGGAUAAACAUGUGUUGUUGUAGUUUUCAUAUAUAAAAAGGUAUAAAAUAGGAGUAAGAGGGAGGUGAAAUUAGUGAGAAAUGGAUUAAUAAAAGGGAUUACAAAGAGAAGCCGGAUUAAAUAAAUAUCAUCCAAAAAUUAAAAAUCGUUAAUAAUAGUUUUAAUUAUAAUUAAUUAAGAAGAGACCCAAAUGGAGAGGGGCUCCCGAGUCAAUACCAACAUUUCAUUGUUGUUUUUAAUUUCGUCAAUAUUAUUAUUUUCACCCGCCUCGUUGCACCUGCAUGGUCUUUCAACCUUUUCUAUUUCGAUUUCCGCCCCUCCAAGAUUUCCAUUUUCUUCCACUUUCCCCCCCAAAUCUUCCUCAUAAUUACCUUUCUCCCCCACCACUUCAACGUCGUCGUUUCUUCUUACUUCUUCUUCUUCUUCCUUUUCUUUUUCUCUUACCUUUUGCUUCUCCGUACUUUCUUCUCCACAGUCAAAUCUGGAACUUGAAGUGCUACUUUUCAAAAUGCUCAAUCGAAGCCGUCCAUGGCUUCGUUCAACGUGGAAAUACGAAAGUCUCGCCGGAGUUUUCACCGCCUCCAUUAUUAACCGUCCGUCUUCACGAUAUGACCGUACACGAAUCGAAUCAACACCAGCGAUUGUAGUCAGAGGCGGUGGAAAAACUUUGUUAUUACCUUGAUUUCUUUUCGAUUUCACUCGCUUCCUCAUCGAAGACCGUUCGUUUAUCAGAUCGGAAAAAACAACAUCCUCAACGAAAUCAUCUCCAGUCUCAUUCCCUAAAUUCUCCGUACAGAGUGCAAGACUCUCAUCACUCAGAGCAGAGCGAGAGCGUUUAACGAGUGGAUGAACAUAAUCAGAUUGUAAUUCCUUAGACGCCAUUGCGGAUUUAACGGAUUUCUUGGAGACGUCAUCGUCAUCGGAGGGAGGAGGAGGAGAAGGAGGAGGAGGAAGAGAGUUAAUAGCGUUGUGAUUGAGAAGAAUCUGGUUAAGUUGGUGGCAUUGGGGGAGGGAAUUGGAAGAAUUAUCGAGAUCGAGGAAACAGGAAUUGAGAGCGAAAUGAAGAGAAGGAGGGGGAUGAGGAUGAGGAUGUAAUUUGAUUCGAGGCCAAGUUGUUUCGAUGAAUUGAGAAUCGACGCAGGGUUGAGGGCCACGACAGACCAUUGUCGCCAUUGUUGGAGAGUAUGAAGGUAAGGUAGGUUGGAAAUCUUGGGAUUAGGGUUUGUUGUGAGAGAAGGAAGAGAGAAUUGAAAGAGAGGGGAUAAGUGAAGAAGAUGUGGGGGAGAAGGGUGUGAAUUUGUAGUCCAAAAAAGUGGCAAGGAAGAGGUAGUGAGGAGUGAGGUAAGAGUGGUGGGGGCCUAUGUUCAUUCCACUUGAAUUAUAUUAUAAUCCUCCGUAUGCACAAAUACUACCUUACAUUACAAAUCUAAUACAAUUGGCUGUAUCACAACUGACCCCUAUGGUUAAUAGUCUUCUAUUAAUGAUUAGUAAUAUGAUUUAUAACUUAUAAACUCUUAACUUUUUAUUUAAAUUUUGUUAUACUUGCAGAUUAUCGUGUGUUGUAUUUGUUAAUACUUUAAGUUUGAUUACUAUAUUUGUAAAUAUUUAUAAAUUAUAUACCUUUGAUUAUGUUAGAUGUUUGAAACUCCUAUUUAUAGCUCAAUUGACGUAGAAUGAGUAGCUUUUACCAAGUCACAUGUUCGAGUCUUCCAUAAAAAAAAAGUAAACCAAAACAAAUUUACACAAUUUUAUAUAACACAAAUAUUAAUUGACCAAGAAGUGAGUUUCCAUGAGUUUGAAGAUCUUAAAGUUAAAAAUAAUAUUAAUUAUCACAUCAUUUAGAGAAACAUAAUAAAAUUUUGGUUUUUUCUUUAAAAUUUUUUCAAUAGAAACUAUUUAAAAUAAACUUUAAAAAAAAAUUAUAUUUUGUAUAAAAGCAUUUGAAAAACGCUUCAUUAACUUGUAAACAAUUUUCAAAAUAACCAAAUGGACAAUCAAAUCACAUAUUAUAAAUUGACUUUUUGAGAUAGAAAGUUUAAUCUCCCUCUUAAUUGGCUGUACUAAAAAAAAAAGCAAAAGUUAAUGUUUAUUCCAUGUUAGAGUCUCUUACCAUAUUAGUUUUUCUAAAAAUAUAUAAGUUAAUAAAAACUCACUUUCUAUUAAUAUAUUUAGGAAAUUAAUUUAAGUUUAGAUUACAAUAUAUAUGAUGUCAAAUUCAGCCCUCAAUUUAAAUAAGUUUGUGGGAAUUUUACAUCUUUUUAUUGGUUGUAUUGUAUCUUUCUCUUCUUUUCAAAAGGAUUGUGUGGUCAGCUGUGGUACUUUUUUUUUUUCCUUUGAGGUUGGACAAAAUUAUUUUUUUAAAUGGAUAUUGUUUUUUUUAUUGUGACAUUUCAGCCAAAUAAAUAAACAAAUAUAAUAAUAAAUAAUAAUAAUUUUUCUAUAAAAAAAACAUUGUUGGGAUUUUUCAGUUUUUAUUGGUUGUAUUGUAUCUUUUUGUGGUUGAUUUCAUAUCUGACUUUCUUCCUUUAUGAAUUUUAAGUUAUUUAAUCAUUGGUUCUUAGAAAAUAUUAGAAUUUUGUUUCCACAGAGAGAAGGUUUAUUAUUUUUUACUAUUUCUUCAAAUUUAGAGUUCUUUUUAGAUAAUUAGAGUUUUGGUCACAAUUAUUUCCCGAAUUACUUUUUUAUUCUGUUAACACUUUUUUUUAUACAUUUAGUAAUAAUUAAGAAAAUAUGUAUACAACUAAAGUUUGGAGUUAAAAAUUAAAAUAAAUCUAUGUCAAAUAUUUAUCUAGGAAGAUUGGAUUCUCCUUAAUAAAACUACGAGUGAUUUUAUAACAUAUAGAUUAUAAACUAUACUUUGUGUUAGAUCUCAAAAGCUAAUGUAAUUAAAUAUAUAGAUUUUAUAAUGCAUCAUGUCGAUUAGAUAAAAAGAUGAUCUUGGAUAUAUAAGUGAUAACAACUAUUUCCAUUGAUAUAAAAUAUUUUGAGACGGUACUAAAAAUAAAGCUAUGAAAGUGUAUUUAUUUAAUAUUUGAACAUACAGAAACAAACAACGAAAGUGUAGUAUUCAAACAUAAAAUUCAAUGUUAUCUAUUAUAAAUCAAUGAAAGAUUAAUCACUCGUUAUCCGAUAUUCUUCAAAGUUCCAAUGACCAAAAUAAAUACAAGAUUUACAUAAAAAUUUGAAGAUAAUAACGACACUUUUGAUGAAAAAAAGUUCAAGAUCUAAACUUAGAUUGUGACCAAAUUGGAAGGGAUAAGAGUGUGGAAGAAUAGGGUGAAGUAACACUUAGCCACACUAUCAAAAUUUGGAGAAAAGUUUCUCCUAAAUAAAAGUCAAAUUAAGGUUAAAUGAAUGCAUGAGUACUAGUUUAGUAUACUUACAUAUCCUUUGAAAAGAGGGAGUAAGAUACCAAAUCAAAUAGCUCAUACUAAGUGAAAACGACCUAAAAUUGUAUUUUUAGAAACAUAAAUCACCCUAAAUUAGAGACAUAGAAAAUUGUAUUGGUGUAAUUUAAGGACAAAACCAAAUUGUUUCUUAUCCUACUAAAAUAUUUUCUUUUUAUAAAAAUUUCAAACGUCUAAAUUGAAGUAAAUAAUAUAUUACAACUAUGGCAUAGUCAUGAAAAUUUUGUAUAUGUAUGUAAAAGAAAGAAACAUUGUUUUGUAAGACGAAAACGAUAAGAUUAGAACGUCAUCCACUCACAAAAACCGUCCGCUCCUAAUCGGUUGGAGUCGAUUGAUUUUUGAAAUUUUGUUGUGGGGAAGAGGGAAAAUGGAGGGGUUGAUUGUGGAAAAAACCUAAAAACAAAAAAUACAAAGAUGUGUGGGCAUAAAAAUGUUGAGAGAGAAGAAAGAAAAGAGGGCAUGUUGGUCCAAAAAUUACCAGCUUUUUUUCUUCUCUUCAUAAACUUCCAAAGGAAAAAGAACAAAAAGGCCAGGAAACAAAAAGAUUCUCUCAAAUAUUUGUUGACAGUGAUUUCCCUUCCCUUAAUUCUCUCUUCAUACCAUUUAUUUAGAUUUUAUCCAAAUUAUUAAAUUAAUUUAUAUGUUUCUCCUACACUUAAAUUAUUUAAUUGGUGAGUAUGAUUCAUAUGGGUUUAAAGAGUCAACACACCCACUUUCCUUUUGCUUCUGUCCAAAUGGGGAAUCAACAUUUAAAAAGAACCACAAGAAUGUCAGCCCACCCCCUUUGAAACUUCAUUUGCUUAAAUACCCAUUAUUCCUUUUCUUCAUUUUUUUUUUUUAUUUCCUUUUCAUUUUAUUCCCAUCAACUCUUUUUCCUUUUUCGGGAUACAAUUACAGAUUUUCUUUGACAUAAUAUGCACAAAUACUCCCUACUUCCUUUCAAUACUCUUCUAAUUUACUGCUUUUAACUCUUCUUUUCUUCAAUUUUCUCUUUCUUUUUAUAUAUAUUAUUAUGAUAUUGCUUAUUUUGAGUUUAAACCAAACCCAAAGGGUUGUUCCUGUCUUUAUAGGCAUAUUCGUUAUUAUUUUAUAUCAAAAUUUUGAUUGAAUUUUUAAAAACCAUGAUACAAGGAUCAUGAGGUUGAAGAUGUUGUCCAAAGUUGGUUAAAAUUUACAAUUUACAAUUUAACUUUUUUCUUUUCCAAACUCAUAAUUAGAGAAUUGAAUGGUAGGUUAACUAAUUUAGCUUUUCCUUUAGAUAAAUGAUUAUGUUAGGUGAAAAUUGAAAUCUAGGGUUAAGCAAUGUCACUCAAACAGCCUUUAUUUGUCUCCGUUGCUUCCGGAUACCAUAGAUUCUUCAAGGGGAUUGUGCCUUGUGGUGUGACGUGGGGAAAUAUACAAAAAAUUUCUCUCAUUCUUAAUAUUUUCUCCACAAAUCAUUUAACCUAAUUGGUCCAACGUGAUUCUCACUUUUUUAUAGUUCAAGAAUUGUGGGCAAAGAAGAAUGAGUUCUUAAAAAUCUUAUUCCAUUAAUCCAACAGUUAUCAAAUCGACAAGUAAAUAAUAUAAUAUAUAAAAUGUAAAAUAUAAAAGUUAAUAAUCGAUUAACUUAUGUUUGUUCUUAGUCGUUUGAAGCAUUACAUAAUAGAUUUAAGACAUUCCAGCACAAACUAUGUGUAGAUUGAUAAUUAUUCUCACUUUUGUAAUCAAUUUUGAAUAUAUGAAAAAAAAAAAAAAUCUAAUGGUUAUGAGAGAAACCAUCGUUUAAAUCUAAUGAACUUUGAACCGUUCGUAGAAGAAUAUGAAAUGUGCAAUAAUUAAGUGUAUUGAGAGACGACAACAAAUAUAUUAAAAGGGAUAUAGGUGAGAUAUAGAGUAUACCAAACUUUAAUUUAUUUUUAUUGUAAGUGUUGGAAUUUGAAUCGUCCUCUAUGCUAUAUGGUUCCAUUUUAUAGGAUUUGGGAAAGCUUAUAGAUUCCUUGUGUAACACAUAGGAUUCCUUUCUUUUUCAUUAUUCAAUUAAAAUUUCACUCACCCAUUUAAACUUUUCUUGCAAUAAACAAAUAUCCAAAUUUUCAUUAUUUUUUCUAAUAUGAUAAUUGCGAGAUAGAAAGUUGAAUCUCUAAAACGUACGCAAAGACUCAAGAAAAUAAAUAAAUUGGACUAGAAAAAUAGAGAGAGCAAAAUUCAAAUGGUAACUAAAUACCAAUGCCAUUGUAGGGCAUUUGAUUUCUUUUUAAGAAAUGGAAAGAGAGAAAUUGCACCGUACGGCAUAACUUUGUUAAUUAAAAUCCAUUUAGUGGAUGAGAAAAUGUACAAUAAAUGACAAAGGAUAGGUUAAAGAAUUUUAGUACCCUUCACCUCCUUUCAAAAUAAUAAUAAUUAGAAAAAAAGAGAGUACCUUCAUCUACUUUUUAAUGGUUUAAGUUUAAUUAGUUAUGUAUUCUAAAUAAAUCUUACCUUUUUAUGAAACAAAAUAAUUCUUAAACUUAAUUCUUCAAAAUUAUUAUUUUUAAUUAAAAUUAGUUCAAUAAUGACAAUAUUUUUAUUUUUUAUACUAAAAAUAAUUUUUCAAAAUUUAUAGAAACCAAAACUUUUUUUUUUUUUUUUUUAUGAAAAACAAAUAAUGAAUUGUGCAAUAACUAUUUUAAAGUUUAUUUGAAGUAUAGAAGCUUAAAUUUAGACAUUUAAUUAUAAGGUUAAAAUGAAAAGAAAAAAAAAGGUAAAAAAGUAAAAAAAUCAUAAUGAUAUUUUACUCUUCAAUUUUUUGCAACGUAUGUUUGCGUUUUCUCCUCAUUUAGGCUUUGUUUUUACUUUUAUUAAAGAAAACAUUUGAAUUCAAACUCUAAAAACAUUACAAAUAGUUUUUAAAAUCUAAUCAUUUUAUGAAUAGAAAGUGGACGUUAAAACAAAUAUAAGAAUUUCAAGGAAAAGUUAUAGGGUUUUAAAAAUAUUUCAAAUAGUUAUAAAUAAGACUUAAGUAUAUUGAUAUAAUUCCUCCAUGCAUGAUGCAAAUCUGUAAACGAGAACGAGAAAGAGUUUCAUCCUUUAGAUUGAGGGUUUAGAUAUAAUUCAUAUAUUCAUAUGUUUUUAGGAGUCAUUUGUUUCACGGACAUUCUAGAUUUUUAUAGAGUUAACAUUUAGAUUAUUGUGUUUGUUUUGUAGUAUUAUAAGAUACCGUGACAUCUGAAGAUUCUUCGACAUCCUAGAAUGCACGAACGGAGAACAUCUAGAUAGUUUUGGGGGAUUCUGAGAUUAAUGACAUUCUUUUAUAUAUAUAUAUAUAUAUAUAUAUAUUAUAUAUAUAUAUAUAACAUUGUUUUGUUAUACUUUAAACCUUAUUAUUUUUAAUAAGAUAUUAAAAUUAAAAUUAUAUUUAUAAAAAAUCUUAAAUAAUGAUAUAUUAUUUUGUUAAAAAAACAAAUUAUAAGUUUUAUUAAUUUAAAAAGAAAUUCAUAUUGACAAAAAUAUUUCUGAAACCAACAUGGUAACCUAGGGAUGCAGACAUCUAUAAUUUUCGGUAUUUAAGACGUACUGGUUACCUACAUUUUCAAAAAACAAACGGCCUCUUAGAAUUAUUUAUUAGUUAGAUCCAAAUGAUAAAAAGCCUUAGCUUACGUAUUUAAAAUCACGUAAAAAAAAUCAAUUACUAUAUCAAAAGCCAAUAAAUAUUCCAUAUCCUAAGGUCGAAGCUUUAGAAAAAAAAAAACUAAUAAACACAUACUUUUGAGUCAGGUCAAAAUUCUAGAGCAUACAUUCGAAAUUAUGAGUUAGGGUUACAGAGGAAUCCAGGAAUCCAUGUGUGAAGGCACUAAAAUGUACAUAUAAAUAUAUACAACACAUAAGGUAUAAAAUCGUACGGAAAAUGAUGUAAUGUGUGAAGCAUAUAGUUAGAUGGAAAAAGGGAAAUUUAAUGUGUGAUCCAGCUGAGGGCUUAGGGUUUCUGAUCAUAACCCUUCUUCUUCACUCCACUUAAUUAUACCUUUAUUUACUUCUGACAUUAAUAAUAAAAAUAAUAAUAGCUAACCUUAAAACUACUUUUAGAGAAAGAACAUAAUAUGCCAAAACUACUUAUUAAGAGAUCAGGUGUUUGCAUAUUAAUUACAGGGACUUUUCACUUAAGCUUUCUAAGAAUGCAAAAAGAAUAUUGCCAUGCAAGGAAACCCUCGAGUGCAUUUGUGUUGUAUACUGUGAAGAUCAAUUGUUUGUAACUUUGUCCUUUUUUUUCUUUUCUUUAUUCAAAGUUUAGUUUAUUAAUUGGUUUCUUUUCUGAGUUUAGAGUUGUGGGAUGCCCUAGCAAGUUGUUGAGCUUAAACCCCCCAUGUGGGUUACGUUAGCUUUAAUUUGAAUGUAAUUAAGUGAAUUAGCUAGGUUUAAAUUUCAAUUUUUUUUAAUAUUCAAAUGAAAUUAUUUUGGAUUUAUAUGAUAAUACUCAUUUGAUUAUAUAUCUUUAAAUGAUUUUAUCAUGGGUUUCAUUUUUCUAACUAAAUACUUCAAUUCUUAAUCAAAUCCUAUAAAAUAAAAACAAAUUUUAAAAAACUGUUUGUUUUUAGUUUUAAAAACUUUGUCUUGGCCUUUGAAAACACUCAUAAUUUAGGGUUAGGGUUUUUGUGGUUUCAUUUUGGUAGUGACCUCGGUUUGAAUAUUAUUUUAGUUAAAUUUUGGAUGUUUUAUUUUAUAUGUUUGAUUUUUUGGAACAAUUAAUUUUCAAGUUUAGGGUUUAUAUACAGAUUUUUUUUUCUUUUUUUACAAAUUUAAAUAGCGUGGAAUCAAACUUCCUCGACUUCAAGGAUUAAAAUGUUUUAAAUUAGGUUAACAAACUCAACCAAUUACAUAUAAGGCAUUUGUAAUUAUAUAUUGGUAAAGGUUUUCAUUAUUUAUAACUACACAAUUAGAUAGCUAGUCUGAAAUUGCAACUUAUACAAUUAAGACUAUAUAUAUUAUUUAAUUUGUAGCCAUUGUUCCCUUUUUACUCUUGGAAAUUGUAACCAUUUGGUUUUAUAACUGUGUAUACUUUGAGAAACAUAAAAGUACUUGCUCUCAUCCUAAAAUGUUUUAUAAAAAACACUCAACUCUCAUUUUAAAAAGUAAACUAAGAGAGUAGAAGCAAACAAUAAAGUGAUAUCGUCAAUCUGGUUGAAAACAAAUUCUUAAAAGAUGCAAUAACAUUCAUCAAUUCAUAGGAGAAAUAAUUAAAAUCUCUGUUAAAAGAGAUGAAAAAGAAAAAAACAAUGUGGACAAAAAUGCAUAAUAUCAUGGAAGUGGUUCAAUAAAAAGCACUGGAAACAAAACAAAAUCAUACACAAUCAUAUAGGUUCUAAUGAUAUAAUAUUAAAUAUAAAAAAAGAAAACGUGAAAAUGAAUAUUAAUCUCCGACAGUCGGUCAAGCAAAAGGUUCUAAUGAUGUGGGAGUGGCUUUUGCGUCAGAAGAUGAAAGAUGAGCGGUUUCAGAGUGGCUCCGCACCACCAACUGCUGACUACGCCCACCCACUUGGUCAAUUUUUGGCUCCUCAAGUGCUAUCUAUAUGCACCCACUUCCCUUCCCUUUUCUUUUCUUUUUUAUUUCUCUAUUACGAAAAAUAAAUUUAAAAAAUUGGUUUUUAUUUAAGGAAUAUUUAUAGCUACGCUAGGUUGGUGAGUUCCAAUACAAAUACCAUACCAAAUUAUAAAUACUUGUGCUCUGGUGCCACCUCUGCAUGCCCUACACCCAAACAAUUGGAUCUUUUAGAUUCAAUUUCUUUUUCUUUGUUUUAAAUAAUUAAGUUUAAUAUUCCUUCCUUUCUACAAUUUUAGGGAAUACAUUAGACUAUAAAAAAUAUGAUGAUAAUAUAAUAUAAUAUAUCACACUUUAAUGUGAAAUUUCAAUAAAUGGAGAAGUUAGUGACACUCAAAGUUUAAAGGUUAAUGUAAAUGUGGAGGUUCUAAUUCUACAUAAAUAUUGAAGAAAAUAUAGAUAAACUGGAUUUUUUUUAUAAUAGCAACAUAAAUUAUUUAAAUUAAUAAAAUAAAUCUUUGCCUUUUUUUUUUUUAACAAGGCAACAUGUUUAAAAAUUAUAAUUAUAUUUUGUUGCUUACGCCUAUGUUUUAUGAUUUUUUUUGUUACGAUAUAAUUUAAAUUUUGUUUUCGCUUUUUUUUCUGUUAAUAAACUUAGAUAUGUAGAAAAGACAUUUUAAAAUUUUAAAGACUAAAAAUGUGUCCACUUGUUAUAAUUUAAUUUUAAUUGGAUGGAUAGAUAGGAAAUAUAAGUUUUAUUUUAUUUUAAUUGAUUCAAAAUUACUAAAAGAUAUUCAAUAAUUUUUAGUAUUAAAACAAAACCCAAACAAAAGUGUAACGUAGGAUAGUGAUUGGAUGGUGAUUUUCAAGUAUAAAAUAAGUAAUUAAUUAAUGAAGCUUCAAAUCAAUUAGAUUGAGAAGCGAAUUAAUAAUUGAAAAAAAUAUCACAUAAAUACCCAACUUUAAGAUUUUGAAAGCUCAUGCGAUCAUACACGUAAAGGUAUGUUAUUUGCCCCUUCCCACUAUCUCACAUUAACAAAAAUAAUAAUGAUAAUAAAAUAAAUUACUUUAAACAACAAACUUUAAAAAAAUAUAUUUAUAAAUACGAUAAAAUAUCAAAAUUUAUCAAUGAAAUUACAACCGGUUAAGAUAAAUUAUUAUUGAGUUUAAUUUAUUAAGAUUCAUGUAUAUAGACAAUAAUAUUUUGUUAUAUUUAAGAAAUAUUUUGAUUGAUUAAAGUUUAUUAUAAUUUAAAUUGGAAGAAUUAUUGAGAUGGAGUAAGACAAUUGUGAUGAAUGAUGUUAAAAAAUAAUUGGAUUUGACAUUAAUUUUGGAUUUCUUAGAGCAUUGUGGAAACUGACGGCAGCAUAUAUAUGAAAAUGUGGCUACAAAAAAAUGCAAUUUGAGUUACCAUGAGUUUGCUUAAAUUCAUUUAUUUUUGUCUAAUGGUUGAUGACUUCAUGUGAAUAAACAUUAAAAAAAAGGCAAAUUUUGUAAAGAUGAAAAAAAUAGUAUUUAAUUUACAAAUUAAUUUAUAAGUUAUGAAAAGUUCUAAGUUAAUUGGUUGAUUUUGCAGGUGUUUUUUGUUGGAAAAAUUUAGGAAAAUGUUAAGCAUCAUAAAGUAUUAAUUUAAUUUAUGUUGUUUGUGACUUUUAAUUAUGGUUGGAGUAGUUAUAGUUUUAUUCCAUAUAUAAAUUUGAAAGGGGAUAAUAGCUCAUUUCUAACCAAAAAGAAAAAAUUGAUUCAGAAAUUAUGUUAUUUUUGUUUAUUAUGUGAUGUCUUAUACUGUGAUUAGUAUAUAACUAUAUUGAUAUACGGUUCACGUCUUUAUCUUUCAUCGAACAAUUUUAUAUGCUAAGUACUAUUGAGAAUGAAUAGUUUUCCAUGUCAUUCCUAUACAUAGUUUCUUUAAAUUCAUUUAUAAGUUUAAAAAGAGUAUUAGUGAUAAAUUCUAUAAACAGUUUUAAAGUUAGCUACUAACUCUUUGUGUUUAUUAUUUAUUAGUAUUUUAAAGAAAAACCAAAUAGAUUAAAUAUCAUGUUUUAUGGAUGCAUAUUCCAAAGAAAAAUCAAUAUGGAGGCAUACAAUUAGUUAAAAUAUCUAACCAAUCAACUUUUCUAAUGUUUGAAACUAAAUGAAAUCUGAAUUUUGUGUCAAUAAAAUUUAAAUUGAAAGUUUAAAAAAUAAUUUUAAUUAUUUGUGUUAUUAUAAAUUUGAACAGAAUAACUAAUGUUACAUAAGCUUUAAUUUGUAAUGAAAUUUAAAAUAUAAUUCACAUUUGCAUAAUUAAUUAAGUGAGUAGGUAUCCAUAGUAAUCCAAGGAGACAAUUAAUAAUGUUGUUUUGUUAGUACAUAUUAAUUAGAAUAUUAUGGAAAAAAUUAAUUAAUUGAUUCCGAAGGCGUUGAUAUGAAGCUGAUCCUCAAUUUGCAAAGGUAUCAAUAUGUCAAUUGUCAACUCAUAUUUUUAUUCGUACUAAAAAAAAGCAGAUAUUUUAAUUCGUACAAGAAAGAAAAAGGAAAAACAGGAAAUUUUUAUUCGAUUGGUAUUAUUUAUUUAUUUAUUGUAAUUAUUAAUGGAGAAUAUAAAUAUAUAUAUAUUUUAUUUUGUAAAGGGUGAAUGCAUGCGUCAUAUGGCUAAUAGCUUGGCCUUAACGUGAAAGCCAAAGGGUAAAUUAAGGCUUAGGUAAUCAAAUUUAAGCUAAUAGUUUAGUGUAUGAAGGACAAAGAAUCCAGUUCAUGUCUCACAUUAAUUCUUUUAAUAUAUAACCUUAUUAUUAUUAUUUUUUUAAUUUCACCUUAAAAAGCUCUCCUUUUUCGCCAUGUUGCUCCCACACACUUUCAAUAUUAUUUAUUUCUUUACAAAAAUCUUCCCUUUCUCUCUCACUAUCAUUUUUAAUUCUUUUUUUUCUUUUACCUUUUCAACUCCUAACAUUAACCAAUAUAUAUAUAUAUAUAUAUAUAAUGGAAUCAUACGCAAUCCAUGCACAAAUGCACCUAUUUCAUAAUUUAAUGUUGAAUAAUAUAGUAAUAGCUAGAUGAUUACAUAAUCACCCUAAUCCUAUCCUAAAUACCUUGAUUUAAAAAAACACUAUAUAUAUAAAUACCAAAAAGAAAAGUUAAGCUUUUGAUUAUUUAUGAAGAUAUAUAAAUGAAUAUUUGAAUUUUAAAUGUGAAAUUAAGCAUAAUUUAAGUGACACGUGGAGUUUGUAUAUGAUUUUGAAAUGAUAUAUUAUCAUUAGGUUUUGUUCAAAACAUAACAAUAAAAAAGAAUCUAAACAAGUAGCGUAUUAAAAAGAGCACUAGGUUAAAAUUAUAAUCGAAGAUUAAAUGUAUAUAUAAUUGAUCUAAAUUUACGUUGGUGAUGCAUAAUUACAAAUUAAACAUGUUUAAACACCAUCAAUAAUGUUUCCUAAAAUUGAGGGCAAAAUUAUACCAAUCACAUUCUGAAAAAAUGAAAGUAAACCUUUUGAUUUAACCCAAUUGGAAAUAAGAAAUUGAAUCUUAAUUGUCACCUCAACUAACUGCUCGUUGCUAAUAUGGUAUAAUAAUCAUACACUUUUUAUUAUUACAAAUGUCUUUUUCCUUUUUGACAAUUCAUAAUUACAAAUGUCUUUAGGUUGGGCAUUAUUUAACCGAUAAAAUGCAACAAAAUCAAUGGUAAAAUGAGGUAUAUUAUAAUAGGAAUAAGUAUUUAGGGUUGUUCAAUACAAAAUUUAAAAAAACGGGUAAAGGAAAAUUUAACAUAGUUUCCCACAUUUUUAUUUCGUGGCAUGAAUUAUGAAAAAAAAGACUAAUUUUGUGAAAAUCAAUAUUAAUGGAAGAAAAAAUAAUAAUAUGUUUCGAAUAAACCAUCCAUACUGACUUAAAAGUUUAAACUUAUUUGUAAAGAUAAAUUUAAUAUAAUAUCUAAAAAAAUUCUAUUUUUUUUUAUUAAAUAUUAUUAGUUUAUAUGUUAUACUAGCAGAGUCCAACUAUAUCAUUUUUUUUUUUUUACCCAUCGUUUAAAAUUAAAAGUUAAUAGUUAAUUUAUUAUUGAUGGUUUAAUUAAUUAGUCCAACUCAUUAUUCUAUAACAUACCCAAUUAAUUGUACCACUUACAAUUGAAUUCCUAACAAUUUUCAAUAGAAUCAUUCCACAAAUAGAAUAAGUCAGCCAUGUGCCCAACUAAUUUAUCAUUAGAAAAUAAUCAAACAAACUCUAAUGAUAUGACUUGUAUAUAAAACUUCAAUUAUAUAUAUGUAUAUAUAUAAACAGAAGAAUGUGGGUGGUAAAUUAAUGGUUACUUUUAGAGAGAAUGUUGACUAAGCAUCAAAGGGUGAUCUUCAAAGGAGAUUGAGAAAUAAUAAAGAAAACAAAUAUAAUGUAAAAAGGUGUAGAGUGAGGCCAUAGCUUUCUGCAUCUAGCCAUUCAUUCUUCUGACUUUGUACUAUAUACUCUUUCUUUGCAAUAAUUAUUUUUAUAUGUUUACAUAUUUUCUAUGUGUAUGGGUUAUAAACACUUCUUUACAACUUUAUCAAAAAAAAGAAAAAAGAAAAAAAAAGGUCCAUGGCCUAUAAUGGUACAUAUAUGGGUAAGGACACGAUAUACUACUCUAUACCCACUUUAUAUAGUAAUCAAUCGAAGAUUAAAUGUAGAUUAAUUGAAAAUGAAUGAAUAUUUGCCACAUAUAUAUAUAUAUUCUAUUUAUAUGUGUUGUUAGGUCAUUGGCUUGAUUUCAAGAUAAAUUCUUUAAAGUGGUAUCUAGUUAGUUAACACUUGAUGUGAUGACCAUUUACGACGGCCUCUCACGAUAAUUAUUUGUGUUUUUUAAGAUUAUGUCUAUAAACACUACUUUAAUUCAUUGGGUUAUGUUUACCAAACUAAUUAAGUCUACCGUUGAAAACUAAAAGAGAUAUAUGUUUUUUUUCAAAAAACUCAUUAUUUUUUAGAAUUGGAUAAAAAUUAAUGUUUCUAACUUAGCUAUUCAUAGUGUUUGGUGUCUAUGAUAUAUAUAAAUAAGUGUUCUCAAAAUAAAAUAAAUUUUUAAAAGAUGUUUACAAUUUUCUUUUGUUUUUUUAAAAUGGAUGGAAAAGAUAAAAAUUAUGGAUAAGAAAGGGUGAGAAAUCAAAUAUAAUUUUUGAGAAGAUGUGAUCUUAAGUUACUAAUUUACUGAAAAAAAACUUAAACUAAUUAGUAAAAGUAAAUUUAAUUGGAGAGUUAUUACAUCAUCUUUGGAUAUAAAUGGCUAUGAAAUAACACCCUAGUAAAUUAGUAAUGGAUGAAAAGAGCUUAAACUAAUAAGUGAGGAUAAAUUUAAUUAUAUGAGGUAAUAGAUAACUAAAACAGGUGGGAAAGGGAGGGGUUUAUUUUAAUUUAUGAUGGGAGAAAAAAGAGUGGAAGUAGAAGAAAAGAGGGAGAGAGUGGGAAACAGAAGACAGAGAAGUAGAUUCCAUGUUCCUAUAGGAAGAGGAAGGGAUAAAAGUAGGUUAGGAGAAAGAGACAGGUUUGUCCUUUGGAGUUUCCAUAGGCUUAAUUUCCCUUUUUAUAUGUAUUAAUUAACUAUAAUUCUUAAUUAAGUUGAUGUUAGUUUCCCUAAACUUUAUAAAUAAUCAUUUAGUAAUUAAUAUAAAAGUAUACAAUUGGUUGACAUACUUUUCCGGGAAUCUCUUUAGAAGCUGGUGGAGAAUCCGCUAACGUAAGCUUUUUCAAAACUACUUUUUCUCCCCUUCUCAUCCGAACUUUCUUCUUUAAAUCAAUUAACAGCUUUUUAAAUAUUUAUAGUAUCUUUUUGUUUAUAUAUAUAUAUACUAACGAGUGCUCGGGUCAAUUUAUGCAAAUAACAUGAAGAUAAUCAUACUUAUUUUUUUAGGAAUUUCUUUAUAAUCUAUUUAACUUAGUAUUAAUUGUGUUGAAAUUAUGUUGGAUCAUCCCAAAAUUUGAAAAGUGAAAUAUUAAAUUGAGUAAAGAAAACAAAUUUUAAAAUUAGGGAUGGUUGAAAUUUUGUAAGAUACGUCAUAUAGUUUAACUUAUUAUAUAUAAUUAAAAGUGAGAGGUUGGUGCAAGUAUCUUGUCUUGGGCCCUCUUUGCUCCUUCGACUCUCUUUGUUUGUUGUUUGUUGUUGAAGUUGACCUGUAAAAGUACUUCCAAGCCAAGUAUAUUUCAAUUGCUAAUUCUCACUUGGGAGAGUGCAUGGACACACUAAACUUGAGAUAAGGGUUAUUAGAUAACAGUUUCAUUUUUCUGAAAUUUAUACUUGUUCCUUUCCAACUUUUUAAAUACACUUCUCACCUUUAUUAAAUUAAAAACAAAACACUUUAAUUUCUUAACUGAUUCUAAAAAAGUGAGUUGAAUAUUUCUUAAGCUUGGUUUUUUAAAACUUUAUAACAAAACUUGAAAAGUAGUGCUCACAAGGUUUAAUUUCCAAAAAAACAAAAGGGUUGUCAGUUUUUACAAUUUUUUCUUUUUGUUUUUCCAUAUCAGUUCAAGUAAAGAGAAAGAAUUGGCUAAAUUAAAAUCUUGUCUUUGUAUAAGCUCAUGAAAUUUGAACCCCCGGUCAGGGAUCUCAUAUAAAUGUUGAAGUUAGAGAUUCAUGGUCUAAACAACCACCUCCUCACAGAUAAAGAGCAGUUCAUUUUCAAAUUUUUGCAAAACAAACCUCUCUUCUGAUGUUAUAAGAUUAGUAACCACACAUUUCUCCUCAGAAAAUGGUUUCCUACCUGUCCGUCCAGCUCGAUGAAGAUAGUCAAUAGCACAUCGAGGCAGAUCGAAGUUGUAUAUAUGGGUUGUUUCAGGCAAAUCAAUUCCCCUGGCCACUAUGUCAGUUGCUACAAUAAGAUAACUUCCUCCUUGUCUCAGUUCCUGCAUUCAAAACAAUCAACAAUUCAAAUAAAAAAUGUGUUGAUGACUCAGUUUCAACCGAAAGUCCAACUCGAGUUCUUCCGAGUCUAACAUUCUUGUGACAAAAAGUCAAGAAUACCGUGGUUUGGAUUGAUUCAUUGUUAGGCAGAAAAUAGUGGGUGAAAAGUAAUGGUAUCCAGUGGUUCGGUAAAGAAUGAGAUUUUUUUAAUCCCAUGUUCAUUUAAACUUUUCGAUAAAUAGAGACGAAGAAUGAAAACAGGGCAGGGUCUAUGUGGAAAUCCUAGUAUAGGGAGAAAAACCACAGUAUAGAUGUUUCUUGUUAUUUUCUAAUACUAAUAGAGGAAAUAUUUAUAGACAAUAAGAGCCUAAUAAAAAAAAUAAAAAAUUAGGGCAAAGUAAAUCUGCCCAUUAUUUCUAACAAAACUAAUUGGGACAGGGUUGUCAGGCGAGAUAUCACAUCCCAGUUAGCUGAUCUCACAGCAGUGUUAACACCCUACUUGGUUAAUGGUUGGCAAAAGAUUGCAUACAAAGCUUACCGACAGGGAAGAAGCUCGUAAAUUGUAAUUCACAUCUUCCUCGAGAAGAAUGACGUCAGAACAACCACCAUAUGAGGCCUUCAAGAAAUCAAUCAUCAAGGUUGUUGGUGGAAUCUUUCCGGCCUUCUUUGACUUCUCUGACUGCAAAUCCAGUGUAACAGAAUCAGACAAGUUACAAUUCUUCAAUUCUUUUGCAACUAUUUGAACGGAUUGGCUUCCUAGAACUAGAUUUUCCUGAAAUCCAGAGUUCCAGACCUAAAAAUGUGAACCUAAGGGCUUAGAUAUGCAGCCACGGCCAUGCUUGUAGCAUGUCCAGUUUUGCAAUUGUUAUGGAAUUGAAAAAUAAAGAUAAAUAGAAAAGCAUAAACAAUAAAGAAAGAAACAACACAAAGAUUUACAUUAUAGGUCCAUGGGCAGAGGGGAAUAGUUUACUAUUUGAGAGAAAUAGUUUAAAUUACAUAGUAGUAGUGGCGCCUUUAAAUUUAGAGAGGUUAUGUAGAAUACUUCUCUAAACAUCAUUAUGGUCAAAAGUGUAAAUGGCCAUUUCCACCGCUAGAUAACAGAUUCAAAGAUUCAAAGUGUUGAUAAAACGUUUUCUCUAUUUUUAAUUUUCAAGGGCAGUAUAAUCAAUUAGAUUAGAGGCUUAGAGCAUUCAAUUCAUUGAUGAUCCGUAGCAAGCAAAUAUAAUUUGGCGUAGUAUAGCUCAAUUUUCUUUCAAAUAGUAAACCAUGAAGAAUCUAAAAGCUUCAAUAGAAAAAAGCUGUUAGAACAUUUUACUUAUUUACUUGGUCAUUCAUCUAAAAGCUUCAAUCAACACAAACCUGCUCACUGACAAAAAUGAUUGCAGACUGAGGAAUAUCUGUUAGUAACAAGGUCAGGAGGGUUUGAUGCUUUUUGUUCUUCUCACAUGUCUGUCAAAGUCAAGCAAACGAUAAUACUUCAGCAAGUAAAAUCAAAACUAUUAGAAAAAAGAAAUUCAAUGUGCAGUGAGAUGGAUGGCUGAGAAUACUCCUGAAUGGACAAUAAAAUUUACCACAAAUCUAUGCAGUAAACAUGAUGGCAUGGGCUGAGUUGAGUUAAUAUGAAUAUGAACAACAGUACUCUGCAAGAGGAAGAGAGGGAAAGUUUUAUCAAGCUAAUGAAAUUAAUAGCUGAAUUGCAUCACAAAUUGGAAAUAACCAAAAAGAAUUCCAUAUACCUUGGUCCACUUCUGCUGUAUACAAUCAUGAAGAAAAUGCCUAUGCUGCGGAAUUGAUGCACUUGCAAAAAUCGUCUGACGGUUACUGAAUGAAGAAUAUGACGUCAAUAGUUUUUUUAGGGAACUAACUUGCUUUGAGGAACUAAACAUGAAAUCAACCUGACAAACAAACGAGAAAAAUGAUGUGAAGACCUUUAAAUAAAAGUCUAUAACAAGCUUACUACAGCAUUUUUAGGAUGCUUAUUUAUAUCUUUAUUUACUUUCAAGACAUCUGAAUUAUAAUCUAAGCAUGUGGAAUGAUACAUCAAUGUUUAACAAGCUGUUUUGGUGGCUGCAAACCUGUAAGAAUAUUGCUCAAUGGCAUAACAAAUUUUACGAGCUGUCCAGAAAGUAUGUGCCAAGAAGCUAGUGAAAAACAAAAUUUCUUUUCAAGUACCUCAUCAAUUACCAGCACAUUCAAUGAACCAAGGUCAAGAAAUUGUCUCUCUACCAUUUGGCACAAGCUUCCUACAGUCGCCACCAGUAUUUCAGGGGGAUCUGCCUACAAAUUUUCAUAACUCAAAGUUAUAAUAUGGAUGAGGAGUUUCUUCUACUAAUCACAACCCAAGAAUGUAGCAAGAAGAUGGAAAAAACAACAAUCAGAUGUCAUCGGUGAAACUUUAGAAACUCAAAACGAAGUUGGCUAUGGCAAUGCAUUGUUUUGUCUAUACAUGUUAGUGUUUGGGUCCAAUUGCAUACACCUCAACUACUCUCACAAGACAACUAUCUAACCCUACUAUGCUUGGUUGCCAAAAAAAACUCGAAGGAUAUAACCCCUUGGUAGGUAGCCACCAUAGCCUGUAGCCAUCCCUCUAAGCAUUUAACAAUUUACAGUGGCCUUGUUGACCACUAGUUCAGUUCAUGACAAUGCAACUAUAAGCCGUCAAAACAUAGAUUCUAAACAUGCAAUUAGAAGUAUCGAACACCAUCUAACCCAAAACCCUUCUCCAGUUUUUUGACAACAUCACAUAAAAGCCAUUGAGUGUACUUAAAGAAGAGGAACAGAUGCAGCACCUUUAACCAAGUCUUGUGUCUUCUCAACAAGCCUCCAUCUAAAAGAGCCAUGACAACAUAAGAAUUUAGCCCAUCUUCAGAUGCAGCAGGCUUGGCGGCUAACAUCCUAGCAACUUUUGUAACCUGAGUUCCAUUCCACCAGGUAAAAAACAAGAUUACCAUAAAAAAAAACUAAUUUCAGAACUACAAAAAGAAAAACAAGAACAGAUGAAAGAAGAAAAUACAUAAAGUUCAAGCAUAAUCUGGAAGUUACAGAGUUCAAUCUCACUUGCAUUCCUAACUCCCGUGUGGGUACUACAAUCAAUGCUUGAACAGCUGAUUUUUUAGCGUUGAUUACAGAAAAUAUCAACAGCAAAUAUGUCAGUGUCUUCCCAGAACCUGUCUAAAAGGAUAAGAGUAAGUAACGAACAGUACACAGAAUUUCAAAAUACCACACAAACAAACAACCAAAAGAGUCCAUUCUCCGAGUAGAUUACUUUAUAUACAUAGACUUGACCUGCGCAUGAAGCACACAAUCCCGACCCGAAAACAAAACUGGGAGAGCUUGCCUCUGCACAUCAGUUGGGGCAACAAAUCCAAUUUCCUCAGUUCUACACCAUUUAAGAAAGAAAAUGGAAGGGGGAAAAAAAAAAAAACCCCAUAAGACAAAAUAAUAAAUUAAGAAGGAAUUCAAAAGAAUAGAUGGAAUAUGUAGAGUUGCCUGCGCAGUAUAUGCUCGGGAACGUGUCCAUUGCAGAUUUCCCGGAGAGUGGAAGCCUCGAAAUUGGAUUCAGCUACGUUCUUUAAAGAAGAAGAGCUCAGAAGGGCUUGCAGAGGCCUAGAUUUUGAGGUGGAGUAGAUGGGUCCAUUGGUAUUGAUAAAAUUUGGUAAUUGAAAGGAUAAAUGAACGGGAAAAGACCUUUCAGAUGAGAGGAGCAGCCAAGGAGGAGGGAAUUUGGUAGUGGGAAGAAA
rnacentral:lncRNA from 1 species